UAAAUUUGUACAUGAAUUUCUAUCAACAUGAUGAGCAUUUUUAAUCUGUAAUAUACACAUAUUUAUUUUAGUGCUUAAAUGACAAAAUUCUUUGGUGAUGACAGAUUGUCAAUAAAUUUUAUGACAUCAAGCAACAUUGCAUCAAGAAUUUUGCAGAUACAAGCUGGGAAGAUAAAUGUGUCUUUUGGACAAUUCACCUGAAACGUGAAAUUCCCAAAGCGACUACAAACUUCUCUUGCUUCAAGUAAGUAAGACCAAUAAUCUAUUGAUUUUGAAUGAAUUUGUUCUGUUCAACGAAAAAGAAAGAAACAUUAGUUGUGAAACUACGAUAGUUCCUGCAAUUUUGUCCUUGACCUAUGACCAAUUAGUUAGAUUCGUAAAUGGGUCAAGUAAAUGACGAUGCUAUUCAUUAAUUUUCGUAUUGUUUCAAAAUAUUUACAGACUUCUCAUUUCGAUAAUAAUUUGAAGUUGUCAAUCACUAUAGCUAGACCCAUCUGGAGUGCAAGUAUAUUGCUUAGUACAGGUAGGUGAAGUUUUACUUGAGCACCAAGAAGUACAUUUGGAAUUUAAUUAUGAGUCCUGCUUGGAACAUAAAUACAUUUUGGGUAUUAUUUACUUUCAGCACCAUCAUUAACUUUACCUGAGACAGAGUGAUCUGAAAGCAGAAGUCAAGACUCUGAGAAACUCCAUGGAUAAUCUCAAAAAUAAGCUAUGACCGGUGAAUUUCUGAUUUUUGUGUACCACAUAUUUGUUGAGCGUGCAUUUUUAUCAACAUAGUACCAAUCCCAAGAUGGUGAUUAGGUGUCUAGAAAUCCAGUUUGCUAGGUUGUUUUAACCUUAGAUAUUAUAUCCGGUGGCGUAAUAAGAAAACAAUAUGCAUUCCUUGAAAGCAGAAGUUAAUCUUUAUUUUUCUUGUAAAUUUAUAUUAAUACAAUAACAAACGUCAAUAUCUUUACAUCUAUCCUUUCUUUGAUUUCAAAUUUUAAAAUGACUACUAAUCUUGGAUGUUUUAUUACAUGUUAAACAACAAAAAGUCCAUUCCAAUUUAGCAGUGAAAAACAUUGAAUUGAAAAUAUUGUGUACAAAAAUCAGCACAUAAAAAAUAUUAACAUUACUUUCAAAAUAAACCAUCCCAUACAUUGCAUGGACUGCACACUAGUAAUAAGAAAAAAAGAAAUAAACAUUGGUAUGUUCACUAGUGCACAAGGAAUAAUAAUAUAAGUAAGCAAGAGUUUAGGGCCUGUUUGGGAUAUCUUGUGUUUUCACAAAAAGUCACACUAUGUCAACUUCCUCUAAAAUCUCUUUUAAUCAAACAAAGCAUUUUCAAAAAUUUAUCAAAACAGGUCCAAAAGCAGUUUUUUAAUCUCAAAAGCCACUUCUAAAUUUUCAAUAGACGUGCCCACCAGGCCCUUAACAACUCAAUUUUUUAUACCAUAGCUUUGCAUAUGGUCAGAAGCGGCCCUGAGGACGUGCGAGUUGAGCAACCACACAGGGCCUCAGCAUUAUAGGGGCACCAAAAAAAAAAAAAUUAUAAGUCUAUAUAUAUGUUGAAGUACAUAUUUAUAAUGGUACAUAUUGUUUUAUUAAUUUUAAGAUUUAAACGCCAACUUCCUCUAAAAUCUCUUCUAAUCAAACAAAGCAUUUUCAAAAAUUUAUGAAAACAGGUCCAAAAGCAGUUUUUUAAUCUCAAAAGCCACUUCUAAAUUUUCAAUAGACGUGCCCAACAGGCCCUUAACAACUCAAUUUUUUAUACCAUAGCUUUGCAUAUGGUCAGAAGCGGCCCUGAGGACGUGCGAGUUGAGCAACCACACAGGGCCUCAGCAUUAUAGGGGCACCAAAAAAAAAAAUUAUAAGUCUAUAUAUAUGUUGAAGUACAUAUUUAUAAUGGUACAUAUUGUUUUAUUAAUUUUAAGAUUUAAAAUUUUUAUUAUUAUAUUAAGUAAAAUGGCACAAUAUUUUUGAAAAAAGAGUAAAAAAAAUUAUAUAAUGUUAAUAUUUGUUUAAUUUAACAUAUAUUGAAAAAAAAAAUAUUUUUAUAAUUUAAACUAUCUUGCUUUCAAAAAAUAUUAUAAACUAUCUAUUUUACUUGUCCUAAUAUCAAAUGUCCAAUUACCUUCAUUAAUCAAUUACUAACCUAAAAAGAAAAUAAGUAGCCCAAAAUUUGUUGGAGCCCGUUGUCCACUUGUGAAUGGCUAUUUCAUGAUUUUUUUUUAUUUUUUUUUUAGAAGGGUAAGUUUUUGUUAGAUGAUAACUGAUAGUUGAUUACAUUCAAUUUUUGUAAAAUUUUUUUUACCAAAAGAAACAAAAAUAGCUUUUGAUAUAUUGACUCAUUUGACAAUAUUGGAUGCUUUUCGAAUAUAUUUAUUACUUAUAGAAUACUAUUGUCAACUAUUUUUAUUGUUGCAUUUGUCGAAAAAUGUUCUUCAAAACUAAAACUAUUAAAAUCUUAUUAGCUAUCAACCAUGUCACAAGAACGAGUCCACUUGUGAAUUGCUAUUUCAUGAUGAUGAUGAUGAUGAUGAUAAUUAUUAUUAUUAUUAUUAUUAUUAUUAUUAUUAUUAUUAUUAUUAUUAUUAUUAUUAUGUUUUUUUUUUUUGGGUUCUAGAAGGGUAAGCUUUUGUUGGGUGAUAACUGAUAGUUGAUUACAUUCAAUUUUUGCAAAAAAUUUUUUUACCAAAACAAACAAAAAUAGCUUUUGAUAUAUUGACUUAUUUGAGAAGAUUAGAUUGUUUUUCGAAUAUAUUUAUUGCUUAUAUAUUGAUAACUAUCGUUAUUGUUGCAUUUGUCGAAAAAUGUUCUUUAAAAGUAAAGCUACUAAAAUCUUAUUUGCGAUCGAUCUCUUAUAAGAACGAUUGAAUGUGCUAGUUUUGAUAUUUAUUGAAAAAGAUUUGCUAAAAUAAAUUUGAUUACAAAAGUUUAAUUAGUGUUUGUUUCUAAAAAUGUGAAAACAAUUAUUUUUACAUGAUUUGUUAUAUUUAAAGAUUUACACGUGGUACUUGCUAUUUUUGAUUUCAAAAUUUGCUCAUGUGAAAUUGUACCUAGAGGUUAGUAGUUUGGAUGGUUCUCUAUUGAUGACAUAUAAAUUUUGAUGAAGUUCGAAGAAUGCUUUUGAGCUUUAGUUAUAUAUAUAUAUUUUUAUUCACAAUAUGUAAAAAAAAAAAUAAACAAUUUUUUAAAUGUCAUAUUUUUGGGUUGAAAUGAUAUUAUUGAAUUAUUUUCUUAUAAUAUAUUUUUUAUUACACGAAAGGGGCACCAUUUUAAAAUAUCGCAUGGGGCACCUAAAAUUCCAGGGCCGAUCCUGCAUAUAGUAUCACUAAUCCAAGCACGACCAUGGAUAUUAAACUAAGAGCGUGUCUUGAAAUGGUACUUAUUUCUUAAAAGAGAAAAGUAACUCUUUGUCAAAAUAAGCAACUUACAAGUAUCAAACUGAUCGAUAAAAAAAUAAUUUACUGUGAAACUUAUUUAUUUACAAUCUCACUUUUUAAGCUUUACAAGAUAAGCUCCUCUACUAAAAGCAAUGGCUGACUACUAGAAGUACUACAUACAGAAAAAAACUCACAACCCACACACAAACAUACCAUACUAUUUACUUUUAGCCCUUGUUUGAGCCCCCAUUUUGGGGGAAAAUGUAUACUGAAAAACGAAUUUUUUAAGAAUGUGUGGUUAAAAAGUGAAAAAAGGUUUUCAAAAAUGACCUCUCCAGUCGGGUCAGUCGGGAAAGACAUGAGAUACAAUUUACGUGUAAAAUUAUUUUAUUUGAAAAUAUAUGGUUGAAAAUGAGUUUUGAAAAAAAUGAAUGUUUGGAAAAAUAGGGCCCAAACAAGGGCUUAUAUGUCAUCAAAUCAUAUCCCAUUCUUUCAUCUCGUCCGUAUGUUCCUUUUUCAAUCAUUUACUAAUUCAUUUAUCUAGAGGGCGAAGAUUUUAAUCAAUCAAAAUAUCAGCGGUUUGAUGUUUGAGCUACUAAUUACGCAUAAACGUGACAAUUUUUCAACUGCAUUAGUAAAUAUUAACUCACAUAACAACAUAGUAAAAUUUUGCAAAAUAUCCCCUAUCCAAAAUAAAUAAAUAAAUAAAUAAAGUUACCUGCACAAUAAUGGAGUGUAUUCCUUGGUGGAUUCUAAGCACAUUUCUUCGAAUUUCAAAAUCACUUCAAUCUGUAAUGAGAAGAAUAAAAUUAAGAAACUGCCAAUAAAAUAAGGAUUCUAUAAUUUAGUACCACCAAGACUAUAUAUGAGUUGUCGAUCAAGAAUCAAAAUUGGCAGGCAAAUUCCUGCGACGAAAGCAAAUUCUUGAUGCCAUUUUGAACAAAAAUAAGAUUUUGGGCUUAGAACUGAAGAAACUUGGCUUGAUUACUUAACAAGAAAUUGAACAGACACAUAUCAAGUAAAGCAAAGCUUUGAAGAUCACAAGUUUGAUAAAUUCCUCCUUCCCCCUGUGCUUCUCCUUGGAUGAACUCUACAACCUUUUUUGAUCCCACCUUGCCAGCUUAAUCUCUUCUCUGAUUUACAGUUUUCCUUAAGGCGUUCUCCUCCUUUUUUGAAAAUCGGACUAAGGUAAGAAGAUAAGAUCUAGCAGUAAAGCAAAUAUUGCAUGAUCUCAUGAAGUGGCAUGCUUCUUAAUGAGAUUUAAAAGCCGCCUUUAUAACUUUAAGAAGAUCGUGUCAGUGGAGUCUUAUAUGUAAUCGUCUACAUAAAUAAGGAGACACCAAAGAGAAUGUUAUCAAAGGAAAAUUAUAAUGAGCGAGAGUAUACCAUCUUCUAGGCCCAUAGGUGGCCCAAACCGAGCUAUUCCAAAGGCGGGCCGCACCAGGCCAAAUUUUACACAUCAAGUCAGGACAUAAAGAUUUGAGAAAAAAGUGUGCAACCCCCAAAAAAGGACUAUUUUGCAAGUGUUGGAAAAUUGAAAUUGUUGACUCCAAAAAAUAUUGUCAACAGAUAUCGGUCCCACCCGCGCAUACGUGGGCGAAUGUCCAACACGCUAAGACACGUGGACGGUCUAAAAUGAACGGUUCAAAGGGUGUGGGAGUAGCCCAAUGACGCGGGACGGUGACGUUUGGAAUCCGGCGGGUUGUUCGUGAUCCGAUUGUAUAAUAAUUACCAAUCGGUGUUCGUAAACGUAUAUAUAAAUGUGUAUAAACUCGAUUUGUGUAUUGCAAGUAAAAGAGAGAGAGUUGAGUAAAGUGUAGUUCUUUGUAUUGAUUCUUGCAUUAGCCUUUUGAUAUUACACAAGGGAAGUAUUUAUAGUGGUACACGUGAAAUGGGAGCCCUUGGAUGAGGUGGCACGUGGCUUCAUCUCUUCGAUUCAAACAUCUUAUCCUAGGCAUGAGGUUUGACUUGCUAGCUUGCGGCGCAUUUAUUGCUUGUGCAGAGCCCCCAUACUAGUGACAAGACUUGACUUUUAUACUUAUGACAAACAUUCCAUCAAUCAUUCGAAUAAAAUCUUUGUGUAGGUGAUCUCUUGGGAGAAGUGACCAUGGAGGAUGCUCCUUUGUGGUUUGGAGGCUCCUACAUCGGAUUCGGGGCUUCGGCCAUUUCAUACAAUACUUCCACUUGAGGGCAUUAGCUAACUUCAACCAACUUCAGCAUCAUGGCAUCGGCUCAUAGGCCUCAGCAUGUGGAUCUCGGUUACAUUCACAAGCCUCGGUAAAAGGGAGCCUCGAUCAGUGGACUUCGGCCAUUGUCACCUCGGCAAUAUAUGCCACCUCGGCUGGAGUGCCACGUUGUUCGGCAUGAGUGGGCCAUUGGCCCAGGUGGAUUGGCCAAGUAUGACAAUACACAACAAUAGUCCCCCCCCAAAUCCAAGUAUGGUCAUUUAUGUCAUGGUUGGAGUUAGAGAUGAGGCUAUGUUUAAGAUGAGGCCGAGUGGUUGGAAAACCGAACCUGUAAGGUUUGUUGGCUGAAUGUUGAAGUGGAAGCCGAGGUGGUUGGGAAACCGAACCUACUAGGCUUGUUGGCUGAAUGUCGAAGUUGAAGCCGAGGUGGUUGGAAAACCGAACCUGCGAGGCUCGUUAGCUGAAGUCGAAGUUGAAGCCGAGGUGGUUGGGAAACCGAACCUGCGAGGCUUGUUGGCUGAAUGUCGAAGUUGAAGCCGAGGUGGUUGGGAAAUCGAACCUGCUAGGCUUGUUAGCUGAAUGUCGAAGUUGAAGCCAAGGUGGUUGGGAAACCGAACCUGCUAGGCUUGUUAGCUGAAUGUCGAAGUUGAAGCUGAGGUGGUUGGGAAUGAUUGUGCAUCGAUAGCUAUGCCAAUGAUUUGAUGGCUUGUGCUUGUUUUUGAGGAAAAGUGGCUGACCCGUACGACUUCCGAGGCGCCUGCUGUCGUCGAAUUAAAAACACUAUUAUGAGGACAGCUGGAGGUUCUAGAAGCAGACGCGUUGGAAGGGGUGCGUGGGAAGCACGCUUGAAUCUAAAGCGUAGGUUUGAAAAACCGUUUGAAUUCAACGCCUAGGAUUUGAUCUACAAUGGAGGGUUCAGAUUGACUGAGCUUCGAUCUGACGGCUGGGGUUCGUCUUGGACCUCUAUAAAAGGUGAGAAAAUCCCAUUUUUCAGGACUUUUAAAAACUUGCAAUCUGAUUCUCUAUCAAAUCUUGAACAUUUCGACGUCGAGACUGUUUGUUCUUUCCUUCUUCGGCCUAUCUCCGUUCGCGUAGUUCCUUCCUUAGGUAUUAUUCUUAGAAGAGCCCUUUUAUUUCUAUGGUAAUACUGUGAAAUGGAGUACACCUCGGGUAGGGAGCUGGUGACAGUAGCUUCGUUAGAUUGUGGGGUCAAGGGGGUUUCGAGGUUGAUAGGUAUGUCAUGACCGAGGACCCAAUAGAUUAUACCAAAGAGUGAGGGGCGUCUAGAGUGCCUUCAAGUAUGACGUGGAAGAGGUUGGGAGAGAUCAGGGAGAGAUACAGUGUCCCCCACAGCAUAGAAAUGUUAGUUCCCGAGCCGAACGAGCAGGCCUACUAUCCGAGGCCCGGUUGUGUGGCAGUCAGUGCAUACCUGUUUAAGGCAGGUAUGCGUCUUCCUCUGUACCCCUUCUUUAGGAAGCUCCCACAGUUGUAAAUUUUCUUGUUCUUUUGUUUUGAUAUUGAUGUGCUGACCUGACGCGCUAUGCAGAUAAAUUCAAAAGGAGGGAGUACCCAGCUCCAGACAUGGCUACUAUUCUGAAGGCCAUAACCAUUGUCAAGGCGAGGCCCCUGAAGCCGGGGUCCAAUGGGGCCAAGGAGGCCCGAGGAAGGGUGGAACGCCUUUCGAAGGAUAGCACUCCAAAGGCUUCCGAAGAGGGGACUCCUCAGAGGCAUGAGAAGCCUAAAGAGCCUCGGGGGAAAGAGAAAGUCCCUGCGGAGGCGAAGAGGAGGAAGCUGGUGCACGUCACCAGCUCGUCAGGAAAAUUUGGGACACCAGUGUCCCACGAUGCUAAAUCAACAGGUGAGCCGAAGCUGCUCACAUCUGCCUCCAAAGCCAUCAAAAUAGAGAUGGUCAGAGAGGCCGAGGCUAAGGAGGCCAGAGAGGAGACUGCGAGGAGAGCUGCUGAGGAGAAGGCAGCAAAACAGAAGCCCGUUCUAGAGAAGGGGAAGUCUCCAAGCUUCCUAGCUGGAAGGGAGGAGACCUUGGCUCCAGCCUUAGUGGAGGCUCUUCCCCAAGAGGUCCGGAUGCCACAGAAAACUUUUACCAAUUUUGGACAGAUAGGUGGCAGCUGCACACCUCCUCCUGCGAUGCCACAGACCUGAACCAAAGCGUCUGAACCUUUGGCCUCGCUCUUGAAUGUAGGGAGGCCCUGAGUGAUUUUCAGACAAGGACCCAGUCUUCGGAGGAGAAGAUGGCCUCCCUCGCAGAGGAGUUGAAGGCAGCUAGGGCCGAGGCGGAAGAAGCUAGGGCCUAAAAACUUGAUGAAUUGGCCAAGCUGGAGUCUGCCUUGGCCUAGAUUGAGGCUUUGAAGAGGAAAUCCAUGAGUCACAGUGCGAAGUGGCCUCCUUGACAAAGAAGGUGGAGGUCUCCAAUGAGCACCAGAAAGUGACUGUCGAGGCCCUGGAGAAGGCAAAUCUCUCUUUGGCGAGUGCCCAAUAGGCUUACCAUUUCUUGGAAACCCAAAUUAAGUGGUAUGUGGAUGAUGCCUCCCAUCCCAGAGAGGAGGCUCAACAGGCGAGGGAGGAGGCGGUGCAGGAUUACGUCGCCAACUUCCAUAACACAGAGGAGUAUAAGAGCUUCAGUGCUUACUGGGGAAACUUUGCCUAUGCUGAGGUGAUGGAGCGGGCAGAGGAACUGUAUCCCAAUUUGGAUCUGCCUCAACUCAGGUCUGAAUUUGUGGAUGAGCUACCUCAGACCCCUGCUAAGGAGGUGUAGGGUAAUGAAGCAGCUAAGGUAGAGGAGACCAAUGCCGAUGCUCAAGCUGCCCAAGCCCUAAGUACUGAAGCACCUCUUCCAUCUACCCAGGCUUAGAUUAGUUUUCUUUUCAGUGUCUCAAAUGUAAUGGCUUGAGGCCCACUUUUGUAAUCCUUAUUGAAGAUCAAUAUAAUGCCUUUUUCAUUCUUUGUUGUUUCUUUAUCCAAGUGUGCGCGCCUCGUUAAGCAAAUGACCUUAAAAGUUGACAAAAGCACUAACAACAUAACUUUAACUUGGUACCUUAACUUCAAUCACUUUAAACAACUGGAUUGAAUGACUGUAUGAGCCUUGGACUUAAGCAAAUGAACUUUACUGAAGCGUAAUAACUGUAUGAGCCUCGGAUUUAAGCAAAUGAACUUUCCUUAAGCAUAAUAACUGUAUGAGCCUCGAACUUAAGCAAAUGAACAAUUACAUGAGCUUGGGUCUGUAUGGGCUUCGGAAUGCAAGUGAGAUGGCUUCUCCCAUUGGCGUUCAGCCUUGCCAAAGGGAGGCAUGUGCUAGAGUCUCAGAGUUCAAGCGAGGUGGCCCAGAGGUGGGUCAUGAGCCUUUCCUCCGAGGUUACGACGCAUCCCAGACAUGGUGGAUGGUGCAGCCAUGUUGAGGCUUCUCCCCUUGGCAUUCAGCCUGGCCAUGGGGAGGCAUGUGCUAGCGCCUCGGAGUUCAAGCGAGGUGGCCCAGAGUUGGGACACGAGCCUCUCCUCCGAGGUGACGAGGUAGUACAACACGUCAAUUUAAUCACUGAAUUUUAUUUAACCAUAGAAAUGUUAUAAAGGCUGGGAAAAGUCAUCCAGUAAGAUAGUACAUUUACUGGUAAUAGAUUCUGAGGUGUUCAAUGUUCCAUGGAUGGGGUUGUGCCUUGCCUUUCAUGUCUUCAAUCCAGUAAUUCCCAAGUCGAACUUCUUCUCUGAUUUUGUAUGGUCCUUCCUAGUUUGGGCCUAGGGAAUCGAAACUAGGUUCUUUUGAGGACAAGAAGACCCUCCUGAAUACAAGGUCGUUGAUUCAGAAUGACCUCUUCUUGACUUUUGAGUUGAAGUACCUUGUCAUCUUUCUCUGAUAUGUGCUGAGCUUCAAUUGGGAGUCAUCUCUACUUUCUUCGAUGAAAUCGAGGUCGAACCUCCGAAGCUCAUCGUUGGUUAUCUCGCUAAAGUGCAGACGUCUUGGGGAUGGAAGUUAGACCUCCACGGGGCUCAUCGCCUCAGUUCCAUAUGCCAUGAGGAAGGGCGUUUCCCUUGUUGUGGUCCUGGUGGUGGUUUGGAUCGCCCAAAGGACUUAGGGCAACUCAUCAACCCAGGCCCCUUUUGAUAUAUCAAGCUUCCUUUUCAGGACGUGCUUGAUUGUCUUGCUCACGGCCUCAACUUGGCCAUUCGCUUGUGGGUGGUGAGGUGUGGAGAAGUGCUUCUUUAUGCCAAGCUCUUCGCAUAAUUCUCUAACCUUCUUGUUGUCAAACUGUCUGCCAUUGUCUGAGACAAUUGAGUAGGGAAUUUCAAACCGACAAAUAAUAUUUUUCCAUAAGAACUUGAAGGUGUUGGCUUCAGUGGUUUUUGCCAGUGGUUCAGCUUCGACCCACUUUGUGAAGUAAUCAAUAGCCACAAUUGCAAAAUUUGCCCCUCCUCUACCUUUAGGUAGGGGACCUAUGAGAUCCACACCCCAUUUUGAGAAAGGCUAGGGGCUAGAGAUGACGGUCAAAUCCUGCGAUGGUUGUCUCUGCACCGGAGAGAAGUGCUGGUAUUUAUCAUAUUUUCGUACAAACUCGAGGGCGUCCCGCUUUAGGGUAGGCCAGUAGUACCCCUGCCUCAAUAUUUUUUUGUGCGAGAAGUAGACCUCCGGAGUGGUUGCCGCACACGCCCUCGUGGACUUCUCUCAAUAUGUAGGUAGCUUCUUCUCCUCCGACGUACCGUAAAAGUGGGGAAGAGAAGCUCCUCUUGUAGAGAAUGUCAUCAAUGAAGAGGAAGUGAGCUGACCUCCUUCUUAGCUUGUAAGCCUCAUUCUUGUUAGUUGGCAGUACUUGGUCUUUGAGGUAUGCUAUGAUUGGCUGCAUCCAAGUGGGAGUUCCAGCGAUCUACAUUACAGUUGGGGCCUCGAUCGAAGGCAGGAGGAGGUGCUCAAUAGGUACUACUGUGAGUAGCUCUGAGUCCUUGCUACUAACCAACUUCGAGAGCGCAUCCUUAUGCACAUUUUCGAUGCGAGGGAUCUGGAUCAACUCAAACUUUUCGAAAGAUGGGAUGAGGUUCAUCACCAUUUUCAGAUAGGAGGUCAUCGUUUUAUCUUUGGCUGAGAAGUUACCAUUGACUUGGCUAACAACCAGCUAGGAGUCACUACUGAUGAGUAGCCUCUUUACUUGCAUUUCGAUGGCUAGCCUGAGGCCCGCAAGAAGUGCCUCAUAUUCUGCUGCGUUAUUGGUAGCUUUGAAUUCGAACCUCACCGUCGAGGUGAGUUUGUGACCUCCGGGGCUGAUGAGGACAACCCCGGCACCUGAACCGACAUCCCCAUUUGACCCAUCGACAAAGAGAUUCCAUGUGGGGGGCUCGGCGGGUUCCAUGAUUUCAUCCACCUCGGGUAGGUUGGCGAAUUCAGCCACAAAGUCAGCCAAGGCUUGCCCUUUUAUGGCUGCCCUAGCCUUGAACACAAGGUCAAAUUCACUUAGUUCCACUGCCCAUUUCAAUAACCUUCCUGAGGCAUCGGGCUUUUGGAGUACCUACCUCAGGGGAAAGUUUGUCAGUAUAUGGAUGGUGUGAGCUUGGAAGUAGGGUCUCAAUUUCCUAGAGGCCGUGAUCAAGUCCAAAGCGAGCUUCUCCAUAUUAGGGUAACGGAUUUUCGGUGACAGGAGCACUUUACUUGUGUAGUUUACAGGGAGUUGGGUAGACCCUUCUUCCCGUAUCAAAAUCGAGCUGAUGGCUUCAUUGGAGACGACCAAAUAUAGUUGUAGGAUAUCACCGGGCUUCGAUUUGGAGAGGAGGGGGCCUGUCCCAGGUGCCUUUUCAAGCAUUGGAAGGCCUCUUCACAUUCCUCAGUCCACUGGAAUUUCUUCCCAGCCUUCAGUACUUUGAAAAAUGGGAAGCAUUCGUCUGUAGCUUUGGAAAUGAAGCGGCUAAGUGCGGCCACUCGCCCAGUAAGAUUUUGCACCUCCUUUGGCUUUUGAGGCGAUCUCAUCUUGCAUAGAGCCUUAAUCUUCUUGGGGUUGGCCUCAAUUCCUCGUUGGUUGACCAUGUACCCCAAGAAUUUGCCAAAGGCACACUUGAGGGGGUUGAGUCUCAUCCUAUACCUUCUUAGGAUUUGGAAAGUGCUGUUGAGGUGUGUUAUGUGGUCCUCAGCCUCCAAAGUUUUUACUAGCAUGUCGUCUACGUAGACCUCCAUUGUUCUGCCAAUGAGGUCCAUAAACAUCUUUUUUACGAGUCUUUGGUAGGUUGCUCCGACGUUUUUCAACCCGAAGGGCAUCAUUGUAUAAUAAUAGAGGCCUCAGUCCGUGAUGAAAGAGGGGUGCUCUUCAUUGGCCGGGUGCAUGGGAAUUUGGUUGUAGCCGGAGUACGCGUCCAUGAAGCUCAACAACUCGUGCCCAGCCGUGGAGUCUACUAGUUGGUCAAUCCUUGGGAGUGAAAAGCUGUCUUUCGAGCAAACUUUAUUGAGGUUGGUGAAUUCGAUGCACACCUUCCACUUGCCGUUGUGUUUCUUUACAAAAAUCGGGUUGGAGACCCACUUCGGGUAGGUUGCCUCCCUGAUAAAGUCAUUUUGGAUGAGCUUCUGAACUUCUUCCUUUAGGGCCUCAUACCUCUCAGGAUUGAGGGCUCUCCUUUUUCGUCUAUGCGUGGCAACCUUAGGAUCAAUUUUCGGGUGGUAGCAACUGACCUUAGGGUCUAUGCCUACCAUGUCCUCAUGCUUCUAGGCAAAGACAUCAAGAUUCUUGCUCAGGAAAUCCUUAAUCUUUUCCUUCAAAAUGUUGGAUAGGCAUUUGCCUACCUUCAGCACCUUUGAUGGGUCUCGGGGGUCUACCGAGAAGCUCUCAAGUUCCUCUACCGGGGAUGCUUGAGGCUCGUAUUCCAUUAUGCGGGGUCAACCUCAUCAAUGACUAGCACCUCCGGAUUAGGUGGUGCGUCGAUCAUAUCAACAUCUUCUUGUUCGGUGGGAGCAUCACCUGGGACAUCAGCCAUGACCACAUUAGCUAUGAUUACAUGGAUGUCCCGUGGCUCUACUUUCUUGAUGGAGCUUAGAUAGCACUCUCUCGAGCCUCUUUGGUCUCCUCUCACCGUUGCCACCCCAUUUUCUGUCGGGAAUUUCAUGCAUAGGUGGUGGAUGGGGUGACUGCUCCCAAUUCCUUUAGGGUUGGUCUGCCCAACACUCCAUGAUAAGCCGACCAGCUAUCGACAAUAAAGAAUUCCAUGAAGUUCAUCGUUGUUCGUGGGGAUUCUCCCAUCUCCACUUCAAGUGUUAUCUUUCUCCUCGGAGUGAUGCUAUCUCCGGUAAAUCCAUACAAUGGAGUGGUAGUGGGUGUCAACUGAUGAUCCAAUAUCAUCUUGUCAAAGGCGGAUCCAAAUAGAAUGUUGACGGAGCUGCCGUUGUCAACUAACAUUCGUUUGAGCCCAUUCCGGGCUAUGACAGCCCUCACCACAAGUACAUUGCAAUGGGGAUAAUGAACUCCCUCGGCAUCUUCAUGUGUGAAGACAAUGGGUGGAACCUGGUUUCUUCGGGAGCUACUACCCACAAUGUAGCUUGUCAAAGGGGGGUGUUUAGCCUAUCGAGCAUAAUUCCUUUUGGCGUUUCGUGUUUCACUGCCAACAUACGGACCUCCAAAUAUGGUAUCCACCUCGUGGAUAGGGGCUUCAUCUCGAGCUUGCAGAUUUCUUCUGUGCCUACGCCCUUCCCUGGGCCUCUCUGCAUCAUGCUCCCUUCGCCGUGGGGAUACAUCGCUUUGACGGGGAGCAGCCACCUCACGCCCACGUCAGUUGUCGUGCCUGGGCAGGGGCCUGUUCGCUUGGGGUGAAUCAUGUCUGUCUCUAGCGGGUUCCUAUCGGGAACGUUGUGCAUAGUCUCUGCAAUCCGCUAUGUCAUGCCCGUAGGACCUGUGGUGCACACAGUAUCCUGGGGGGUUCGGAUUUAACCUAUUUCUAGGUCCAGAACCUCGGCCUCGGCCUCUUUCUCGACGGGGUGUCUGCUGGGCCUCCAUCUGAUGGGGGUCAGUAAUCGGGUUGACAUCUUCAUAUGCCAAGGUGGGAACCGCAUUCAAAGUGGUGGUGGCAAGUGCUUAGCCAGAGUUCUCGUUACCGGCCUGGUUUAUUUGGUAGCCCAUCAGGUGGGAGGUCGGGCCUCUACCACGCUAUCUUUGAGGAGGUGGGAGGCCUCUACUUGCCCUGUUCCUAUACUCAAUCAAUUCUUCAUUGAUGAUCUCCCUUCUCAUCAUUUCGAGUAGGGCGUCAUAGGUGGUGGGGUCUUGAUUCUACACGUCCCUCCAGAAUAAGGUAUUCAUGUUCAGACCUCCCUUCAAUGCGGAUAGUGCCUCUUGGUCAGUGACAUGUACGCAGUACGUCAUCUCAUCGGUGAAGCGUGAUAAGACGCUCUUUAGGGACUCCCCAUGUGCUUGUCUCAUGUCCUGGAGACGUUGGAUGGGGGCCUCUCCUUCUUUGCUCACCGCGAACCUCUUCAAGAAUGUUAUCUUGAACUCGGGCCAGCUUCUAAUGCUCCUAGGUGGCAAUCUGCUAUACCAAAUUUCAGCCGCUCCACUAAGCGUUAAAUGGAAGGCUUUGCACUUCAUGGCUGGGGUGGCGCCCCUUAGGCUCAUGUGAGUUUUAUAAGCAUUCAAGUGCUUCUCCGGGUCACCUCUUCCGUCAUACUUUAGUAUUUUUGGUAUAACAUAGUAGCUUGGGACAUGGGCAUUCCUUAGUUCCCUUGAGAAUGGUAGAUUCUCAUCAUCAUCGUCCAAGUCGCAGGACCUCUGCUGUUCAUCAGAGUCGUACUCAUCAGCCUCAUACCCUGGCUGUUGGUGAGAGGUUCCAAGGGAUACCACUAGUCUGUAGAGAGGAGAGAACCUAUAUGCUAGUAGGUUCGCAAGCGCCGCCGUCUGUCCGACCGGCUCGACACCGGGUACCGUGGGCUUCGGCCCGUUGGUAUAUAUAUUUUUGGUAAAAUAAUAUUUUAAAUUAUACUAUUUUAUUAAUUAAAUAAUAUAUUUUUCUCGAAUUUUAUGUGCGAGACAUGUGGAUUCUUUAGAAAUUGGCGGUUGGUGACAGUUUUAACUGCCUGUCCCAAUGGGUUAUCUCUGUUCCAAGACACAACUUUUCGACUGUUGUGUUUUUUGGGCAAAACCUUUCAACUUCUAUAAAUAGAUCACAGAUCCCCAAUUUUUAUUCACUCUAGAAAAUUUAUUCUACUUCCCUUCCCCUACAAUAUUGUCUUUCUGUCCUACAGCUUUCCAUAUAUUUGCAUUUCAGUCCCAAAUAUUAUUUUUGUGCAUUUUAGUCCUCCGAUUCUCGAGAGAUCAAAUAUUAGUAGGUUCGUCGGAUCUUGUAAUUUAGAGUGCUACUAUUACAAGUCAAGGUCGUUGUAUCUUGGUAAACGAGUGCCACAAGACCGUCAGCACCAGUGCGGGACAUUUUCGUCUUAAGGAGAAAGAGUCGAACUCUUGCCUCGACCUUUAUUUAUUGUGCUAAUUUUGUAAAUCGAAAUUCUGCCUGAAUAUUUAUUAGCUAUUUAUUUUCCGCACGACAUUCUUUUAAGAUUUUCAACAAUCUUAAGACGAAAAUUUUUAUUUACGUGCCAAUUUAUAUUUUAAAAUUUUGUUAGACUAUGGCAAGUAACAACACAUCCGUCGUACCUCCAAACAAUGCUCACGGGGAGAAACCAGAAAAAUUCACAAGAGGGGAUUUUAAAAGAUGGCAACAGAAAAUGUUGUUUUAUCUCACAACUCUAAAUUCGGCAAAAAUUCUUGAGUGAAGAUGCUCCAACCGUUGAGGAGAAAGAAACAGAUUCUCAAAAAUGAGCAGAAUUCGAUGCAUGGAGUCAUAGUGACUUCCUGUGCAGGAACUACAUCCUCAAUUGUCUUGACAACACACUAUACAGCGUAUACAGUUCAGUCAAGAUAGCUAAGUUACUGUGGGAAUCAUUGAAAAAGAAGUUCAAAACGAAAGAUGCCGGAUUAAUGAAAUUCGUCAUGGUCAAAUUCCUAGAUUUCAAGAUGAUAGAUUCUAAAACAGUGAUGAAUCAAGUCCAAGAGCUGCAAAUCAUCUUGCAUGAUAUACAUGUAGAAGGUAUGAAGCUUAGUGAGUCAUUUCAGGUCGUCGCUAUUAUCGAGAAAUUACCUCCAAUGUGGAAAGAUUUCAAUAACUACCUGAAACAUAAACGUAAGAAAAUGGGACUUGAAGAUCCGAUUGUAAGAUUAAGAAUUGAGGAAGAUAAUUGAAAUUUUGAGAAGAAGUCUAGAAAGCUUCAUAUGGAGGAUAAAGCCAAUUUGGUGGAGCCAAAUACUAGCAAGAAAAGGAAACACUUAGGUAAUGGCAAGCAAAAAAAUAAGGCUAAGAAAUUCAAAGGAGAUUGUUAUAACAGCGGUAAGCCUGGUCACAUCACAAAGGAUUGCUGACAGAAAAAACAAAAUAAAAAUAACCAAGUACACUCGACCGAGGUGACAAAUUGUCUAAUGAUGUGUCUGAAUUAAUGCUCUCAGCUAUUGUAUUUGAAGCAAACAUGUGGACAAUCCAAGAGAAUGGUUCGUAGACACAGAUGCUACUCGACAUGUUUGUACCGAUAAGGAGAUGUUUUCAUCCCACACUCCUAUCAAUGGAUGACAAUUAUUUAUGGGAAACUCAGCAACAUCCAAAAUUGUUGGUCUAGGUAAAGUAGUGCUGAAGAUGACAUCAGGAAAAGAAGUAACUCUCGUCGACGUGUUGCAUGUUCUUGAUAUUCGUAAAAACUUGGUAUUCGGAGCUUUGUUAAGCAAAAAUGGGUUUAGGCUAGUAUUUGAGUCUGAUAAGUUUAUACUUACCAAAAGUGGCAUGUUUGUGGGUAAGAGGUACUUAGCCAAUGGGCUAUUCAAAAUGAAUGUAAUACCUGUACUUCGUGAUUUUGAUGUCAAUAAAAUUAAAUCUUCUACUUACUUGAUUGAGUCCUCUAACUUAUGGCAUGAUAGAUUAGGACAUGUUAACAUUAAAAUUUAAUGUAAAUUAGUAAGUGUGAAUCUAUUGCCUUCAAUUUCAUUUCAUUAAUAUCAUCGAUGCGAAAUUUGUGUAGAGGCUAAAUUAGCUAAAACGCCCUUUCAUUCAGUGGAAAAGAACUCAAAUCUUCUAGAACUCAUUCACAGUGAUAUCUGUGACUUAAUGUUCAUACAAACUAGAGGAGGAAAAAAGUAUUUUAUUACUUUUAUAGAUGACUGCACUAGGUACUAUUAUGUAUAUUUGCUAAGAAGCAAAGAUGAGGCCUUAGAAACGUUUAAACAGUACAAGAAUGAGGUUGAAAAUCAACUUAGCAAACAAAUAAAAGUUAUUUAUAGUGAUAGAGGUGGAGAAUAUGGGGCACUGUUUGAAGAUUUUUGUUCAAUUUCUUGGAUUAUUCAUCAAACUACAGCACCCUAUUCACCUCAGUCAAAUGGUAUUGCUGAACGCAAAUAUCAUACUCUUAAAGAGAUGAUGAACUCUAUGUUAAUCAAGGGAAAGCAAUCCUCUUAGCAAGCCACAUUCUAAAUAAAUUACCACACAAAGGUAAGAACGAAACUCCUUAGGAGUUAUGGAAAUAGCAUAAACCUUCGUACAAAUACUUGAAAGUGUGGGGAUAUUUGACUAAGGUAGAAGUACCAAAACUUAAACAAAUUAAAAUAGGGCCAAAAACUAUCGAUUGUGUAUUCAUCGGAUAUGGUAAUAAUAGUAGUGCGUAUUAGUUCCUUGUACAUAAGUUCGACAUUCUAGACAUACAUGAAAAUACUAUUAUUGAAGCAAGGAAUGGUGUAUUUUUUGAGGACAUUUUCCCUUGUAAGGAUAGGAAAGAGAUUAGUUCACAAAAAUGAACUUAUGAUGCUACAAUUGGUAAUCAUCAAAGCGAUGAAAAACUAAAACGUAGUAAAAGAUCUAAAACGGCUACAUCCUUUGAUCCAGAUUUGCUAACUUAUUUGUUAGAAAAUGAACCUAAGACAUUCAAUGAAGCUAUGUCAAGUCCAGAAGCUCCAUUCUAGAAAAAGGCUAUCAAUAGUGAAAUUGAUUCUAUUAUACAGAAUCAUACAUGAGAGCUGGUAGAUCUCCCACUAGGUAACAAACCGUUAGGUUGUAAAUGGAUUUUCAAGAGAAAAUUAAAGAUUGGUGGAUCAAUUGAUAAAUAUAAGGCCAGAUUGGUAACUAAAUGAUUCAAAAUAAAGGAAGGUCUUGAUUUUUUUGAUACAUACUCUCCGAUAAGAAGAAUAACAUCUAUUAGAGUAUUAAUUGCAAUUGCAGCAUUGUAUAAUAUGGAGAUCCAUCAGAUGGACGUUAAAACAACCUUCUUAAAUAGAGAGCUAGACAAAGAAAUCUACAUGGAACAAUCUGAGGGGUUCAUUGCUUUUGGACAGGAGAAAAAGGUGUGUAGACUCGUUAAGUCACUAUACGGACUAAAGCAAGCACCAAAAUAGUGGCAUGUAAAAUUUGACAAAACUAUGUUAUCAAAUGGCUUUAAGAUUAAUGAAUGUAAUAAAUGUAUUUAUAUUAAAGCCACACCCAGUGCAUAUGUAAUUGUAUGUCUCUAUAUUGAUAACAUGCUAAUAAUGAGUAGUAAUCAUGAUAUCAUAAUAACUACCAAGAAAAUGUUGACAAAAUAUUUUGACAUAAAAGAUAUGGGUAUUGCAAAUGUAAUAUUAGGAAUUAAAAUCCUUAAGACAUCUAAGGGACUUGUUCUAUCUCAAUCUCACUAUAUUGAGACUGUGCUUAAGAAAUUUCAUAUAUAUGAUGAAAGUCCAGUUAAAACUCCAGUAGACUUAAGUCUACAUUUGGCCAAACAUAAAGGUGAGCUUGUAUCUCAAUUGGAGUACUUUCGAAUAAUAGGUAGUCUAAUGUAUAUCACCAACUGCACUCGUCCGGAUAUAGCAUAUGCAGUGAACAAGCUUCUUAGAUUCACAAGUAAUUCAAAUACUGACCAUUGGAAGGCAUUGACAAGGGUACUUAGAUAUCUACGAUACACCUCAAAUGUUGUAUUACAUUAUAUAAGAUAUUCAGCUGUAUUAGAAGGAUACAGUGAUGCUAAUUGGAUAUCAUAUACAAAAGAAUCAAAAUCCACUAGUGAUUACAUCUUUACCAUCGGUGGUGCGGUCGUAUCUUAGAAAUCAUCUAAAAAAUGUGUAUAGCUUGAUCCGCGAUGGAAUCAGAGUUCAUAGCUUUAUAUAAAGCUGGAGAAGAAGUAGAAUGGCUCCGUAAUUUUUUAGAGGAUAUUCCAUAUUGGCCUAAACAUGUGCCUGCAGUUAGAAUACAUUGUGAUAGUUAGUCAGCUAUCGGUAGAGCACAAAGUAAUAUGUAUAAUGGUAAGUCUCGACAUAUCCAUCGAAGAUAUAAUACAAUUAAGCAGUUGAUCUUGACUGGUGUCAUUUCCAUAGAUUAUGUAAAAUCUAGAGAAAAUCUCGCGGAUCCGCUCACAAAAGGUUUACAAAGAGAUCAAAUGUAUUACAUAUCAAGGGGAAUGGGCUUAAAGCCUACUAAGUAAGGAUCUUUGUAACGACAACCCAACCUUGUUGAUUGGAGAUCCCAAGAUCUUGGUUCAAUGGGACAACUAAGUUAUGAAGAUUCAAAAAGCACUUCGGAGUUUACUCCUACCCAUUCUUAUGAUAAGAGAAGUGCUAGGUUCAAUGGGACAACUAAGUUAUGAAGAUUCAAAAAACACUUUAGAGUUUACUCCUACCCAUUCCUAUGAUAAGAGAAGUGCUAUCUAUAGAAAGUCUUAGGUUAAGAUAUGCUUUUAAUGAUUCCUAUAACUUAAACUAUCAAAGUGGAGUAUGGAAGGUACUCUUAAUAGAAAAUCACCUAUAUAAGUGUGAAGUGGGGCCGCUUCCAUGUUAAUGUUUCAAGGGUUUCAAUUCUCUAAAGCACUUAUGAAAUUCAAGAGUUGUUCUGAGCCAAAAUGAACACAACAGCGAGAACUCGAAAAUAUUAUGGAGGUAAUUAUGUUGUUGUUAUUGUCUUGGUUUACAAUAACGGCUGAGUUCAAGACAUCACGUUCACUGAUUAGCCAAAUAAAUCCAAUAGUAUACUACUAUAGAAGGUUCAAAGCCAUAAGGUACCUAUCCAGAUGCAAUAACUUUCCGCCCGAUCUCUCGUUAGGGUCUGCAUCAUUUAUUGUAUUAAUUUCCAUUCAUGUUGGGGAUUGUUGGAAAAUUGGAAUAAUUAGUUGGUUUCACCAACUUUUAACCAAUUAUUUAAGUGGGUCCUGUUAGUUGGAUAAAUGAUUUAUUUGGUCAAGUGCAUUCUACUCCAUGAGUAGAAUUGAUAUAUGUAUUUAUUCUCAAAACUAAUUAAGGGUGAAUGAGAAAUUAAAGCCAAAAGAUGACCACUUGAAAUUUAAAUAAAUUGAGAAUAAAAAUUGGUGGGAAAUUGGAAAGUGUCAAUCCCACAUAGGAAAAUUAGAAGAAUAGAAAUCACUUUAUAUAAUGACUUGGGUUUGGGCCCCAAGGGGUACCACUAAUCUUUAAAGGGGGAGGACCUACAUGGUAGUAGGUUCAGCUAAAGCCCACACGCGCGCUUCGCCGCCGCCAUCUGUCCAACCGGCUGGCUUCGGGUUGUAAUCGUGGGCUUGGGCUUGGCCCAGUUUGUAACGCCCCGACCCCUUGUGGAUCGGAACGCUACUUACUUUACUAAACUAACUAGUGGUUUAGUCAUAGGAGAAUAUGUUUUAGCGAAAGCUUUGAUUUUUACAAUGAAAAUUUUAAUAACAACCUUUCGAAUGCUUUAAAUAAAACACUGAAUAAAAAAAUAACGGAACAUAAUUUAUUUGAAGAAAACACAACUUGUUCUCGCGUUCAGCGUUAUUCAAAUAUUUUAAAGAAAUAACAUUGAAAACGUUCACAAAAAUAAAUCUAAAUAACUUGUUCACCGGAUUUUCCAUGGGCUCGUUGCACCACUUUCCAUCUUUUCUAUCAUCCAGUCCCAAGGUAGAAUCAUAUCAAUCUGUAGAGAAGAGGUUAAACCCGUGAGUUAAAAAAUUCAAUAGAUAUCAUUGGUGCAUUCGUGAUCAAGCUAUACAUUUCAAAGCUGUAACUUUAGAAACCUUUUCAUAGUAGAAUUUUCGGUAGAAUCCCAAACACGUAGAGUCAUGACUUAACACGACGUCUCGACCGGAAGUACAUGCCGUACCCGGAGGUACCAUUAGACAUGGAGGUGUAUGUCGUACCGGAGGUACCAUUAGACAUACAAACAUUAACAUAAAUCUUCAUUUGCUAGAAAUUUAUAACUUAACACGAAUUAACACUUUGUACCUCUACCUACCUUGUUGAUGCUUUGAACCUUGUUGAGAAAUGCACUCCUUUGAUGUUUCAAAAAAACACUCCGUUGAGAAUUGAUGUUUGGAAAACACUUCUUGAUAGCACCAAAACUUCUAGGAAAAACUAAUUUUCCUCCCUCUCCUUUUUCUUUUUUUUUUCUAGACUUGAAAACUCUCUCUUUUAUGCUUAGAAGUUUGUCUUGGUGUGAAAAAUGUGUAUGCAUUGGUGCCUAUUUAUAGUUGAAAAUCUCACAACCCAGAAUUUGACUUUUCAUAUUCCGCGUACUUCGGUUGAUACUGUACAACUUUUAGUAUUUCUAUCAUAACUUCUUCUCCCGAUAUCUGAUUGAGGUAAUUCAAAGUGCGUUGGAAAGCUAACUCAAAGAGCUACAACUUUUCUUUAGAUAUCAUUUUCCAAAUCGAAUGUUUUCUAUGUUUUAAAUGGGUCUCAAAUGAGACUAAAAAUCUGAAGUAUACUUUAGCCAUCCAAUAUUCAUGUCUUAGUGCCACUAAGGUGUUUAAAAUUAUUUGGGGUUCUACAUAGUUGGUAUAUAUUUUUUUGGUAAAAUAAUAUUUUAAAUUAUAUUAUUUUAUUAAUUAAAUAAUUUAUUUUUAUUAUAUUAUUUAUUUUUCUUCCUCGAAUUUUCUGUGCGAGACAUGUGGAUUCUUCUAAAAACUGACGGUUGGUGACAGUUUUAACUGCCUAUCCAAAUGGGUUAUGUCUGUUCCAAGACACAACAUUUCGACUAUUGUGUCUUUUGAGCACAACCUUUCAACUUCUAUAAAUAGACCACAGAUCCCUGGUUUUCAUUCACUCCAAAAAAUUUAAUCUACUUCCCUUCUCCUGCAUUAUUAUCUUUCUGUCCUGCAGUUUUCUAUAUAAUCGUAUUUCAGUCCUAAAUAUUAUUUUCGUGCAUUUUAGUCCUCCGAUUCUCGAGAGAUCAAAUAUUAGUAGGUUCGUCAGGUCUUGUAAUUUGGAGUGCUACUAUUACAAGUCGAGGUCGUUAUAUCUUGAGAGACAAGUGUCAGGAGACCGUUUGCACCAAUGCGGGUCAUUUUUGUCUUAAGAAGAAAAAGUCAAACUCUUGCCUCGACCAUUAUUCAUUCUAAUUUACUGCGCCAAUUUUGUAAGUCGAAAUUCCGCCCAAAUAUUCAUUCGCUAUUUAUUUUCCGCACGACAUUCUAGAAGAUUUUCAACAAUUUUAAGAUGAAAAUUUUUAUUUACGUGCUAAUUUAUAUUCUGAAAUUUUGUUAGACUAUGGCAAGUAACAACACAUCCGUCGUACCCCCAAACAAUGCUCACAGAGAGAAAUCAGAAAAAUUCACAAGUGUGGAUUUUAAAAGAUGGCAACAGAAAAUGUUGUUUUAUCUCACAACUCUGAAUUUGGCAAAAUUCUUGAGUGAAGAUGCUCCAACUAUUGAGGAAGAAACAGAUUCUCAAAAACGAGCAGCAUUCGAUGCAUGGAGUCAUAGUGACUUUCUGUGCAGGAACUACAUCCUCAAUUGUCUUGACAACACACUAUACAGUGUGUACAGUUCAGUCAAGACAGCUAAGUUACUGUGGGAAUCAUUGGAAAAAAAGUACAAAACGGAAGAUGUCGGAUUAAAGAAAUUCGUUGUGGGCAAAUUCCUACAUUUCAAGAUGAUAGAUUCUAAAACAGUGAUGAAUCAAGUCCAAGAGCUGCAAAUCAUCUUGCAUGAUAUACAUGCAGAAGGUAUAAAGCACAAUGAGUCAUUUCAGGUCGCCGCUAUUAUCGAUAAAUUACCUCCAAUGUAGAAAGAUUUCAAGAACUACCUGAAACAUAAACGUAAGGACAUGGGACUUGAAGAUCUGAUUGUAAGACUAAGAAUUGAGGUAGAUGAUCGAAAAUCUGAGAAGAAGUCUAGAAAGCUGCAUAUGAAGGCUAAAGCUAAUGUGGUGGAGCCAAAUAUUAGCAAGAAAAGAAAACACUUAAAUAAUGGCAAGCAAAAAAAUAAGGCUAAGAAAUUCAAAGGAGAUUAUUAUAAUUGCGGUAAGCCUAGUCACAUCGCAAAGGAUUUCCGAUAGAAAAAGCAAAACAAAAAGGGCCAAGUACACAUGACCGAGGAGACAAAUUAUCUAACGGUGUGUCUGAACUAAUGCUCUCAGCUGUUGUAUUUGAAGUAAACACGGUGGACAAUCCAAAAGAAUGGUUCAUAGACGCAAACGCUACUCGACAUGUUUGUGCCGAUAAGGAGAUGUUUUCAUCUUACACUCUUAUCAAUGGAUGACAAUUAUUUAUGGAAAACUCGGCAAUAUCCAAAAUUGUUGGUCUAGGUAAAGUAGUGCUAAAGAUGACAUCAGGAAAAGAAGUAACUCUCGUCGAUGUGUUGCAUGCUCUUGAUAUUUGCAAACACUUGGUAUCCAAAGCUUUGUUAAGCAAAAAUAGGUUUAGGCUAGUGUUUGAGUCUGAUAAGUUUAUACUUACCAAAAGUGGCAUGUUUGUCGCAAGGGGUACUUAGCCAAUGGGCUAUUCAAAAUGAAUGUAAUGCCUGUACUUCGUGAUUUUGAUAUUAAUAAAAUUAAAUCUUCUGCUUACUUGAUUGAGUUCUCUAACUAUGACAUGAUAGAUUAGGACAUGUUAAUAUCAAAACUUUACGUAAAUUAGUAAGUUUAAAUCUAUUGCCUUCAAUUUCAUUUUAUCAAUAUCAUCCAUGCGAAACUUGUGUAGAGGCUAAAUUAGCUAAAACACCAUUUCAUUCAGUGGAAAGGAACUCAAAUCCUCUAGAACUCAUUCACAGUGAUACCUAUGACUUAAAGUUCAUACAAACUAGUGGAGGAAAAAGGUAUUUUAUUGCUUUUAUAGAUGACUGCACUAGGUACUAUUAUGUAUAUUUGCUACGAAGCAAAGAUGAGGCCUUAGAAGCAUUUAAAUAGUACAAGAAUGAGGUUCAAAAUCAACUUAACAAACGAAUAAAAGUUAUUCGUAGUGACAAAGGUGGAGAAUAUGGGGCACCGUUUGAAGAAUUGUGUUCAGUUUCUGGGAUUAUUCAUCAAACUAAAGCACCGUAUUCACCUCAGUCAAAUGGUAUUAUUGAAUGCAAAAAUCGUACUCUUAAAGAGAUGAUGAACGCUAUGUUAAUCAAUUCUGGUUUACCUGAGAACUUGUUGGGAAAAGCAAUCCUCUUAGCAAACCACAUUCUAAAUAAAUUACCACACAAAGAUAAGAACGAAACUCCUUCUGAGUUAUGGAAAGGUCAUAAACAUUCGUACAAAUACUUAAAAGUGUGGGGGUGUUUGGCUAAGGUAGAAGUACCAAAACCUAAACAACUUAAAAUAGGGCCAAAAACCAUCGAUUGUGUAUUAAGUGGAUAUGCCAAUAAUAGUAGUGCGUAUCGGUUCCUCAUACAUAAGUCCAACAUUCUAGACAUACAUAAAAAUACUAUUAUUGAAGUAAGGAAUGGUGCAUUUUUUGAGGACAUUUUUCGUUGUAAGGAUAAGAAAGAGAUUGGUUCACAAAAACGAACUUAUGAUACUACAAUUAGUAAUCAUCAAAGUGAUGAAGAACCAAGACGUAGUAAAAGGUUCAAAACAGCUACAUUCUUUGGUCAAGAUUUGCUAACUUAUUUGUUAGAAAAUGAACCUAAGACAUUCAAUGAAGCUAUGUCAUGUCCAGAAGCUUCAUUCUAGAAAGAGGCUAUCAAUAGUGAAAUUGAUUCUAUUAUAUAGAAUACAUGGGAACUGGUAGAUCUCCCACUAGGUAACAAACUGUUAGGUUGUAAAUGGGUUUUCAAGAGAAAAUUAAAGACUGAUGGAUCAAUUGAUAAAUAUAAGACCAGAUUGGUAGCUAAAGGAUUCAAACAAAAGAAAGGUCUUGAUUUUUUCGAUACAUACUCUCCGGUAAGAAGAAUAACGUCUAUUAGAGUAUUAAUUGCAAUUGCAGCAUUGCAUAAUAUGGAGAUCGAUCAGAUGGACGUUAAAAUAGCCUUCUUAAAUAGAGAGCUAGACAAAGAAAUUUACAUGGAACAACCUGGGGGGUUCACUUCUCCUGGGCAGGAGAAAAAGGUGAGUAAACUCGUUAAGUCACUAUGCGAACUAAAGCAAGCACCAAAACAGUGGCAUGCAAAAUUUGAUAAAACUGUGCUGUCAAAUGGCUUUAAGAUUAACGAAUGUGAUAAAUUUAUUUAUAUUAAAACCACACCUAGUGCAUAUGUAAUUGUAUGUCUCUAUGUUGAUGGCAUGCUAAUAAUGAGUAGUAAUCAUGAUAUCAUAAUAACUACCAAGAAAAUGUUGACAAAACAUUUUGACAUGAAAGAUAUGGGUAUUGCAGAUGUAAUAUUAGAAAUUAAAAUCCUUAAGACAUUCGAGGGACUUGUUCCAUCUCAAUCUCACUAUAUUGAGACUCUGCUUAAGAGAUUUCAUGUAUAUGAUGAAAGUCCAGUUAAAACUCCAGUAGACUUAAGUCUACAUUUGGCCAAACAUAAAGGCGAGCCCGUAUCUCAGUUGGAAUACUCUCGAAUAAUAGGUAGUCUAAUGUAUAUCACCAACUGCACUCAUCCAGAUAUAGCAUAUACAGUGAACAAACGUAGUAGAUUCACAAGUAAUCCAAAUAAUGACCAUUGGAAGGCAUUGACAAGGGUUCUUAGAUAUUUAUGAUACACCUCAAAUGUUGGAUUACAUUAUACAAGACAUCUAGGUGUAUUAGAAGGAUACAAUGAUGCUAAUUGGAUAUCAUAUACAAAAGACUCAAAAUCCACUAGUGGUUAUAUCUUUACCAUCGGUGGUGCGGUCGUAUCUUGGAAAUCAUCUAAACAAACGUAUAUAGCUCGAUCCAUGAUGGAAUCAGAGUUCAUAGCUUUAGAUAAAGCUGAAGAAGAAGCAGAAUGGCUUCAUAAUUUUUUAGAGGAUAUUCCAUGUUGGCCUAAACAUGUGCAUGUAGUUAGUAUACGUUAUGAUAGUCAGUCGGCUAUCGGUAGAGCACAAAGUAAUAUGUAUAAUGGUAAGUCUCGACAUAUCCGUCAAAGACAUAACACAAUUAAGCAGUUGAUCUCGAAUCGUGUCAUUUCCAUAGAUUAUUUAAAAUCUAGAGAAAAUCUCACGAAUCUGCUCACAAAAGGUUUACUAAGAAAUCAAAUGUACUGCCUAUCAAGGGGAAUGGGCUUAAAGCCUACUAAGUAAGGAUCUUUGUAAUGAUAACCCAACCUUGCUGACUGGAGAUCCCAAGAUCUUGGUUUAAUGGGACAACUAAGUUAUGAAGAUUCAAAAAGCACUUCGGAGUUUACUCCUACCCAUUCCUAUGAUAAGAGAAGUGCUAGGUUCAAUGGGACAACUAAGUUAUGAAGAUUCAAAAAGCACUUCGGAGUUUACUCCUACCCAUUCCUAUGAUAAGAGAAGUGCUAGGUUCAAUGGGACAACUAAGUUAUGAAGAUUCAAAAAACACAAGUGCAAUGAGAGCACACGAAGUAAUAGCAUAGGGUCUAAAACAUGGGAGGAUUCAUAAUGUAACGAUCCGAGCUUGUUCAAGUCGUUAUAUCAUACAUAUUGUCAGCUUUGGAAAAGCAUCUUUACCCCAACGGAUUUAUGUCAUAUCCUCCAGAAUACGAAUCCAAAUCAUCUACUUUGUGAGAGAUUUAAGUUGAAUAUGGGUACCAACUGAGCUCUGUUUUUUGCAACGACCUGAUCUUGUAUCCAAACUGUUAUAUCAUACGUACUGUCCACUUUUAGGAGGACAUCUACCCUUUUACCUCUCACAGAAUUCUGUCACGUCCCCCAAGAUUCCAAACCAAAACAUCUGCUUUAUGAGAGGCUUAAGUAAAAUCCUGGUACCAAUUGAUGGGCACAAGGCUCGAGUCAUUCGUAUUCAAAUCGUUAUAUAAUACGUAUUGUCCGCUCUGUGAGGAAAUCUCUCGUAAGGCAAAGUUUUAGAUUCGAAUUUUUUGGGGGCAUAAAAGAAAGCAAUGAGGGGGUAGUUGGGAUCAAGUAUACUAUAAACGGCUUAAACAAGAGGCUCGAGUUGUUACACAUAAAAACUUAAGUCCCUCUUCAUAAUUUUUACUUGGAAAAUUAAUACAAAAUUCUCUUAUUUUUCUCAUUAAUUUUGAAUUAUUUAAAUAAAAAAAUUUAACAUCUCACUUGAUUCAUUGCACUACUACUGAAACAAAAUCUCCUUGUAAUUAAAUUAACUAUUUUUUAUAAUUCGUAUUAUGGAUUGAUUAGACCUAAUCUCAAACACUAAAUCUUGAUUAGACAGGAGGGAAUUUUAUACCUUCUAGAUGGCUUAGUCAAGAAAAAGCUCCCAUAGCAAUAAUGUUCUGUUUGGACAUCUGGAGUGUGAAACUGAAAGUAACGGGUCUUUCCAUAAGUACAUUGUACAUUUUGUUCAAACAAACAGACUCUAAGUAUUGACUGCAAUGAGUCAAUAGAGAGACGAUACUGAGUUCUUGAAAUAACACCAAUUUCCUUCCUCAGUGAAACAAAGAAGCCAAACCCCAAGAAAAUGGAAAACCUAUUUUCCAUUUCUGUUUUUCCCUAUUUUCUCAUUCUUUCUACAUUAAUGGCAGCAUCAGCCCAGAAACAAAGAUAUGCUAAUAUUUCCCUUGGUUCUUCUUUAAAUAUCGGUACAAAUUCAUCAUGGUUGUCGCCUUCUAGACUUUAUGCUUAUGGAUUUUACAAGAUAACCAAUGGCUAUGUUGUUGGAAUUUUUAUUGCUGGGAUUCCAGAAAAGACUCUAGUGUGGACGGCCAACAAGGAUUAUCCAGUUUUUCCCAGCAACGCCAUUUUGUUAUUAACCGACGAUGAAAGGCUCAUUUUGUAGCAGGAAGAUAGAGAUGACGUAAACAUUGUAAAUCCAGACCAGUCUAUUGCUUCAGCUUCAAUGCUUGGCAGUGGUAAUUUCGUGUUGUACAAUUCGUCUCAGAGUAUCAUGUGGCAGAGUUUUGAUCACCCAACAAACACUCUUUUGCCCGGUCAACGUCUCCUGGCUGGAGAAGAGAUCGUCUCCAGUGCUUCGGAAACGAAUCCUGCGAGAGGGAUUUUCCAUCUCGUGAUGCAAGCUGAUGGGAACCUGGUGCAAUACCCUAUGGAAAUUUUCGGACCCAAUUAUGCUUACUAUGCAUCAGGCACACGGGGAACAGGUAAUAAUGUAUCACUGAAUCGUGAUAAUAAUGGCCAUCUUUACUUGUUCAACGGAAGUGCCAUUAUAAGCAAUCUAACGAGAGGACAACAUCGAAAAAGAAUUAUCAACCUCACAAGAAUUGAUGUUGAUGGUAAUUUUCGACCAUAUUAUUGCUCGUUGGAUCCUCAAGGAAACUGGACUAAAGAAUGGUCAUCCUCGGAAGAUAAAUGCGCCCCUUUGGGUUUAUGUGGGUUGAAUGGUUAUUGUAUUCAUUUGGAUAUAGUUGCGGAGUGUGAAUGUCUUCCUCGAUUCAAUCAUGUUAAUUCAGGCAAUUGGACCACAAGAUGCGAGAGGAACUUUCUCACGGAAGGUUGUAAAGCCAAUAAUCAUAAUGUCAAUUAUGAAAUCGGCUCACUAGAUGACACGGUAUGGGAAGAUGCUAAUUAUGCUAUUUUAGGAGGACUGACAAAAGAAGAUUGUGUAAAAGCCUAUUUAGAGGACUGCAACUGCGAUGUAGCUUGUUUGCAAGAUGGAUACUGUAAAAAGCAAAGGCUUCCAUUGAUAUUUGGAAAAAUAGUGCGGAGUAAUCCAAUUGUUGCUCUUAUCAAGGUGAACACAACAGCACAAACGACUCGAGGAGUUUCGAGUGAUUUGGGCAAAGAAAUCAAGAAAGUGAUUCGUUUAGAUGUCAUAAUUAUAAGCAUUUCACUUUUUGCUUUAGCGGCCUUGAUCCUGGCAAUUUCUGGGAUUUAUGUCAAUAGAAAUCAUGUUGGGAGAUAUAAGAAGAUCUCAGAUGCCGAACUGAUUGAGGGUGUUAAUUUGAGAGCAUUCACCUAUCCAGGGCUUGUGGAAGCAACAAAUGAGUUCAAAGAAGAGCUUGGUAGAGGAGCGUCUGGCAUAGUUUACAAAGGGAUCUUAUCAGACAACAGAAGUAUUGUGGCCGUGAAGAGGCUCGACAAGGAAUUGGAAAAGGGAGAAAAGGAAUUCGAGACUGAGAUGAAGGUGAUUGGAAAAACGUAUCAUCGUAAUCUGGUCAGACUUCUUGGUUACUACCGUGAAGGAGCUAAUUGGCUUCUAGUACAUGAAUACAUGAAAAAUGGAUCACUUGCAGAUAUACUUUUCAAUCAAGAAAAUCGACUGUGUUGGGAAGAAAGAAUUCGUAUUGCUCGUGAAAUUGCAAGAGGCAUCCUCUAUUUGCAUGAGGAGUGCAAGACACAGAUCAUUCAUUGUGAUAUAAAUCCUCAAAACAUACUCAUGGAUGAGCAUAGGUGUGCAAAAUUUUUUGACUUUGGACUGGCAAAGCUCUUAAAGAAAGAUCAGACAAAUACCUAUACAGGGAUUAGAGGAACUCUGGGUGACGUGGCCCCUGAGUGGAACAGGAAAUUGUCUGUGACAAUUAAAGCAGAUGUUUACAGCUUUGGAAUUGUGUUACUAGAGAUCAUAUGUGGUAGAAAAAGUGUCGAUUGGAGCCUCUCCGAGGAUGAAGCUAUUCUUGAAGAAUGGGUUUAAAAUGCUUUCGUGGGUGGGAAGGUAUGUAACUUGGUGGGAGAUGAGGAGGUUGACAAGAGAAAAUUGGACAGAAUGAUUAAAAUAGGUAUUUGGUGCAUUCAAGAUGAACCAUCUCUCCGUCCAUCAAUGAAAAAAGUUCUAUUGAUGUUGGAAGGGACUGUAGAAAUCCCAGUACCUUCGAGUCCUAGUUCCUUCCUUAGUACAAUAUAGUUUUACUUUUUCACCUUUUGUGUUUUAUUGCAUAAAUGCGGUUGCCUUUGUGAAUAUAGUUUGAGUUGGAGAAUAAAUUAAGCAGUCAUGUUCCUGCUUGAUUGAAAGCAGAUGUUUAAAUCAAUCAGAAGAUCACAAGAUAAAGUGGCUGAUUCUUGACUUUUCACUAUUGUUUUCUAUGAUGUUAAAUAAGACAGUAAAUUAACUUAUGCUUUGUCUGGUUUUAGAAUUUUCUUUCUGGUUUUCUAAAGUUCUGUUUUGUGGCUCUUCGAAAAUUGUGGAGAGCCACUUUCUCCCUUAUUAAAAAUUUCAGACGUACGUCUCUCUUAUGUUAUGUAUGUACGUUUAUAUUAUUUUUAUUUAGACAGAAAAGGUUGUUUUAAUUCAAAAAAAAAAAUCUUUUUGUAUUUAGUUAUUAAAUCUUACCCAUAUUUGAAUUCUUAUUAAAUGGACAAACUAAAAUUGAUCUAUAUUUAAUAAAAAGUUGGACUAAUUAAAAGAAUUUAAGAAUUAAACAUUUGAUGCCAACUUUUUUGAAUUUUUAAUAGUAUGAGAAUCUUAUUUUAAAGAACAUAAAAAAUAAAAAAUUAGAGAAAACGUUUCUAAACCAAGCAAGGUAAAGCAUUUAGUUUUUAUUUGGUGGGGAUUAAAUUCAAAUAUUUAGUAGAUUUUUAUAGAAGGUGAUGAAAUGUAUGGUUGAAAAGUUGUAGGUCCUAUAAAAUGUACGAUUAAAAUUAAUUGUUGACUUUGACUUGGAUUAAAAUCUUAAUUUUUAGUAGCACCAAACAAGGACUUAGUAAUUUUUAACUAGCUAUACUAAAUUAUUAUUAUUUUAAAGCAUUUAUUUAUGUUGAUUUGUUAAUUCUUUAGCAAUUGUAUUUUUUUUUAAAUCAUAUUCAAAAAUUUAAUAAAUUGCCUAUAACAGUUAAAGCAGAUGUUUACAUCUUUGGAAUAGUGAUACUAGAGAUCAUAUGUGGUAGAAAAAGUGUCGAUUGGAGUCUCUCUGAGGAUGAAGCUAUUCUUGAAGAACGGGUUUACGAUGCUCUCGAGAGAUGGGAGGUAUGUAAACUGGUGGGAGAUGGGGAGGUUGAUGAGAGAAAGUUGGACACAAUGAUUAAAAUAGGUAUUUGGUGCAUCGAAGAUGAACCAUCUCUCCGUCCAUCGAUGAAGAAGGUUCUAUUGAUGUUGGAAGAGACUGUAGAUAUCCUUCUUUCCUAAGUACAAUGUAAUUUUACUUUUUUGAAUGAUACAAGAUUCUCAAGCAUAUUUUAGUCGAUCGUAAAUUAANNNNNNNNNNNNNNNNNNNNNNNNNNNNNNNNNNNNNNNNNNNNNNNNNNNNNNNNNNNNNNNNNNNNNNNNNNNNNNNNNNNNNNNNNNNNNNNNNNNNNNNNNNNNNNNNNNNNNNNNNNNNNNNNNNNNNNNNNNNNNNNNNNNNNNNNNNNNNNNNNNNNNNNNNNNNNNNNNNNNNNNNNNNNNNNNNNNNNNNNNNNNNNNNNNNNNNNNNNNNNNNNNNNNNNNNNNNNNNNNNNNNNNNNNNNNNNNNNNNNNNNNNNNNNNNNNNNNNNNNNNNNNNNNNNNNNNNNNNNNNNNNNNNNNNNNNNNNNNNNNNNNNNNNNNNNNNNNNNNNNNNNNNNNNNNNNNNNNNNNNNNNNNNNNNNNNNNNNNNNNNNNNNNNNNNNNNNNNNNNNNNNNNNNNNNNNNNNNNNNNNNNNNNNNNNNNNNNNNNNNNNNNNNNNNNNNNNNNNNNNNNNNNNNNNNNNNNNNNNNNNNNNNNNNNNNNNNNNNNNNNNNNNNNNNNNNNNNNNNNNNNNNNNNNNNNNNNNNNNNNNNNNNNNNNNNNNNNNNNNNNNNNNNNNNNNNNNNNNNNNNNNNNNNNNNNNNNNNNNNNNNNNNNNNNNNNNNNNNNNNNNNNNNNNNNNNNNNNNNNNNNNNNNNNNNNNNNNNNNNNNNNNNNNNNNNNNNNNNNNNNNNNNNNNNNNNNNNNNNNNNNNNNNNNNNNNNNNNNNNNNNNNNNNNNNNNNNNNNNNNNNNNNNNNNNNNNNNNNNNNNNNNNNNNNNNNNNNNNNNNNNNNNNNNNNNNNNNNNNNNNNNNNNNNNNNNNNNNNNNNNNNNNNNNNNNNNNNNNNNNNNNNNNNNNNNNNNNNNNNNNNNNNNNNNNNNNNNNNNNNNNNNNNNNNNNNNNNNNNNNNNNNNNNNNNNNNNNNNNNNNNNNNNNNNNNNNNNNNNNNNNNNNNNNNNNNNNNNNNNNNNNNNNNNNNNNNNNNNNNNNNNNNNNNNNNNNNNNNNNNNNNNNNNNNNNNNNNNNNNNNNNNNNNNNNNNNNNNNNNNNNNNNNNNNNNNNNNNNNNNNNNNNNNNNNNNNNNNNNNNNNNNNNNNNNNNNNNNNNNNNNNNNNNNNNNNNNNNNNNNNNNNNNNNNNNNNNNNNNNNNNNNNNNNNNNNNNNNNNNNNNNNNNNNNNNNNNNNNNNNNNNNNNNNNNNNNNNNNNNNNNNNNNNNNNNNNNNNNNNNNNNNNNNNNNNNNNNNNNNNNNNNNNNNNNNNNNNNNNNNNNNNNNNNNNNNNNNNNNNNNNNNNNNNNNNNNNNNNNNNNNNNNNNNNNNNNNNNNNNNNNNNNNNNNNNNNNNNNNNNNNNNNNNNNNNNNNNNNNNNNNNNNNNNNNNNNNNNNNNNNNNNNNNNNNNNNNNNNNNNNNNNNNNNNNNNNNNNNNNNNNNNNNNNNNNNNNNNNNNNNNNNNNNNNNNNNNNNNNNNNNNNNNNNNNNNNNNNNNNNNNNNNNNNNNNNNNNNNNNNNNNNNNNNNNNNNNNNNNNNNNNNNNNNNNNNNNNNNNNNNNNNNNNNNNNNNNNNNNNNNNNNNNNNNNNNNNNNNNNNNNNNNNNNNNNNNNNNNNNNNNNNNNNNNNNNNNNNNNNNNNNNNNNNNNNNNNNNNNNNNNNNNNNNNNNNNNNNNNNNNNNNNNNNNNNNNNNNNNNNNNNNNNNNNNNNNNNNNNNNNNNNNNNNNNNNNNNNNNNNNNNNNNNNNNNNNNNNNNNNNNNNNNAAUCAAUUUAAGUGAAAAACUCAUUUUCGGUUUAUGAGUACACAAUGGCCAAGAAUUUCAUUAUCAACUUAAUUAGAUGAAAUAUAGAUCAUAAUCUCUUACUAUCUAAAAGCAACAAAUCAUCUAUUGAUCAUUCAUAACCUUUAUAUGAUUCUCAAUAUAUCCGAUCGAUGUCAUAUUAGCGUUCCUUGGCAGAACAAUAUUCAACAUCACCAAAGUAUGACUAUCAUAAUAUAAGGCACUAUAAUGAUUUUUCCAUAUCAGAAUAUGCAUUGGUCUUUUGAAAGUUUUUUGAAUUAACUUUGGGGAAAAUUGAGUUCUAGAUAUAUUAGCCCAUAUGAGAUUAUUGAAAGCAUUUGUUUAGUUGGUUAUCGAUUGGCCUUACCAACGGAAUUGUUCAGACUUCACGAUGUGUUUCAUGUUCCCAUGCUUCGUAAAUAUAUUCAGAUCUGUCUCAUGUUUUGGGAUUAAAACCAGUGGAGUUAAAGGAAAAUCUUACCUAUGAAAAAAAAUCAGUUCAAAUAUUGGACAAAAAGGAACAGGUCUUGUGUAGUAAGACCAUUCCUUUAGUUAAAGUCUUACAAAUGAAUCAUGCUAUAGAAGAAGCAACGUGGAAAAGUGAAGAGCAGAUACGUUCUCAGUAUUCACGACUUUUUCAUAAUUGAUCAAUUGAGUUUUGAGGAUGAAAUUAUUUUAAGUGGGUAAGUUUUGUUAUACCUUAAUUCAAAGGGAAAAAAGUUAGUCAAACAUAUAUUAAAAAAAAAAAAGAAACCAAACAAAAAAUAAAAUAAAAUAAUCAUAAAUGCGUUGGAUUGAUUUGGUUUAUAUCAAUACAAUUAUAUCCAAAUCCAUUCAUACACAAAGCACACACAACACACUGAGAAAGAAAACGAGGCAGGAAAGAAAGAAGAAGAAGAAGAAGAAAAGGAAAAAAUAUAAAAGUUCCCAACGUGAAUAGAAAAUAAGUGCUUUCUACUAUUAAGUUUGAAUUCUUGAAUUUCAAAGGUAAGUAAAAAGAUACUUAUUGAACAAUUAUGUUUAAUUUUAGAGUUGUUAGAUUAUUAGUUUCAAUUCGAUUUUAUUGAAAGGGAACUACUAAAUUAAGUAUAUUGAGCUAGGAAAUUAAGUUAAAGAGAAGAAAAAAUAGCUUAAGUGAUUAAAGGUAUUGAGAAAAUUGCUUAAGUAUAAAAAGAUUAGGAUUUAGUAUCGCCUAUUUAAUUAUUGACAUUACUUAAAAUAAUUAAUUGUUAACCUAAAAAUUGUAUCAUAUUUCAAGCGACAAUAUGGAGAUCGGGACAACCUAUCAAUCGAAUUGAUUUUGACGACAUUUUCUGUGAGUCGAAAAACUUAUAUAUUUUCAAAUAUUGAUAAAUUAAUUAUACUAUUACAUUAUGUGCAAUUAUGUGAAUUUCUUGUGCAAUUACAUGAUUAUUAUGAAAAGUUCUUUCACUAUGAUAUCUGUGAAAUCAUAAAAGUUGUACAUGGAUUACGUAUGAAUUGGAAUGUAACAUGUGAUAUUGAGAUCAACCAAAAAGUACCCAUGCAUGAUUAUAUAUUUUUUCUAGUUCACAGAGGAGCUUUGGCCCCUUUCUUUUUAAUCCUACAUGGAGGGUCUUGACUGUGUAGAUAUGGUUCACAGAGUGGGUUUUGACCGUGUCCUAGAAUUGAUUAUUAGAUGUUUUGAGACUCGCUUUCAUCAAUGAAGGGGACCUAAGACAAUGGCGAAAGUUUUUAGCCAGAGGGGCAGAUUACAAAUUUCAGUCAAAUGGUACAUUUUUGUUGGAUUACAUGUGGCAUGAUGAGAUAGUAUUAUAAAUUUGAGUUGAUGAUUAUAUUAUGACAAUGAGAUUAUAUAUUUCAGAAUUAUGAGGAUGUCUCACAUGUGGAUUGUUAUUAUUAUAUACUGUUAUAUUGUAAACUGUUAAAUGAUGUAAACUUGAUUUUCGAUAAAAAACGUAUAAAUGAAAAGAUAUAUUUAUUUUCGAACUUCUCCACUCACUGAGUUAUCAACUCAUAUAUUUUUCACGAUUUUUCUUAUCAGGUAGCAGUUGAGUUUCUAGUCAUCUUUUGGAGUUGAGCCUUUAAUUUUGGAGUUAGAACCAUACGACAGAGUUUGCUAGUAUGAUUCACUUCAUGUAGCAUGUAAUCAAUAUGUUGGGGCAAGUAGAUAACUAUGGGGGUCACUAUGAUGUUUGCGUCCAUAGGUACAUUUCAUGUUAUUUUCGUAGUAAAAGUUGUGAAUUCGGCUUAUCUCUAAUUGUGUUGUGUUAUUGUUGGAAUUUGCACAUAGUGAAUUACAGGUCGUUGAUCCUAUUUACCGAGGAGAUAAUGUUGAAAUGCUGUUAAAAAUAAUUUUGAAAAAUAUGCAUAUUGUAGUAGCCUUGAUGGUGUAUCUGACUUUGGGUUGGUAUCUAUCAUCGGCGCUCGUCACGUUUUGAGUCCACUAGCGUUACUUGAAGCGAGGCGUCUCGUAGACUUAUCCUAAACAAUGUUUGGCAUACAAAUAUUAGUAAAACAUAAAGACUUGAAAACGAAAAUUCAAAUUUCUACAUCGACUUUUGUGGAAUUGAAAUAUGAUCCAUGACUUGAAGUUACAUGGAAGAUACCUUGCACCAAGAUUGAAAGAUCAAACACGAAGACUCUUGAAAAAGACAAUUCUUGCUCACUGUAUACAAAGACUUGUAUUUGACAGUAAUUAUUUUAAAUUUGUUUCUUCUCCAAUCUUGAAGGGAACCAGAGUAUAUUUCUAUGUGUUUUAGAUAGUACUCGACGGUCCAAAGAGAAUUAUUAGUUCAAAAAGUUUGAGAAAUGAACACAAAUGGUCAUCAAUAAGUGAUCAUUUUAACAAUAAAUGUAUCUGAAAAAUAUUUGGUCGAAUGUGGUGAGUUUAAUCACAUAUUUAGUUAGUAAAUUUUAACUGUUUGGACAUAUUGAAAUCAAACUUUAGUCUAUUUUUUUGGUACGAGAACUUUAAACAUAAGACCGCAUAUCGUUCCAUACACAAUAUGUAGAUACUUUUGGCACAAGGUGGACUUGUUUAGUAUUUUUUUGUCUAAAAUGAAAACGACAAUAAAUUAAAAGCUUUAAUUUUUAAUAAAUUUCUGAUUGGUUAUAUGAAAUGCUUAUUAUCAUUCCUUUGGUAUCUUCGGCUUUGUUUGUCUACCUUUUUUCCACAUUCUACCACCUUAUUUUUUAUAUAGUACUUAUGUUUAAUCACAUUCUUCAUUAAAAUAAUAUUACACAUAAAUUAGAAACUUUUCCUUUUUUCUUUAAAUCACACAUUUCAACAUCAAUCACUAUUCCAUAAUACAUUUCUCACAAAUCUCCGAAUCUAUUGUUUUGAGUGCUAUUUAUUUUCCAUCGGUAUCUACGGGAUGAUCACAAGUAGAAAUAUGGUUAGAGCCCUUAUGUAUCUUGAACUUGUAUUAAAUUCAUUUUCUGAAUUUUACCUUUUAAUGCCAAAAAUCCUAAUUACUUUUGUAAUGACAAAUGGAAUGAUAUUAACUCAUUUUUAUUCUUUAUCUAUGUCACGCAGGUCCGAAUUCUAUUGUAACACAAGAUUCCUUUUUUUUGUGAAAUUGAAAGUUGUAAGCUGUGUUUGUGGGAGGAUUGUUGUCUAUCAUCGACCUCUAUGGUAGAAUUAGUCGGGGGCCUGAGAGGCGAUGAUUUACCUUGUGGCGGAUGUUAGCGGUUCGCGUCCGCUUAUCUUCAACUCAUGAACUUAGCCGAUACAAAACUAUAUGAUAGCAUACAAUUUUUUCGAUUCAAUGGUUCAAUAUAUGAUUUCAAGGACGUUGACAUGAUCUACUCCAUUUAGCAGCACCUUAGGAUGUCAUAGCCUCAGAAACCGCUAAUGAAAAAGAGAUGGGAUAAUAUUUGGGAAGUCAAAUAGGCCUUUUGGGGAUAGAUGGAGAGCUAAAUUAAUUGAGCCGCCUCUGACAAGCAAACAAGAGAAUUCAACUUUACAGGUGGAAAAAAUCCUACCCAACAAUAGAAAAGUUGAUAUGCCUUCUUUCUACUUAAAUCAUUCACAAUCAAGACAAACAGUGACCUUGGAAUUAUUUUUCCUAGAUUCAUGUAUGUACACUUUGUUCAAACAAACAAAGCUUAAGCAUUGACUGCAAUGAGUCAUAGCGACUUAGCGAGUACGCUGAUCACUUCAAAUAGCACAUAUUUCCUUCCCCAAUGAAACAAAGAAGCCAUAUCCCAAUAAAAGUGGAGAAUCUAUUUUCCAUGGCUGUUUUUCCAUGUUUUCUCAUUAUUUCCGCAUUAAUGGCAGCAUCAGCCCAGCAACAAAGAUAUUCCAAUAUUUCCCUUGGAUCUUCUUUAACCCCCAGUACAAAUUCAUCAUGGCUGUCACCUUCUGGACUCUAUGCUUUUGGAUUCUACAACGUAACAAAUGGCUAUGCUGUUGGAAUUUUUCUUGCUGGGAUUCCAGAAAAAACUGUAGUGUGGACAGCCAACAGGGAUGAUCCCGUCUCUCCCAGCGACGUGGUUUUAGUAUUAACCAAUGAUGGAAGGCUCAUUUUGCGGCAGGAAGGUAGAGAUGACAAAAAUAUUGUGAAUCCUCUGCCUGUUGCUUCAGCUUCAAUGCUAGGCAAUGGAAAUUUUGUGCUGUACGAUUCGGCUCAGAAUAUCACAUGGCAGAGUUUUGAUAACCCGACGGACACUCUUUUGCCCGGGCAACGUCUAUCGGCUGGAGAAGAGAUCGUCUCCAGUGCUUCGAAAUCGAACCCUGCCAAAGGGAUUUUCAGUCUCAGGAUGCAAGCUGAUGGGAACCUGGUGCAAUACCCUGCGGAACCUAACGUCACGUCGUCUGAUGCUUACUAUUCAACACAAACCUUUGGACAGGGAAGUAAUGUAUCAUUGAAUCUUGAUAAUAAUGGCCAUCUUUAUUUGUUCGAUGGAAUCUCCAUUAUAUUCAAUUUAUCAACGCGACAAUAUCGAACAAGAACUAUCUACCUCAUCCUCAUGAGAAUUGAUGUGGAUGGUAUUUUUCGUGUAUAUAAUCACUCGUUGGAUCGUCAAGGCAACUGGGCUAUAGAAUGGUUCUCCAAUGAAGAUAAAUGUGUCCCAAAGGGUGCAUGCCCGGUAAAUAGUCUCUGUAGUAUGGCGGAUGGGCAUACAGGGUGUGAAUGUCUUCCAGGAUUUUUACCUGUUAUUCCAGGCAAUCUGAGCUUAGGAUGUGAAAGGAAUUUUUCCAUGGAAAGUUGUAAAGACAAGGAUCAAAAUGUCAGUUAUAGAAUGAGAUCCCUGGAUAACACAGUGUGGGAAGACACUGAUUAUGAUAUUAUAGAAGAUAUGAUGACUAAAGAAGAUUGUGAAAAUGCUUGUUUGGGCGACUGCAAUUGUGAUGCCGCUUUCUUUAAAGAUGGAAUCUGCAGAAAGCAAAAGCUUCCAUUGAGAUACGGAAGAAGAUUGCAGGGUGAUUCAAACGUUGCUCUUAUCAAGGUGGGCACACGUUCAUUUUUCACACAGGGAGUUCCAAAUAAUUCAGUUAAUGAAGUCGUGAAAAAACGUCGUCUAGACAACUUCUUAAUCAUCAGAAUUUCGCUUGUUGCUUUGGCUGCAUUGAUCUUGGCAAUUUCUUGGUUUAUGUCCACCGAAAUCAUGUUGGGACCAAUAUGAUUUCCAACAACAGAAAUGUUGAAAUGAUUGAUGACGUUGGUUUGCGAGCAUUUACUUAUGCAGAACUUGUGCAAGCCACAAAUGAAUUCAAAGAAGAGCUCGGUAGAGGAGCAUCUGGCACAGUUUACAAAGGGAUUCUAUCAAACAACGAAAUUAUUGCGGCCGUGAAGAGGCUCGAGAAAGAAUUGGCAAGAAUGAGAGAGUUUCAAACUGAGAUGAAGGUGAUAGGGAAAACAUAUCAUCGUAUUCUUGUCCGUCUUCUUGGUUACUGCUUCGAAGGAUCCGAGUGGCUUCUGGUAUAUGAAUACAUGAGCAAUGGAUCACUUGCAGAUAUACUUUUCAAUCCCGAAAGUCGGCCAUGCUGGGAAGAAAGAAUUAGAAUCUCUCUUGAUAUUGCCAGAGGCAUCCUCUACUUGCACGAGGAGUGUGAGACACGGAUCAUUCAUUGUGAUAUUAAACCUCAAAACAUUCUCAUGGAUGAGCACAGAUGUGCAAAGAUUUCCGACUUUGGAUUGGCAAAACUCUUAAUGCUAGAUCAAACAUACACCAAUACAGGGAUCAGAGGAACAAGGGGUUAUGUUGCCCCAGAGUGGCACAUGAAUUUACCUGUAACAGUCAAAGCAGAUGUUUAUAGCUUUGGAAUUGUGCUGCUAGAAAUCAUAUGUUGUCGAAGAAGUGUUGAUCGAAGACUCUCUGAGAAUGAAGCUAUUCUUCAAGAAUGGGUUUACAACUGUUAUGCUGCCGGAGAGCUGAAUAAACUGGUGGGAUAUGAGGACGUUGACACAAGAACAUUGGACAGGAUGAUUAAAAUUGGUAUCUGGUGCGUCCAAGACGAGCCAUCUAUGCGUCCGUCGAUGAAGAAUGUUCUAUUGAUGCUGGAUGGGACUUUAGACAUUCCAGUACCUCCAUGUCCUAAUUCUUUCUGAAGUUCCAUUUAGAAUUAUUUUUUCCCACAUUCUGCAUUCUGUUUUAUCUUUUUUGUUGGUUUUGUGAAUGUAAUUUUAGUGUGAGAACAAUUAAUCAGUCAGGUUACAGAUUGAUUCGUCAUCAUUACUUGAAUUUUCUUGGAUGUUAAAGUUAAGUUGAAGAUUUUAUUUCGGGUAUUCUGUUGAUUUUAAAAGCAACAUAAAAAUUCCUGAUUUUACUUGUUCUUUAAAACUGAAAUUUUAGGCCUUCAUCAGUGCAACCUUAUUGAACCUAUGGAAACUUCCCUUCUUUUUACUCCCAUAUCUUGUUUACGUUGAUGAUUGACCAACCAAGUUUUGAUAUUUACCUCCAGGAAUCAGCCUGCCUUUCAAUGGUUUAUUUUCAUUUAAAUUCAACUAAACAUUGAAGUCUUGAAAUGAAAUUUGAAAAAGGUUAUUUGUACACGACUUUUUUACCACCUGUUGACAAAACAGUUUUUUCUAAAAAAAAACAAAAAAACAAAAAAACAAAAAAACUGUCCAAUGUGUGGUAUUCUAUCAAAAAAGCUGUCAAAUACAGUGUACAUUAAGCAUGAUUGUUUGAAAAAUACUUCAUGACGGAAAAAUGAAAGUUACAAAAUUUUGAAACUUGUCAAAAUGUCUCCACAUUUAGCCCCUAUUCGGUAGAAAUUAAAAUUUAGAUUUUAAUUUAAAUUAAAGUUAAUAAUUAAUUUUAAUCACGUAUUUAAUUGGUCCAUAACUUUUCAACUACUAGUUUCAUCAACUUUUAUCAAAAUUUAUUAAAAAUCUAAUUUUAAUUUCCAUCAAACAAGAGCUUAAUUGAAGGUAUGACAUUUGGGAUAUUUAUGGAAAUAUCUUUUUAUAUUAUUUCCUUGAUCAUUUGCACCAAAUUAUUUGUUUUAUUGCACUCGUCGUGAUCUUGACCUGGUCAGCUAGGAUCAUUCUCUUUCUUUUUAACCUGGUCAAGAUUUACCCUCUCUCAAUAAGCGUCCGUCACUAAUUUUAAUGUAACAAAAAAUUAUUCAAAUAAGAUAUGAAAAUGAAAAGCGAACACUUGAACAUCAUCUUCUCCACUUAACAUCCAUUGAGGAAAUAUAUUAUAAGGGAAUGAAAGAGGCCGGUCGAUUAAGUAAAAGUCUUUGUUUAACUAACUAUUAAUACCCACACAAAAGUUGUUGUAAUUAAACGCCGGUCCUCUAAUGCUCAUAAGAAUUGACUUAAUGAUAGUAAUGGCUUCUCCAUGCAUGUCAAUGUUUAUAAAAUAAAUAUACAAUGAAAAAUAUCUUUAGGAUUGAUGGCCCACAUUUUGUUUGAUUAAUCGUACAAAAAACUGAUGAUAGGAAAGAUCAAUAUUUUACUUGUAAUUAAGUCUCUAUUUGGUGUAGUUUAAAAACUAAAUAUUUAAGUUAAAGUCAAAUAUUAAUUUUAAUUACACGUUUCAUGUCAUCAACUUUUUUCAAUUUUUUAAUCUUGCAUUUCGUUACUUAAAUAUCUACUAAAAUCUAAUUACUAUGUGAAAUACAGGCAAAAUUAAUAUAAAAUCUAAAUCAAUUUUUUCUCUUGGGGUGCUUUCUCUUUUUCUUAUAAUGAAACUAAUUGAGUUUUUGCUACCAUAUGAUCUCUGUCAAGUUGAUCCAACUUCAGUCAGUACUAGGUCCGUUUGAUUGUGAAGAUGAAAAGAAAAUGAAAUCCAGGAAAUUGAAUUGCCUAGAAAUUAUUUUAUUGGGAAUUGUAAAUUAUUAUGUUUGAUUGGUAUAAUUUUUUACUUGAAAAAUGUUGAAAUAAUAGUAAUUUUUGGUGUUUGUUUAGCUUUGUUUUACAUGAAAAUUGUCAAUUAAAGUGAUAUAAUUUUCUGGUAUUGGAGAUGAAAUUUGCUUCCAUUGCCAAAACAAAAAAUCCCAAGAAAAUCAACUAUCUUUUGGUAUUUGUUUGACUUUGUUUUACAUGAAAAUUGUCAAUUAAAGGGAAAUAUUUUUUUACAAUAAUUCUUAGAAUUUGUUUCCAUUGCCAACAAAAAAAUAAAAAUAAAACGUUAAAGUGACUGGGAUUGGAAUAUUGGUGAGAAUUCCAAUUUAAGGAAAAUAUAGAAAAUGGCUUAUGUGGCAAGAAACUUGGAAAUGAAAUUCUAGGGAAAAAAAAUGCUAUCAAAUAAUGCAAAAGUGGAAGUUGAAAUUGAUUUUCCAUUUUCUAGGGAAAAUUUUCACCUAUCAAACAUAUCCGGCCCGUUUGAUUGCAAAGAUGAAAUUUGGGUGGAAAGAAAAAAAUUUUAGGGAAUUAAAUUGUCUAGAAAUUAUUUUCCUGAAAAUUGUAAAUUAUUGUGUUUGAUUGGUAUAAUUUUCCAUGUGGAAAAUGUUGAAUUAAAAGUAUUUUUUGAUGUUUGUUUGGCUUUGUUUUACACAAAAAUUGUCAAUGAAAGGGAUAAAAUCUACUAAUAUUGGGGAUAGAAUUUGUUUCCAUUGCCAAAAAAAAAAAUCAAGAAAAUCAUCUAUUUUUUGGUGUUCGUUUAGCUUUGUUUUACAUGAAAAUUGUCAAUUAAAGGAAAUUAUUUUUUUUACAAUAAUUCUUAAAAUUUGUUUCCAUUAUCACCAAAAAAAAAAAACACCUAGAAUUCACUUUCCAUGGAAAUUCUUUGCAAUCAAACACUCACAAUUGGCCAAGACGCAAAUUAAUUUCCAUUUUCCAUGGAAAGUGAUGCCUAUCAAACAGAUCAGUUACUUUCGAAUUGGUAAAAUAACAAUGACUCACCAAAUUUUGACUAUUUAUCAGUCGUCUUAUAAUUGAUAGAAAUCAUUAACUAGACCUAAACUAAUUUUAAACGACAUUAAACAUUUUAAAAAAAAUAGGUAUACACACCGACUUCUGAAGGAAAAAAAGAGAUAAAAAAAGAAAAAAAGAAAAAGAGUCAAGUUUUUCAUGAUACACCACCUUUUGUGGAAUUGAAUUGUCCAUUCUACAUGACACGAUCCAUGACUGGAAGUUAUAUGGAAGAUACCUUACAACAUGACUGAAACUCAAUCCAAAUUUAAAAAUAAAUUAAAAAGAAAAAGAACCGAGAUGGAAAUAUGUGCCCAAGUUUAGAAAUUCUAAACUUAUAAAUACUAACAUUAAUUUUCAUUUAAAAAAUAAAUGGAGCAAAAUAAAAUUGAAUAAUGACGAGUGUGUUUUACUCACAUUUAUUCCAUUGUAAACUUGAUCGUGAGCUAGAUUUUACGAGUAUUGAAUGUUUAUAAUAUGUUUAUUAGUUUUGUUUUGUAGAAAUGUUGAGAUGGUGAAAGACACGAAACAAUUCAUUAAAUAAAGCUAUUGGAGUGGACUGAGAAGAAAUAAUGGAAGAAAAAGAGUUAAAGCAUAAGGAGAACGGACGAGGGCUGCCACAACGCCACCAUGUGGACAAAGUUGUGGCGCCGUGACGCCACACAAUGGCACCGAGGCCUCAAAGAAAGCCAAGAGGGAAAUAGAGAGGUGGCGUAUCCCAAGUGCCACGGUGCCGUCGAUGAUUGCAUCUAGAGCGUGUUUUUGGUCCAUUUGAAAGUCCAAAACGCUACUUGCGACACAAACAAGGAGGCAACUAUAAAUACAAGUUACCACAUUUUUUAAGGAAUUUCACACUUUGAGAAGAGGAGAAUACAACUAGAGAAUCAAAGAAGCAAUUCAAUGCAGGAAAACAUCAAGAAAUUCAUUGUUUGAAGCAUUGAUUGGAAGAGGAAAAAGAUUCGGUUCAAAAUGGACUUCUUUUUCUACAUCUUCACUAAAAAUCUGGUGAUGUAUUCAUUAAUGAUCUAUUAUUUUUCCUCUUUCAUUAUGAGCUGUUAAAAUUCUUGUUAGGGUGAACAAUGUAACCUAUUUGGGACCAUUUAUUUCUUUUAUUCAAAAUUCUUGUUCUUUUAUCUGUAUGUGUUGAUUUCUCUAUGAAUUUAAUGUAUUGAAUUAUUUGAUCAUUAAUUUGAUGAUUUUGUGAAUCUUUUACGAAUCAGUAAAUUGGUAUAAUGUGUAGAGAUACGUAUACUGAUUAUUGUGAUCAUAAAUGAAUUCUUAGAACCAAGAUUUCGUUUAACUAAGGUUAAUUUGUAUAGGAAUAUGAAAUUGAAUUAGCUAAAUAGACUCAAUGGGAACUCAAGAGAAAUAAAUUGAAUAUAAUAGGAUAAUUCAAUUGAACACUACAUUAAAUUGUGAAUCUUGAUUUAAGACUUAAAUGUGAUUAAUAGGUGAAAUUGUUUUGUCCUAAUAUUUGUUCAUUAUUUAAUUUUAAAAAUCAAUCAUUGUAUGCAUCUACAUAGUCUUCCUAUUUAGAUUAAAAAUCAAAACAUACAAAUCUUUGUUUGCUUUGUCGAAUUGUAGUUAGAAAUAAAAUAGAUUAAGUGCUAAAGUAUAGCUCUCGUGGAAAAAAUAAUCCGGAUUCAAAGAUCCAUUGUGCUACUUGUUACGACCCGUAUACUUGCGGAUAUAAAAUCGCAACGAAUAACAUAAAUUAAACUUAGCUAACAUCAUCAUUUGCGAAAUUUAUAAAAUCAUAGACAAUUGAGAAAAGAAAAUUACAUAGUCCGCAAUGAUUUAUUUAUAAUAAUUCAAUAAAUUUUCAAAAGGUCUCAAAUUAUCUUAUUAGAGUAUAAAAUUUAACAUUUAACUCGAACAGUACAUAAUCCAUCUCGCCUUGUGUCAUUUAGGUCUCAUCAUUUAAAAAUAUAGUGAUGACGUGGAAUGAGCUGACGCUCAAUAAGAAAACCCUAUGCAUAUGAUAUGCAUAUACAUUACUUAAAAUAAAUAGUUUUUCUGUUAUGUAUCCCCUUUCCUUCCAUUUGUUUAAAAAGACAUUAGGAGCUCACUUGGUGUAUCACCUAACCAAUCAAAAUGUAGUGGGCAAAUAUUAGUUGAAAUUCAAUUCGUCCUAUUGGUGUAUAGCAAAGCGGUUAACAUUAACAUCAUCAUUGAGCAUUUAACAUUGGUUGGAUGCUCCGAUCCCUCACACCCCAUUUCUCACUCACCUUUCAUGGCAUAGAUAUACACCUUGUAAUGAAAAUAUCUGGGAUAAAUAUCUUUAAAAACAUUAUUUGACUCGUGACAUUUGGAAACAAUUAUACAUACGGACAUGUAAAUUAUUAAAUACAUACAAUGUCAUUUAUUUAAACAUAUACACAAAAAUUAUGUGUACAUAAAAUUUUACAUAUGGGCCUCCAUCCAAUUAAAGAUAUAUAUUGCAAAAUUAUUAAUUUGCCAUGUGGGCCAACAUAUGUAAUUAAUUGUGUAUAAAGGUUAUUUUAAAGUUAAGCCCAGAAUUAAAGUGAUCUAAUAUAGAAUUAAGUAAUUGGGCAUAGGACAUUUAAAUAAAGUGUGAGCCGGAUUAUAUAUGUAGAGAUCGGAUUCCUUUAGAAUUAUAUUUCAUGAUAGGUGAAAUAUAUAUAAAAACUAGAUAUAGAGUUAUGAUCCCCAAUUCAUAUCCAACUUCUCAUUCUUUGUGUUAUCCCAUCAACACAAAAAUAUAAGAGAAAGAAUAUUGACGAGGAAAAUACAAAAUCCAAAAUCAAGAAUUAAGAAGAAUAAAUUCAAGAAUCAAGAUUGUGGAUCAAGAAUCAAACUCAAAGGCAAGAAUUUAGAAUCUAAGAAUGCAAAACUCAAAAUUAAAAGUGAAGAAGCCAAAUAUGAAGAGAUUGCAGUAGAUCUUCAAGAUUCAAGAUCCAGAAUCAAGAUCCAGAUAUUAUUCUCAAUGAAUUAAGGUGUGUGGACACUUUAUAAUUUGACAUUGAGGAUCUUGGCAAUAAAAUAAUUAGAUUUUCACGUUAUUCAAAUUUAACGUUUCAUAAAAUUUCAACAAAUGAUAUCAGAGCCUAGUCCAUGUUAAACCAUUGGAAUGGUUAAAAUUCAUAUAUUGAGUUCUGAAAUAUUUUAAUUUAGAAUAUAAAUUUUUAACCAUAAAUUUCAAAAUUCAGAAUUAUUCAAGAAGAAAAUUUUAGGGUUGAAAUUCAUAAUUAAGGUUUUACAUAAAAAUAAAUAAAAAAAUUUUGGAAGUGAAUUUCAAACCCUAUACAUCUAAAUUCUAGGUUCAAGUUAAUUUUUCCAACAUUAAAGAAACAUCGCAAUGCUGUGGCGCCAAAUGCGAUGCUACAACGUCACAAUUCGAAAAAAAGACAGUCCCUAGGCAUGCUGUGAACAUAGCGCUUAUGGCCUAGGCGGUGCCCAAUAUUGGGCACUGUAGCACUCGUUUGCUGCAUAUAAAUUUUUUUUUUUGUUCAAAACAAAUAAUAAUAAUAAUAAUAAUAAUAAUAAUAAUAAUAAUAAGCAAUCAAUUUCAAAUUUUGGUAUUUGAAGUUUUUCCACGUUACUAAUUUUCUAAAAUCGAUUGGUUGAAACAACAUGUUAUCAAAGUAAUCUCUCUUGUCUAAAUUAAUUUAUUUGGAAUAUUAGGAAGUUUGUGUGUACGUAAUUCAUGAGGAUAUUCACCGGCCCAAAGGAAGGUCAAUAUUUAGUAGAAUUAUUUACACACAUGUGGUAAUAAUUAUGUGACAAUUGUAAAGUUUUCUAUUAUGUGAACAUUGAGUCAGUCCAAAGAUAAACUUGAUGUCUGACCAGAUUUAUUGUCAAUAUUUGAUUACUUCACCAAGAAUACCACUUACAAGUUGACAUUUCUGUCCAAAAACUAAAUAUCAAUAUUGUGCUCGGUUUCUUAUGAUGGGGUUCACCAUUAUUUGAAAUUAUUGAUUGUUCAAUACAAAUUCCCAUGUGAACAUGUUAUUUAGGUUUAUGAUCUCUAUUUGGUUAAUUCAUCAACUUCUACAGUAUCUGUCAAUAUCACUAUAAUUCAUGUGUUUGAACCGAAGUUUAAGGAUUGAAAAAAGAAUGUUUGUAUCAUUCUUGACGGCGUGGAUCUAGACCUUGCAUUAAGAAUUGAACAAUCUACUACUCUUAUGGAUAAGGGUUCCACUAAUAUAACGGGACUCGAAUAAGUGUGAUCGUUUAAACUGCAUAAGUCUUAUGAUCAUGAAGCAUAAAAUUCAAAAAAAUUUAGGGACAAUGUGUUCAGUAAGUUAGCUGCCAAGAAAUUUCUUAAAGAAUUAUUUCAAAUCGCUUUGCAAAAAAAAAACGAUAAGGUCAAAACUAGUGCACUUCUAGCAAACUAGGUUUUACUAAAGUAUAAGGCUAAAGAAAAUAUACGAGAGUACAUCAUGGAUGUGUCUCGUCUUGUUUUAAAACCAACGGCAUUAAAGUUUAAGUUAUCUGAUGAUUUGCUCAUGGAUAUGGUUUUGAUUUCUCUUCCUGCACAAUUCGAUUAAUUUAAGGUCAAUUAUAGCUGUCAAAAGGAGAAGUCGACUCUUAAUGAACUAAUUUCAUAUUAUGUGUAAGAAGAAGAAAGUUUAAAGCAAGAGAGAACUAGAAGUACUAACUUGGCAAGUACACGUAAGGACAAGUUAAAUAAUAAGAAAACUGCAACUAAUUCGAUUCAAAAGAACAUCAAACACCUGAAAAUGAUAAAUCAUCUAGCUAUUACUUUUGGGAAAAUUUGGGACAUUUUAGAUAGAUUAUACUAAAUAUCAUGCUUAGCGGGUAAAGAAAGUACACUUUCACUUUGGUUUGCCCCGUGUUUAAUUUAAUUUGAAUACCAAGACACAUUCAGUGGAUAAAUUUUGGUGUCACUACUUAUAUAAGUGUCUAUGCGGGGUUGCCUAAAUUGCCGAAAGCCAAUUGAUGCUGAAAGAUUCAUAUAUGUGGGACGAUGGCAAAUCAGUUAAAGUUGAGGCUAUAAGGAUUUUUAGGUUAUUAUUAAAAACUAGUUAUUAUUUGAAUUUGAAAGAAACACUAUACGAAAUUUGGUUUCUGUUUCUACAUUAAAAAAAAUUAGUUACUCUUAUUCAAUUGGAAAUAGUAAGUUCAGUCUUUUUCUUAAUUCAAAUAUUAUGGAUACCAGACCCUUAUCUAGUUAUGAUAACUUAUAUCUACUUAAUACAGUUGCCUCUUAUAAAGAAGCCUUGCUUGUGAAUUCAUGUGGUAUUAAACAUAAAUUAACCAAUGAGAAUUUCGUUUUGUUUUGACAUAAGCGAUUUAAUUACAUCUUUCAAAAGAGAAUGGAAAAUCUUGUGUUAGAGGGAAUUCUUGGUUCCCUUAAUUUUUCGGACUCAAGUAUUUAAGUUAAUCACAUUAAGGGGGAAAAAAAGAGAUUAGGUACCAAUAGAAUUUCGAACGUCUUAGAACUAAUUUAUAUGGAUAUCUGUGAGCCAUUUCCUUUAACUUCUUAGAUUGAUCGACAGUAAUUUAUUAUGUUAAUAGACAAAUUUUUCUCACUAUGACUAACUAUAUCUCAUCUAUAAGAAAUCUCAAACACUAGACAUGUUCAAGGCUUAUAACAUUGAGAUUGAAAAUCAAAUAAGCAAAAGAAUUAAACAAGUCAUAUCUUUCCAUAGUGGUAGUACUAUCACAGAUAUGAUGCUAAAUUCCUAGAGGAAUGUAGAAUUGUCCCACACUACACCAAAAUCUUUCUAGGUUGAAGCACUAAAGACUACAACUUGAAUUCACAAUAAAGUUUCAAUUAAAGCAAGUGUUAAGGGUUACAAAUUUUAAAGAUCAAACUAUUAAGUCAAUUUCCAAAAUGAAAAGUGCCAAGUUCUUUGAGGAUGUAGAUUUUGCCCAGGGGAGAUAAGGUCAGAGAUUUUAUGUUUGAGGAGGAAUAUAUAAAUAUUUCUUCUGUUGUAAUUGACUAUGAUAUAGAUUAGGGAUAAAUUGUUUCUCCAGAACUUGUUUAAGAAGCAAUUUCAGAUCAAGACAAUAUUAUAAAAUCUCUCAUACACAAUCAAAAGAUUGUUUCAGAAGAACAAACUAAACAACUUCAAGAACAAAUGUCAUUAAGAAAAUCCACUAAAGAAACAAAAAAUGUAAUUCGGAAAAUUUUAUAGUCUUUCCCCAAGAAAAUAAGAAUGGUAUUAUAUUGGUGGAAGAAGAUCUGAUCAAUCAACUUUCAUCAUGCAAUGCAAAGGAAUAAUUCUUAAGAAUAGAUUGAUGCCAUGAAUACUCUUUUAGGACUAUUAUGGCAUUUGAUCUUAAAUUACAUAUAAUGGUUUAUAAAUUAAGGAAAUCCAUAUUUGGGCUUAAGCAGGUUUCUCGUCAAUGGUAUCACAAUGUUCAUCAAAUAAUUAUCUCGUUCGAUUUUUUAGAUGAAUUCAGAUGAUGAUUGUGUAUAUCAUAAGUUCAGUGGGAGAUAGCAUAUUUUCUAAUAUUGGAUGUCAAUGACAUACUAUUUGCCUGCAAUGGUAAAGGACUAUUGAAUGAAACAAGAAAUUUAUGUUAUGAAAUUUUGAAACAAAAGAUUUUGGUGACCCCUCUUUUGUGUCAGGAAUACAAAUAUGUUGGAAUCGUUCUCAAGGUAUAUUUGAAUUGUCACAAAAGAGUUAUACAGGUAAAGUUCUUAAAGGAUUUCGAAUACAGGUAUAUAAACCAGGAGAUAUCCCUAUUACUAGGGGAGACAUCUUUAGUCUCAAUUAAUGCCCCCUUUGCUUGAGCAAUUGGGUGUUUAAUGUAUGCUAAUGUUUGCAUACGUCCGAAUACGGUAUUCAUUGGUUGCAUGCUAGGUAGAUAUAUAAUAACUCUAAGAAGGAUAUUUGGAAAGCAUCCAAUUAAUAUAUUCGAUAUUUUAAAGAGAACUAAAGAUUACGAGAUAUUUUGGAGGAUAAGAAGGUGUUGGAGAAUUUAUUUGGUAGGCAAAGGACAAAUGAUGUGAUUUUGUAGGAAAUAUCAAUUUUCAAGGCGACGAUUCUGGGCGCCUUCUUUACAAGCGUAAACUUGUAACUACUGGAAUCCAAGUUCCAACAUGCUGUGAAUAAAGAGAUCGGUCUCUAUUUUUCUAAUCCUCUCUCUAUUCUUUUGCUCGAUUUUCUACUUCAUAUCAAUGGGUUUUAAGGUGAAGGCUGCGGUGAACGUUGUUUUGGUGAGUUGGCAAUGACCACGGUGGGUGGGAGCAUUUGGUUGGGAAGAAAGGUUCCAUUUUUUUCCUUUCUUUCUUUUUUCAUUUGUUCAUUUUUUUUUAAGUGAAUAGACGGCUUUACCCUCCCCUAUUCUGGUAGAAAAUGGUCAAUUUAAUUUUGGUGGUCAACUGACAAAAUUGUGGAUAGAAACCAUCCAAAAGAGCCUCAUAUGCAACAGUUGGAAGGUUAUGAGUGAUGGCUGCAACAAUUGAAAUGUGUUCAUGAACAGUCUGCUAGUAUUUCAAAAAUUUGGGACUUCUACUGCAAUUAGCCCUAGGUUUUAAUAUGAGUUGUAUUGCAAUUAUUUUAUGGACUUUCCUUAUAAUUAUUACUAAGACUAUGUUUGGGAAGCACUUGUAAAUGGUUUAAUUUAUAAAUAGAUAAAAAUGAGUGAUGAAUAAGUGAAUUGUAAUAGUAUUUAUGAUUACAUUGGUACGUGAGGAUGAAAAUAAAGUUUGACCAUUUAUUUGUGUUUUAGACAAAAUUUGUCAAAUGGAGACUAAGCCCCUGUUAGGUUUAGAUAAAAAUUAGUUUUUAGUAAAUUUUUAUAAAUGCUUAAGAAAUGUGUUGACAAAAAUUGUGGCUCACGUAAAAUAUAUGGUUGAAAACCAAUUUGAAGAAAAAUGAGAUUUAAAAAAUGAGGGUCAAACAUGAGCUAAUUAAUUUUCAGAAACUAUUGUUGUUAAACAUUAUACUACUUUUACUAAUAGAAUAAACAAUACUUUCUCCCAUUUUUAUUAUCUUAUUCUUCUCUUUUCUUUCUUAUAAUUUUGGUUCUUGUUCAAUUGUGUCCAUGUCAAUAAAUUUUCCAAAAUACUCAUUUUUAAAUUAUCAAAAUGGAAAUUGACAACCUGCCAAGAGUGUUAAGUGUACAAAAGUUACUAAUCAAUGAUUGAUAUUUUAUAUGAUAUUUAAAGAAAAUGUUGCGUCCUUAAUCCAUUUCGAGUCGAAAAAGUAACCAGUUCAACUUCAUGAACUAAGCUGAGCACCUCUUUAAUCCCAAAAUUUUCAUGGGCUGCUUUUUUCCUUUUUUCUUUUUUCUUUUUUUUUUCCAAUGAAAACCAAUUGAAGUCCUGUUUGCCACAAAAUUUUUCAAAAAAUUAUUUCAAGUUAGUAUUCUCUAAGAUAAAAAAAAAAACAAAUAAAAAAUAAUUCAUUUUUUACUUAUGAAAAUUUGUGCUAAGCGAGUUUUGAGUUUCUUCACUCAUGUAAUUCAAAUACUCUCCUAGCUUUGAUUGAUUGGUAAAAAGUCAAGUAUUAUGAUUAAAGGAAGAGAAAUUUUGCUUUCUUGGUAAUUGAUACUUUAUUUACUAUUUAAAGAAUUAUCAUAAGUAUCUAUAGCUUAUGCAUAUCAUGACUUAGUAAACAAAUUAUAACUAUUUACACCGUCCUAUAACGAUUUUCCUCUUAAGCAAUCAUUGACUAGACCUAGACCAAGACUUAUUCUAAGUAAUGUUUAACACUGAAAAAUAGUUAAACACAAUGGCGAGGAAUGAAAGACUACAAAAAAUUUAAUCUUUCUAGAUACAGCUACUUUGUGUGAAAUUGAAUUGUGUAUUCUACCCAUAACCUGAAGUUACGUGGAACAUACCUUACAUAAAGAUUGAAAGUUCAAUACCAAAAUUUUAAAUUUUUUUUUUUUCAAAAUAAAAAAGAAGAAGCCAAGAUUGAUACUUUGACUUGGUGGGUUCCAAAUCAAUUUGCAAUUGAAACUAACAAUCUUAAAUUAAUCUGUUUCCAAAUCUUGAUUAGACAUGAGUAAAUUUCUUGGAAUUGGCACUACCAUUUUUAAAUAAUACCUUUGCUAAUGCAAAGAUUACACUCUAAUCUUGAUUAGACUUGAUCGAGCUCAUGUUAGUGUAGAUUAAGAUUAAAUUUUCAGUAAAUUUUGAUAGAAAUUGAUAAAUGUGUGGUUGAAAAGUUAUGAAUUAUGUGUAAUAUGUAUUUAAAAUUAAUUUGUUGACCUUGACUUGAGAUUUUAAUUAAAUUUUAGUUUACACCAAAAGUAGCCUAAAUUUUGUAAGCCAAAUAUUCUGUUAUACUAAAUUCAUUGUACUACUACUAAAGCAAAAUCUCGUUGUAAUUAAAUUAACUAUUUUUUUGUAAUUCGUAUUAUGGAUUGAUUAGACCUAAUCUCAAACACUAAAUCUUGACUAAACAGGAGUGAAUUUUAUACCUUCUCGAUGGCUUAGUCAAGAAAAAGCUCCCAUAGCAAUAAUGUUCUGUUUGGGCAUCUGGAAUGUGAAAGUAACGCGUCUUUCCAUAAAUACGUACGUGUCUUUCAAACAAAUAGACUUUUAAGUAUUGACUGCAAUGAGUUAAUAAAGAGAUAAUACUGAUUUCUUUAAAUAACACCUAUUUCCUUCCUCAAUGAAACGAAGGGGGAAAUAUAUGGAAAUAACAUUUUCAAAAGGGUUACUUUUUCAAAAUGACCCUUAGGCAAUUUACACACCAAAAAUGCGCUCCAUUUGGAUAUUACAUAACAAGGAAUCAUAAUAUAAAACUUUGCUAUUUUAGUCCUUAAAAUUAAAUAUUGAUUGAAACUUGAUAAUUUUUAUUUGAUGAUUUUUUAUUAAUAUUUUUAUUUAUUUUUUUGUUCGCUCUAAGUAGCUCCCCUAAUUGGUAUCAGAGCCAUAGAGAUCAUGGAAAUAAAAAUAAGAAAAAUAGAUAAUUAUUGGUGUUUAGAAGAAGAAAAAAGUAGUUAUAUAUUUUUAAAGCCUAUUCAUAAUAAAUUAAAAAUAAUGAGUUUGACAAUAAUUAAAGAACUUCCUAAAGAAAUAAAGGAACAAAUAUUAGAAAAAUUAAUAAUAGAAAAAAAUAAAAGAUACUUAUACAUAUGAAAAAAUUAUUAAUAAAUAUGAAGAUGAAGAAAAUAAUUUAUAUUAUAAGGAAAAAUAUGAGUACAAUUGAUAAUACACAUCAAAAAUUAAAUAAAUUACUUUUAAAAAUGGAUAAAAUACAAGAAAAAAUAAGAAAUAUAAUGUUAAUACCAGAAGGAAUGAGAAUAUCAAUAAAUAGACAAUUAUUAAAAUUAAAAUGUGAAAGAUUAAGACUUGAUAGCAAAUAUUUUACUAUAGUAAAAGAGGAAUUAGUAGAUCCAGAAACAGUUGAGAGAAGAUUUAGGAAAAUAAUAGAUAAAAAGAAAGAUAAAAGAUGCAAAUUAACCUAUGAGUUAGAAAUAAGGAAAAGUUAAGAUGUCAAUAAAUGAAUACAUGGAAGAAUUGAAAUCAUUAAUAAAAAGUUAAUAAAUGAUAUACAAAAUUUGAGAAAUGAAGUAAAAGAAACAAGAAACGACAUAAAUAUAUUAAAAAUUGAGAUUAGAGAAUUAAAAGAAAAUAAUAAAAAUAAAGAUAAGAAAAUAGAUAAAAAAAACUUAUAGAAAAAAAAAAGAUGACUCGAAUAGGAAAGAAACAUAUAGGGAAAAAAAUAUAGUGAUAGAAACAAGAAGCAUGAAUAAUGAAUUUAGAAAGAAUAUCUUACCAAAAAUACUAGAAGAGGAAGAAGAAUCUAAAGAAAAAUUAUUAGGAAAAUUAAAAGUAGAAGAAAAAGAAGAUGAGUGAAAAAUUAGAUUUGUUAAUAGAAAAUUUUGAUCAAUUAAGUUUAACUGAUAUAAGUGAAUACCAAGUUUUAAUGAAUACUGGAGGAGGACCUAAUCCAGCAGGAACCUCUAAACAGGAAUUACGUAAUACAGAUGAAAAUUAUGCACCCAUAUAUAGUAAAUCAUAUAGACAAUUCUAUGAUAAAAUAAAAGAUAGACAACCACCUAAAGAUAGGUUUGGAUUAAAUGAUAAUUAUGAUAAACUAAUUAAUCAUGAAGGAACAAAACUAGAUUUAAAUUGCAAAAUAGAUACUAAGAAAACCUUAUUAACAUGGGCUGAUUCAAUGAUAUUAUUCUUUUUAUGUAACAAAGAUGACACAUGGAAAAAUACUAAAAGAAUAAUAGAUUUCUUAAUAGCAUCUUUUGAAGGAGAUGUUAGAAAUUGGUAGGAAAGAAUAAUCAAUGAUACAAAAAUAUUAAUAAAAAGAAAUGUACAAACAGCAACAAUCAAAUCAGAUAGACAAGGUAUAGAAAAAUUGAUAGAAUACAUUUCAGAUGAAUUUCUAUGAGAAAAUUGGAUAAGAAAUGCUGAAAAAGAAUCAAUAAGAGAAAAAGAUAAUGUUCGAAUAAAAUUAAUAAACUUAAUAAUAUGUGAUAUGUGUAAAAUUGAAGAAUAUACUUGUAAAUUUAAAAAUUACUAUUAUGUUCAAUUUUACAGCAAUGAAAAUCAAGAAGUAUACCAAGACAUAUAUUAUAAUAAAUUACCAGGUUCAUAGGAAAUAUAUUUUAAAAUAGAAUUUGAAAAAUAUGUUACGGAUAACACUGGAAUACCUAGAAUUUUAGGUUCAAGAAUAAAAUUUUUAUUUGAAAGACUUGCAUAUAUAUGUCAACAAAGACAAUUAAUGAAAAAAUCAAGAAAAUUAACUAAAAUAUGUUCUAAAGAUAUGGAAACCCCUGUACAAUGGGGAAGUAAUCCUGAAAAAAGAGUUGAUAAAAGAAAAUAUAAAAAUAAAAAGUUUAAGAAAUUUAGAAAUUUUAAUAAAAAAAUAUAUAAAACAUAGAAGAAGAUAUUAUAAAAGAAAAAAAUAACCCAUAUAACCAACAGAAAGAUAAAAAGGAAAAAUAAAAGUCAAUUUAAAUGUUGAAAUUGUGGAGAAAUAGGUCAUAUAAACUCUGAUUGUGAUAAAAAUAAAGUAAGAAUAUUACAAAAAGAAUACUUAGAAAUAAAAGAUGAAUUAAGUGAAAUAUCAGAUAUUGAAGAAUAUUAUAAUCAAGAAGUAUAUAGAAGUGAAACAGAUGAUGAAUCAGGAUCUGAAUAAAGAAAUUGAAGAAUUAGAAAGUAAUAAUAUAAAUAUACAAGAAUAUGAAGGAAUAGAAGGAUAUGGAUUAAAAGUUACUUUUGAUAAUAACAAGUUUAGAAAAUUACAAAAAUUAUCAUUAGAAUUAAAAAUAGGAAAAUGAGAAGUAUUUGAUAGAAUUUGGAAAAGAGAAAGUAUAGCAAUAAAUGAAUAUCACAAAAUAGAAAAAAUCAUAGAUGUAAGAAUAACUUAUGGGCAACAUAAAUUAAAUCUUUUAACAAAAAAUGCAGUUGAUAAACUAUUAACAGAGAUUAGUAAAAAACAAAGUAAAAAAAUCCAAUAUAUUUAUUUAACAGGAAUACAAAUAAUGUUUAAAUCAUUAGUUAGAGAAUGAAUAGAUUCACCAUUAACUAUAAAAGAUAGUCAUUUAGGAACAAUAGAAGGAAAUUUAGCAUAUCAAAAAAUUAUGUUUACAUGUUAUCCAAAUCAUUGUGUAUCAUUAAAAGAUAAAAUUUUUAAUGAAGUUUUAGGACUACAUUUUAAACUUCAUAUGGAUUAUAUCAUGCAACCAAGUGAUCAAAUCAUGACUUUAGAAUAUAGAGCUUUAUAUACAUUUACUAAUUCUAGUUAUAGGAAUAUUUAUUCCAAUAAAUCAUAUAUUGAAGCUCAUAAAGAAUGUAAAGAUAUUAAUAAAAUAAUAUAACCAAAUAAACAAAAAAAUUUAAUUCCAGUGGAAUAUGAAUUGAAUGUAACAAAAAAAAACCUGAAAUAACAGAACUAAAUGAAGGAGAAUGUUCUAAUAAUAUUACAUUUAAGGAUGGAAAAUUAAUUAAAAGAUCAAAAAGUUUUAAAAUACCUAAUAAAAACCAGUUAGAAGAAAUCAACAAAAUAAAAGAAGUAAAACUGUAUAGGAAUGCUGGAAACAUGAAAAUAGAAGGAGAAUAUUAUAAUGGAAGAGAAAAUAUAAAUGGACCAAAUAUAUUAAUAGACACAGGAGCUAGUGAAUGUCAUAUAGCUUCAAUUAGAAAUAAAGGCCUAAUAACUCAUAAAAUUGAGUCAUAUAAGUAUGUAAAUUUUGAUGGACAAGUACACAUAACAGAUUUAGAAGUUAAAGUACCAAUAAAAAUAGGAGGAAUAGAUCGUUUAGUACCAUGUUACAUAGAUAAAAGUAUGGAUAUAAACCAUCUUAUACUUUUAGGAAUGAGCUUUCUAAAACAGAUUAGAAGAUUAUAACAUAAAAAGAGAAUGAUUAUAUAUUGUUCAUAAUGGACAAAUUACAUUAUGCAAAAAGAACUAGAUGAAUAAUCAGAUAAGUUUUCCAUUAGUUGUGUAUAUCCAAAUUACUAUUGUAGAAACAAAUAUAACAAUUUGUACUUUACUAGAUACAGGAAGUGAUAUAACAAUAUUUAAAAGUUUUUUAAUUAAAUCAUGGAAUAAUAAUAGUAAUAUAAAAAUAAUUGGAGUUACACGAAAAAGUACUCAAAUAAUAAAUAGUGCCGAUAAAAUUAAUAUAAUUCUUGAAAGUAAACAAGUAACAAUAAAUAAAAUUUAUAAAUAUGAUAAAUUAGAAUGUGAUAUAUUAUUAGAAAAUGAUUUCAUACAACAAUUUCAAUGUUAUAAACAAAAUAAUUAUAUGAUAAUACUACAAACAUCUUGUGGACACUUAUUAAAAAUCGCUAGAGAAUUUAAACCUUACAGAGUUCAGCAAGCCCAGCAUGGUGAUAAAUCGAAAAAAAACCAAUUCCUAAUAAUGAAAUAAAAAAUAAAAGAAUAUCAUAUAAAAAGGUUCUAAAAACGGGAAUAGAAAUGAAUAUAGAAAAAAUUAUUGAACAAUUAGAAAAGAUUUAUGGAGAAAAUUCAUUAUUAUUUUGGAAGCCAUAUCACCCAAAAGUCAAAAUAGAAUUAACAGAAAAUGUUAUAAUAAGAGUAAGACCAAUGAUAUAUACAAUAGAAGAUACACAAGAAUUUAAAAAUCAAAUAAAAAAAUUGUUAGAACAAAAAUUUAUCAGACCUAAUAAUGGACCUCAUGGUAAUCUAGCCUUUAUGGUUAUGAAACACUUUGAACAAGUUAGAAGAAAAGCUAGAAUGGUUAUAAAUUAUAAAGAAUUAAACAAAUAUACUAAAUUUGAUGGUUACUUUCUACCAAAUAAAGAAAUACUAAUAAGUCUUGCAAGAAGAAAACAAUAUUAUUCUAAAUUUGAUUGUAAAUCAGGAUUUUGGCAAGUAAAAAUGGAAAAAGAUAGUAUACAAUAUACUGUAUUUAGCACACUUCAAGGAAAAUAUGAAUGGUUAGUUAUGCCAUUUGGUUUAAAAAAUGCACCACAGAUAUAUCAAAGAAAGAUAAAUAAUAUAUUUAAAAAGUUUAAUGAAUUUCUUAUAGUUUAUAUUGAUAUAUUAAUAUGUUCUAAUAGUAAAGAAGAGUAUAGAAAUCAUUUAAUCCAAUUUAUUAAUGAAUGUAAAAAAGAAUGAAUUGUACUAUCUAAAAAGAAAUAUAUAAUAGAAAAACAAGAGACAGACAUUCUUGGAUUAUCAAUAGAUAAAAAAGGUAUAAAAUUACAGACUCAUAUAUCCAAAAAGAUAGAAAGUUUUUCAGAUAAAUUAGAAUCCAAAGAACAAAUUCAAAAUUUUUUAGGAUGUUUAAAUUAUGCAGAAGGAUUUAUUGAAAAUCUUUCUAAGAAAAGACAUAAAAUCCAAAUUUUACUUAGAAAAAUAAAUAAUAAGGGAUGGAAUGAAGAACAUACAGAAAUAGUUAAAUUAUUAAAAGAAGAAUGAAAAAAUUUACCAAAAUUAAGAUUACAAGAUAAAAAAAUAAUUUGAUUGUUAAUACGGAUGCCUCAGAUAAAUAUUGGGCAGCAAUAUUAAAAACAGAUCUUAAUGAAAUUUGUAGAUACUCAAGUGGAACCUUUAACCAAGUGGAGAUAAAUUAUACUACAUAUUAUCCAAAAAAUUUAUUGUUGAAACUGAUAAUUCUCAAGUUGCAGGAUUAGUCAGGAAUAAGUUACCCUCAGAACCACAAUAGAGAAGACUUCAUAGAUGGCAAGCUUAUUUAUCAUUUUAUAAUUUUGAUAUAGUCCAUAUUAAAGGAGUUAAUAAUUUUCUUACAGAUUUUCUCAGCAGAAACAUAGAAUUUGAUGAUGGAUAAAGUCGAGGCCAUGGAGUUAUACCAAUGUAUCAUACAUAUACAAGAAAGGACAAAUUUUCUUAAGGAAGAAUCUGAAGAUAUAAGUUCUGGAGCAACCCAGAUCUUAGAAAUAUUUAACUCAAAUAUGAAAAUAUUGUUGAUUAUCAUUGCUGAGCAUCAUAAAUAUGUCAUAGAACUCAAAAAUCAAGUUGAUGCUAUUGCAGCACAAUUAAAAAAUAUACUGUUUGAAACAUAUAGGCCAAAGAGCUCAGAAAUGAGUUUUCCAAAUCAAUACCAAACAUGGACAGUUGGAAGCAGCAGUGGACCCAGACGUGACAACAUACCAACUGAUAAUAAAGGAGAUUCCAUUUCUGUAUCAUCAACCAAGAAAGUUAUGAUGUAUGGAGAUAAAAGAGAUACCAAAACAAUCAGCAUCAUAGACUAAGAAGAUAAAAUCCCUUUAGAUCCAAACGAAGAAAAGUAUGUUGAAAUAGUCAAAAUCGCUUAUGAAAUAAAAAUAAGUGAUUCAUAUUUCAUUUCUCCAAGAAAUAAUGUUUAACCCAGAAUAACAGCCAUGGAAAGAGAUGACCCUUCAUUUAUAAAAAACAUGACAGACUAUGGAUUCAUGGAUUUGAUUUAUCCAAGAAAAGAUUUUAUUGAAAUUUCAAAGUUCGAUGACAUAUUUAUUAAAGAAGUUUCAAGAUUUUCCAAAGGAAGGAAGAUAUUUUUAAAAUUCUAUUCAAUCAGUCCAGAAAUGAUGGAGUUGUUUACUAUCCAGUUGAAUACAUAAUCUCAAUUGAAUAUAUUGCAGCCAAUUUCCAAAUUGAUGUUACGGAGAAUAAUAGAAAAAUCCCAACGGUGACAAAAUCAUGGAUCAGACAUAGAAGAGCACUUGGAAUUAAAACCAUCUACAACAUUGUCAAAAACUUGUUUGAUAAAAAAUUCUCGUGCCUAUGCCAAUAUGAGAAUUGGAUGCUGGUAUCCAAUGGAGGAUAUGCAAAAUCAGAAAUUUUAACAGACUAUAUUACAAGAAUUGAUAUACAUCAAUUUCUAGGAUGUUCUACCACUAUAAAAAAAUCCUGCCAGCUAAGAGAGUGCCCCAACUGCAUGUGAAGAAAUAAAAAAAGAAGACAAAGCACCUUUUGACAAAGGUGUAUGAAGGACAAUAAUACUACAUGUGAAGACAUUGAAGAUAAAGAACAAUAAUAGAAAAAGAUGCUCUUUGAAUAGAAAAGUUGAACCAUCAUGUGAAGAUGUAGGCCCAAGGAAGAAAAUAGAGAGGCAAGAGUGCCUUUGCUGAUGUAAUCAAUGAUGUAAUAGAGUCUCAUAAACUUGUAUAAAUGGAAACAUUGCCAUAGAAGAAUAUCAUCUCAUCUUAUCUUGAAUUCUUAAGUUGUAAGCAAUAGCCCAUUCUCAAUUUGAAAAACUAGUUUUUCUGAAAAUCCCUUCAUACCAAAUAGAAAUAUUGUAUCAAUCCUGAAAGAAAUAAAAUUCCAAUAUUUUGAUAUCAAUAUGAAUUUUUAAAUCUUUUUCCCAUAGAUUCUUGAAGGAUCUAAUAGAAAGUUUCCUUCUUAUUUUAACAAACAGAGAGUUUUCCUUUACAGAAGUUUAGAAUUUUAUUCUUUAGAAGUUGAUACAGUGUGAGCAAGUAGCUGAAAUAGUAACAAUUCCGUGAAUGUAGGAGGCCGUUAGGAAAAACAGUUUACAAAUUCAAAGCUCAAAAGUCACUUGGUUCUAAGAAUACAGGUCUAAAUCAAACCUAAGGUAAAACUUUUAAACUUUUGCUAAAAUUAGAAUGAAUCCUUUUAAGAUCUUAAAAGAAUCGCAAGGACAAUUGCAUGAAGAUUAUUUUUGAUAAAUGCUAGGAUAUACAAUCGAAGGAUUAGAUAAUUUAUUAGAAAGAAUGUUAGAAGAAAUAAAGAAUAUUAUAUCUCAACUAAAAAAUACAAAUUUACCAUUUUAAGAAUAUAGUACUUUAAUUAGAAAAUAUGAGAUAAAUGUUGCAGAUUAUUCUUAUUUAUUAGAUCAUAGAAUGAUUUUAUAUUCAAAUUUCCAAAAUAGAGUAAACAUAAGAUAAAAUGUUUAAAAGAUUAGGAUAUAUGGUGCAAUAUAGAAAGAAUCAUUUCAUUAAGGGUAAUAUAGACAUUUCCAUAAAAAGGAAUAGUGACAGGUCAAAUACAAAAAUCUCCCUGAAACGAAGAAGCCAAACCCCAAGAAAAUGGAAAACCUUUUUUCCAUUGCUAUUUUUCCUUGUUUUCUCAUUCUUUCUACAUUAAUGGCAUCAUCAGCCCAAAAACAAAGAUAUGCUAAUAUUUCCCUUGGCUCUUCUUUAAAUCCCAGUACAAAUUCAUCAUGGUUGUCGCCUUCUGGACUUUAUGCAUUUGGAUUUUACAAGAUAACCACUGGCUAUUGCUGGGAUUCCAGAAAAGACUGUAGUGUGGACGGCCAACAGGGAUGAUCCAGUUUUUCCCAGUAACGCUAUUUUGUUAUUAACCGAUGAUAGAAGGCUCAUUUUGCAGCAGGAAGAUAGAGAUGACGUAAAUAUUGUGAAUCUAGACCAGUCUGUUACGUCAACCAGGCCUAGUUCUGGGACCAGGCGAAUGAGACCUACGCCUCAAGCCCAGAUUCCAAGGGGGCCUCAUUUUCAGCCCAGAAUAUUUUUUUUUUUUUUGAACCAAACCCAAUGAUGAAGAAGAGCACCCCCAACAAGUUUAAGCCCAAAUCCAAUACCGUUAGUCUUAAUCCAUUUACCCUACUUAUACAUCCAUAAAUCAUAAUCAAUUAUCCAUCAUUUACCCAAAAUUCCCAAUUUCCCAAUCCCCAAUCAAAAACCCCUUUCUCCCAAACGCUCAUCUGAGUAGUCCAUCCCCUUCGCAGCGUCACCGGUCGCCUCUGUCUCUCUUCUAAACUUCCUCAUUCUGACUUCCAGAUUUCCUCUUCCUUUGAAACAUCCGUCACGGUCCAUGGAGUCGGACACCGUCGUAGUUCACACUGGUUCCAUUUCUGCAAUCAGUAUACUAAUUUGAAUUAAUUUAUUUUGUUGAUGAAACUGUUUUAAUGGUUAUUAGUUUUUAUUAAAUGUGUUAUUUCCCUAAGCUUGACUAAAUGUGCGCCUAUUUUUAAGUAUUGGUGUUUGAUGUUAAGCUUUUGUUUCAGAUUCGUAAGUUAUGAUGAUGAAAUUCUCAAGGGUGUGAUUCUACAGUUUUUGCCGCAAUUCUGCUUCUCAAGUAAGCAGUGGCUUUCCUUAACUUGUUAUUUACGAGAUUGAAAAUGUUUGGAGCCUUGUCGGCUUAUAUAAUUGUAGCUUGAUUGACUUAUAUGAUUGAUUACUGUAGAUCAACUAUGUUAGAAGAAAGAUAGAAUGGAUUGACUACGUUAUCAUUAGAGAAAGAAAUAGUUGAGCAACUAAACUAUUCAGAUUUUAUUAAUAUUUUUGCCUCUAAAACAGUAAGACGAAUAGUAUUUAACUAAUUGCUUGAAAUAUUGUUGGUUUUGGGUUUAGAUAAUAUAAAUUUUUUAUAUAAUAUAUUUGUAUGUUGUUUUAAUGUUAAAUUUUAAGUUAGCAAUAAGUUGUAUAAUAAACCGUUACAUUUACAUUGAUUUCGGGAGGGGGGCCUAAUUUAUAUGCUUUGCCUUGGGCCCCGACAAUCACAGGACCGGCCCUGGCGUCAGCUUCAAUGCUUGGCAGUGGUAAUUUCAUGCUGUACAAUUCGUCUCAGAGUAUCACGUGGCAGAGUUUUGAUCACUCAAAGGACAUUCUUUUGCCCGAUAAUGUCUCUCGGCUGGAGAAGAGAACGUUUCCAGUGCUUCAAAAACGAAUCCUGUGAGAGGGAUUUUCCAUCUCGCAAUGCAAGAUGAUGGGAACCUGGUGCAAUACCCUGUGGAAAUUUUCGGACCUAGUUAUGCUUACUAUGCAUCAGGCACAUGGAACACAUGCAAUAUUGUAUCACUGAAUCUUGAUAAUAAUGGCCAUCUAUUCUUGUUCAACGGAAGAUCCAUUAUAAGCAAUUUAACGAGAGGACAACAUCGAAAAAGAACUAUCUACCUCACGACAAUUGAUGUUGAUAGUAUUUUUCGACUAUAUUAUCUCUCGUUGGAUCCUCAAGGAAACUGGACUAAAGAAUGGUCAUCCUCGGAAGAUAAAUGUGCCCCUUUGGGUUUAUGUGGGUUGAAUGGUUAUUAUAUUCUGUUGGAUACAGCCGUGGAAUGUGAACAUCUUUCUGGAUCCGAUCAUGUUAAUCCGGACAAUUGGACCACAGGAUGCGAGAGGAAUUUUUCCAUGGAAGAUUGUAAAGCCAAUAAUCAUAAUGCAGUUAUGAAAUCAGAUCAUUGGAUGACACGGUGUGGGAAGAUGCUAAUUAUGCUAUUUUAGGAGGACUGACAAAAGAAGAUUGUACAAAAGCCUGUUUAGAGGACUGCAACUGCGAUGCAACUUUCUUGCAAGAUGGAAACUAUAGAAAGCAAAGGCUUCCAUUGAGAUUUGGAAGAAGAGUGCGGAGUAAUCCAAUUGUUGCUCUUAUCAAGGUGAACACAACAGUACAAUCAACUCGAGGAGGUUCGAGUGAUUCGGGCAAAGAAAUCCAGAAAGUGAUUCGUUCAGUUGUCUUAAUUAUAAGCAUUUCACUUUUUGCUUUAGCGGCCUUGAUCCUAGCAAUUUUUGGGAUUUAUGUUCACAAAAAUCAUGUUGGGAGAUAUAAGAAGAUCUCCGAUGUUGCACUGAUUGAGGGUGUUGGUUUGAGAGCAUUUACCUAUUCAAAGCUUGUGGAAGCAACAAAUGAGUUCAAAGAAGAGCUCGGUAGAGAAGCGUCUAGCACAGUUUACAAAGGGAUCUUAUUAGACAACAGAAGUAUUGUGGUCGUGAAGAGGCUCAACAAAGAAUUGGAAAAAGGAGAAAAGGAAUUCGAGAAUGAGAUGAAGGUGAUUGGAAAAACGUAUCAUCGUAAUCUGGUCAGACUUCUUGGUUAUUGCCGUGAAGGAUUUAGAUGGCUUCUAGUAUAUGAAUACAUGAAAAAUGGAUCACUUGCAGAUAUACUUUUCAAUCAAGAAAAUCGAGUGUAUUGGGAAGAAAGAAUUCGUAUUGCUCGUGAUAUUGCAAGAGGCAUCCUCUAUUUGCAUGAGGAGUGCGAGACGCAGAUCAUUCAUUGUGAUAUAAAACCUCAAAACAUACUCAUGGAUGAGCAUAGGUGUGCAAAAAUUUCUAACUUUGGACUAGCAAAGCUCUUAAAGAAGGAUCAGACAAAUACCUAUAUAAGGAUUAGAGGAACUCUGGGUUACGUGGCCCCUGAGUGGCAUAGGAAAUUGCUUGUGACAAUUAAAGCAGAUGUUUACAGCUUCGAAAUUGUGUUACUAGAGAUCAUAUGUGGUAGAAAAAGUGUCGAUUGGAGCUUCUCUGAGGAUGAAGCUAUUCUUGAAGAAUGGGUUUACAAUGCUUUCGUGGAUGGGAAGGUAUGUAAGCUGGUGGGAGACGAGGAGGUUGACAAGAGAAAAUUGGACAGAAUGAUUAAAAUAGGUAUUUGGUGCAUCCAAGAUGAACCAUCUCUCCGUCCAUCGAUGGAGAAAGUUCUAUUGAUGUUGGAAGGGUCUGUAGAAAUUCGAGUAGCUCCAAGUCCUACUUCCUUCCUUAGUACAAUAUAGUUUUACUUUGUCACCUUUUGUGUUUUAUUGCAUAAUUGCAGUUGCCUUUGUGCAUAUAGUUUGAGUUGGAGAAUAAAUUAAGCAGUCAUGUUCCUGCUUGAUUGAAAGCAAAUGUUUGAAUCAAUCAGAAGAUCACAAGAUAAAGUAGUAGAUUCUUGAAUUUGCACUAAUGUUUUCUAUGUUGUUAAAUAAGACAGUAAAUUAACUUAUGCUUUUUUCUGGUUUUAAGAAUUUCUUUCUGGUUUUCUAAAGUUCUUUUUUGUGGCUCUCCGGAAAUUGUAGAGAGCCACAUUCUCCCUUAUUAAAAAUUACAAACGUAUGUCUCUCUUAUGUUAUGUAUGUACGUUUAUAUUAUUUUUAUUUAGACAAAAAGGGUUGUUUUAAUUAAAAAAAAAUCUUUUUGUAUUAAGUUAUUAAAUCUUAACCAUAUUUGAAUUCUUAUCAAAUGGAAAAACUAAAAUUGAUCUAUAUUUAAUAAAAAGUUGGACUAAAAAGAAUUUAAGAUUUAAACAUUUGAUACCAACUUUUUUGCAUUUGUAAUAGUAUGAGAAUAUUAUUUUAAAGAACAUAAAAAAUAAAAAAUUAGAGAAAAGCAAUAUAAAACAUUUAGUUUUUAUUUGGUGGGGAUUAAAUUCAAAUAUUUAGUAAAUUUUGAUAGAAGGUAAUGAAAUGUAUGGUUGAAAAGUUGUGACUCUUAUAAAAUGUGCGGUUAAAAUUAAUUGUUGACUUUGACUUGGAUUAAAAUCUUGAUUUUUAGUAGCACCAAACAAGGGAUUAAUAAUUUUUAACUAGCUAUACUAAAUUAUUCUUAUUUUAAAGCAUUUAUUUAAGUUGAUUUGUUAAUUAUUUAGCAAUUGUAUUUUUUUUUUAAAAAUCAUAUUCAAAAAUUUAAUAAAUCGCCUGUAACAGUUAAAGCAGACGUUUAUAUCUUUGGAAUAGUGCUACUAGAGAUCAUAUGUGGUAGAAAAAAGUGUCGAUUGGAGCCUCUAUGAGGAUGAAGCUAUUCUUGGAGAACGGGUUUACGAUGCUUUCGAGGGCGGGGAGGUAUGUAAACUGAUGGGAGAUGAGAUGGUUGAUGAUAUAAAAUUGGAUAGAAUGAUUAAAAUAGGUUUGGUGCAUCCAAGAUGAACCAUCUCUCCGUCCAUCGAUGAAGAAAGUUCUAUUGAUGUUGGAAGGGACGGUAGAUAUCCCGGCACCUCCAUGUCCUUCUUCUUUCCUAAGUACAAUGUAAUUUUACUUUUUUGAAUGAUAACAAGAUUCUCAAGCAUAUUUUAGUCAAUUGUAAAUUAAACCAAAGACAGAACAGAAAAAUCCAGAUUCUAUCACUGGUUCUUUUAAAACUCCGUCUAGCUCAUUAAAUACAUUAAAUACCUUGUAAUUUUAUGCCUUCAACAAUGGCAAUCUUAUCCCUUGAUUUACUCUAUAUCCUGUUCAUAAACUUCAGCCGAAUAAAACCAUUUGAAGAUUUAAACUUUAGUCAAAUGAAACCAUCAAUUACACUCUAAAAUCAAUCGAAGAUAUUCAUCAUUAAAUUUAUAUCAAACCAAUAAUAUUUCAUUCUAUAUGAAUGCAGUGGAGGCAUGAAUUGAUCACAGAAGUGAAGUGAAUGACCUCUUUGUCAUUUUCACUACAGCCUAUUUGCCAUUCUAACAAUAAAUCUCAUUCGAGCUUGUCAAUUAUUUAAAUGAUUUUUUUCUUGAAACUAUUACUAAAUAGUUUCUGGUUAUUAAGGGUUUUUGGUUUAACUAUUGAGUGGUUUUUCAUUGUAUUGGAACAACUUUAUUUUCUGUGGCUUCUCUACUUUCUUCUUCCCUCCUAUUCUUUCUCCCUCUCUUUUUCUUUCUCCCCCCAAGACAUGGGCUAAGCUUUUUCCUUCUCCCCCCAAAAACACGGGCUAAAUUUUUCUCUCUUCCCGAAUACCUAGACCUAUUCUCAGUACUCACGACUUUUUCCUAAUUGAUCAAUUGAGUUUCGGGGAUGAAAUUAUUUUAAGUGGGUAAGUUUUGUUAUACCUUAAUUCAAAGGGAAAAAAGUUAGUCAAACAUAUAUUAAAAAAAUAAGAAGAAACCAAACAAAAAAUAAAAUAAAAUAAUCAUAAAGGCGGUGGAUUGAUUUGGUUUAUAUCAAUCCAAUUAUAUCCGAAUCCAUUCAUACACAAAGCACACACAACACAUGGAGAAAGAAAACGAGGCAUGAAAAAAAGAAGAAGAAAAGGUAAAAAUAUAAAAGUCCCCAACGUGAUUAGAAAAUAAGUGUUUUCUACUAUUAAGUUUGAAUUCUUCAAUUUUAAAGGUAAGUAAAAAGAUACUUAUUGAACAAUUAUGUUUAAUUUUAGAGUUGUUAGAUUAUUAGUUUCAAUUCAAUUUUAUUGAAAGGGAACUACUAAGUUAAGUAUAUUGAGCUAGGAAAUUAAGUUAAAGAGAAGAAAAAAUAGCUUAAGUGAUUAAAGGAAUUGGGAAAAUUGCUUAAGUAUAAAAUGAUUAGGAUUUAGUAUCGCCAAUUUAAUUAUUGAAGUUACUUAAAAUGGUUAAUUGUUAACCUAAAAAUUGUAUCAUAUUUCAAGCGACAAUAUGGAGAUAGGGGCAACCUACCAAUCGAAUUGAUUUUGACUACAUGUUCUGUGAGUCGAAAAACUUAAAUAUUUUCAAAUAUUGAUAAAUUAAUUAUACUGUCACAUUAUGUGCAAUUAUGUGAAUUUCUUGUACAAUUACAUGAUUAUUAUGAAAAGUUCUUUCAUUAUGAUAUCUGCGAAAUCAUAAAAGUUGUACAUGGAUUACUUGUGAAUUGAAAUGUAACAUGUGAUAUUAAGAUCGACCAAAAAGUACCCAUGAUUAUAUAUAUUUUCUAGUUCACGGAGGGGCUUUGGCCCCCUUUUUUUCAAUCCUACAUGGAGAGGUCUUGACCAGACAUUGGUAUUGACUGUGUAGAUAUAGUUCACAGGGUGGGAUUUGAUCGUGUCCUAGAAUUGAUUAUCAAAGAUUUUGAGAUUCGCUUUCAUUAAUGAAGGGGACCGAAGACAAUGGCGAAAGUUCUUAGCCAGAGGAGCAAAUUACAAUUUCAGUCAAAGGGUACAUUUUUAUUGGAUUACAUGUGGCAUUAUGAGAUUGUAUUAUAAAUUUGAGUUUAUGAUAAUAAUAUGACAAUGAGAUUGUAUAUUUCAGAAUUAUGAGGAUGUCUCACAUCUUGAUUUUUAUUAUUAUAUACUGUUAUAUUGUAAACUGUUAAAUGAUAUAAACUUGAUUUUCGAUAAAAAUGUAUAAAUGAAAAGAUAUAUUUAUUUUCAAACUUUUCCACUCACUGAGUUAUCAACUCAAAUAUUUUUCCCCAGUUUUCUUAUCAGGUAGCAGUUGAGUUUCUAGGCAUAUUUUGGAGUUGAACCUUUGAUUUUGGAGUCAGAACCAUACACAGAGUUUGCUAGUAUGAUUCAUUUCAUGUAGCAUGUAGUCAAUAUGUUGGGGCAAGUAAAUAACUAUGGGGGUCACUAUGAAUUUUGCGUCCAUAAGUACAUUUCAUGUUAUUUUCGUAGUAAAAGUUGUGAAUUCGACUUAUCUCUAUUGUGUUAUGUUAUUGUUACAGGUCACUGAUCUUAUUUACCGGGGAGAUAAUGUUGAAAUUCUGUUAAAAAUAAUUUAGAAAAAUAUGCAUAUUGUAGUAGCCUUGAUGAUGUAUCCAACUUUGAGUUGGUAUAUAUCAUCGACACACGUCACGUUUCGAGUCCACUAGCGUUACUCGAAGUGGGGCGUCUCCUAGACUUAUCCUAAACAACGUUUGGCAUACAAAUAUUAGUAAAACACAAAGACUUGAAAAUGAAAAUGAAAAUUCAAAUUUCUACAUCGACUUUUGUGGAAUUGAAAUAUGAUCCAUGACUUGAAGUUACAUGGAAGAUACCUUGCACCAAGAUUGAAAGAUCAAACACGAAGACUUUUGAAAAAGAAAAUCCAUGUUCACUGUAAACAAAGACUUGAAUUUGACAUCAAUUAUUCUAAAUUUAUUUCUUCUCCAAUCUUGAAGGGAUCUAGAGUAUAUUCCGUAUGUGUUUUUGAUAGAAGUCGACAGUCCAAAGAGAAUUAUUGGUUCAAAAAGUUCGAGAAAAUGAACACAAAUUGUCAUCUAUAAAUGAUCAUUUUAACAAUAAAUGUAUCUGAAAAAUAUUUGGUCGAAUGUGGAGAGUUUAAUCACAUUUUUAGUUAGUAAAUUUUAACUGUUUGGACAUCUUGAAAUCAAACUUUAGUCUAUUUUUUUGGUACGAGAACUUUAAACAUAAGACCGCAUAUCGUUCCAUACACAAUACGUAGAUACUUUUGGCACAAGUUGGACUUGUUCAAGGUUAACAAGAAUUUUUUGUCUAAAAUGAAAACGACAAUAAAUUAAAAGCUUUAAUUUUUAAUAAAUUUCUGAUCGGUUAUAUGAAAUGCAUAUUAUCAUUCCUUUGGUAUCUUAGGCUUCGUUUGUCUACCUUUUUUUCACAUUCUACUGCAUUAUUUUUUUAUAGUAUUUAUUUUUAACCACACAUUUUUCAUUAAAAUAAUAUUACAUGUAAAUUAAAAUCUUUUCCUUUUUUUUAAAUCACACAUUUCAACAUCAACCACUAUUCCAUAUUACAUUUCUCACAAAUAAUGGAGCACAAACAAGCACUUAAAUCAUUCACAAUCAAGACAAACAGUGACUUAGGAAUUAUUUUUCCUAGAUUCAUGUAUGUACACUUUGUUCAAACAAACAGAGCUUAAGCAUUGACUGCAACGAGUCAUAGCGAGUACGCUGAUCACUUUAAAUAACACAUAUUUCCUUCCCCAAUGAAACAAGGAAGCCAUAUCCCAAGAAAAGUGGAGAAUCUAUUUUCCAUGGCUGUUUUUCCAAGUUUUCUCAUUAUUUCCGCAUUAAUGGCAGCAUCAGCCCAGCAACAAAGAUAUUCCAAUAUUUCCCUUGGAUCUUCUUUAACCCCCAGUACAAAUUCAUCAUGGCUGUCACCUUCUGGACUCUAUGCUUUUGGAUUCUACAACGUAACAAAUGGCUAUGCCGUUGGAAUUUUUCUUGCUGGGAUUCCAGAAAAAACUGUAGUGUGGACAGCCAACAGGGAUGAUCCCGUCUCUCCCAGCAACGUGGUUUUAGUAUUAACCAAUGAUGGAAGGCUCAUUUUGCAGCAGGAAGAUAGAGAUGACAAAAAUAUUGCGAAUCCUCGCCUGCCUGUUGCUUCAGCUUCAAUGCUUGACAAUGGAAAUUUUGUGCUCUAUGAUUCGGCUCAGAAUAUCACAUGGCAGAGUUUUGAUAACCCAACAGACACUCUUUUGUCCGGGCAACGUCUAUGGGCUGAAGAAGUGAUCGUCUCCAGUGCUUCAAAAUCGAACCCUGCCAAAGGGAUUGUUGUGGAAGCUCUCUCAAAAGGAUCUUCAAAUGGUGGUUUUCCAGGCUUAGUCCAACGUGCCUUUUUCUACCAACAACCAAUCCAAACGGCUCCAAACCACAACCAAUUGAUUCACUUUGGUUGCUAUUUAAUCUUACCCACGUAGGACAAGAAAGGAUGAUGAUUUAUUGCCACAAAUACUAAGAGAAGACACCGUAAAGGUAUACUAUGAAAGAACCACCAAUUGCACACGUUAUACCAGCAUUCUAGACUCUUCUGGACACCUUUUUUCUCACACAAAAGGGGGCAGUCAGGAUUCUCUUGUUUCUUCUCUCAAAAUCACACAAUCAUCAUAUCAAAGUGGCUAGGGUUAUAGCCAAAUAUAUAUUCUAGGGUUAGACUUUAAGUUGGGCCAAUAAAGGGGUAAAUGGGCCAAGAUUCAAGCCAUCCAUAAGGAAUACAAUUGGGUCAGGUGUAGCUCAUGGACUUGGUUGUUGGAUUUAUUUCAUUCAUCGGCCUAUGCCUAUGAAAUAAUAUUAACCCACGUUAACAUCAUAGCCCGGGAUUUAUUGGGUAUCAAAAACCCAACAAAUCUCCACCUUGAUGCCCAGUAAAUUUGCAAGCAAUCAAAACACACAGUUAACAUUUGCAUAAUCAAGGUAGCCAAUAAAAUUAGAUCACAGACCUUACCUCGUGUUUCCAACUUGAAACACAUACCAUACCUACUCCAUGUACUCACUAAGGCUAAGGUCAUAAAAUACCCAAGUAGAAGCAAAUAUUUAACAGUAAACAAUCAAGAGCAAAUACACAUGCGAUGACGAUAUACUAUAGGAUAACACACAGAGAUCUUUUCAGAAACACGUUCACAUAGAACCAUUGAUUAACACCAAGUCAAUCAAAACCACGGUCAACCACAUAUGCAACACAUGCAUAAAUGACCCUAAGAAAAGAUCUCACCACACUUAUCCUAUCACAUUCCGUGUUGCUCACACCUCGAGAACACAUAUCUCCUCUCAUCGCCCACCACGCUCACUAGACAGAUCACUCAACUCAUGUCUAACUGGUAAGUCACAAUAGAUCCUAAGUCCACGGGAUAAUCCUCUAUCUCCACAUCACUUCUCCCAACCUAUGUGGAUAAUGGGUCUCCACCUAACAGAAGUGAUAGAAGUGUCUCUCUCACACUCCACCUGAUCAGGGUCUCUUUCCAGAUAAAGGAUCCUAGACAUUUGAUCACAUCUCCACUCGUGAUCCAAAUGUCACACUCCACAUCCCUGGUACAAACCACCAUGUACCUCUAAGUGUCUAUACUCCACCUCACCAAAAGACACACAAUGCACUGCUAAUGCAUCCUAACCCACUAUGCAUGCAAGCAAUUACACCAAGUAAUUCUAAUGUCUCAAAUUCAUGCAAAUGCACAUAUCAAACACAUUGAAAUGUAGCAGAUAAUCAUGCAAGAAAUUUUAGACAAUCACACAUAUGUAGAAAGGAUCACACACAGAUACAUAUGCAGUGACUAGGUUUACACUUAAUAAACCUCACUGGGGUCAUAACUCGACCCCUCAACCAAAUUCAUCUCACCUCUCAUCUUUUCCUUCAGCUUAUCUUUCUUCUUGGGACAGUCCCUAAUAAAGUGUCCAAACUUACCACAACUGUAACACCUUCUAUCACUAGACUUGUCUCGUCCCUUGCCCUUCUUCUUACUACCCUCAUCACUCGAGUCGCUACUCGAAUCACUACCAUCUUGAGUUCUACCCAAAUUCAUUUGCUUAAACUUCAUCCUACUCCUCAUCAUAUGUAACUCGCCACUCCUCUUAUCCUCUUUUUCAGCCUUAAUCUCCAUCUCCUUACUCCUAACUGAGUCUAUGACAAUCUCGGUUGUUAAGGUAUCCCUACCAUACUUAAUUGCAUUCUUAACUUCCCUAUAUGAAUCAGGCAUGGAAUUAAGCAGGAUAAUAGCUUUAUACGUUUCAGAUACCUCUUCAUCACAAUUAACGAUGUCUUGAACUAAUUUGUUAAAGACAUCCAGAUUAUCAUCAAGAUCCUUUGAAGGAUCCAUUUUAAAGCUGAAAAAUCGUUCAAGCAAAUACAAUUUAUUAGGAGUUGACUUAAGCAAAUAUAAAUCCUCCAACUUUUCCCAAAGUUGUUUUGCAGAAUCAAGUUUUCCUACUUUUCUCAAAACAGUAUCAGAUAGGUGUAAAAUAAUUGAACUGUAUGCAAGUUCAUCAUACUCUUCUUUUUGUACUUCUGUUAAAUUUGCAGAAAAUUAGCCAUCUAUGGCUUUUGAAACUUUUUGUUGGACCAAAAUACCCUUCAUCUUUUGUUGCCAAAUUGAAAAAUCCCCUUUCCCAUUAAAAAUUCCAACUUCAAAGCGUGAAGACAUUUUUAAAAAACUAGAACAACCAAAAGCACAGAUAGGUCACACAAAGUUAUCCUACGGCCACAAUAUACAUCAUUCUAGAUUUUCAGGGUUUCGUAAGAUUCAUGAUCUUAGAUCAAGGAAAUUUUCGAACGGGUAAAGUCCAGGUGUUCUAAUAGGAAAAUCAAUGCAACACGAAGGUAUGUAAACAAAAGUUCGAAUUUCCACGCAACAAGUCUCACACAGUAACUAUAUGACAGGUAAAGCACAAAAUCAACUGUCAACUUGCAAUCAAAACUCAACACUUCAAAAACAGAGCAAAUAAUUCCUAAAUUUUCUAGCACAAGCAAUGGUUGCCAAGCAAUGACAACCCCCAAUCCUAACGAUCACCCCACAAGAUCAUCUGCUAAUGCUGAAAUUUAAACUAAGUUAAGCCAAUAUACCAGAACGGACUAUCUGAGUCCGUAAAUUAUGAGAGUUGCGAAUUUAUCACUUUAGGACCAUCACUAUUCGUCCUAAAGUCUCUGGAAACUGCAGCAACCAAAAAAUCACGAUCGAGUCCCGAACGCCCGAAGAACAAUGUUGUCCAGAUUCUUCUGCGUACCCUGAAACUAAAAAACGCGCCGACCUGCAAGGUUUACCUCCUCUUGCACAUCACGCCAGUGGUCUCCGUUUCCCCAAACCCCUUCUGGAUUGAUCAGAAAAUGCGAAAAAUGAAGACUAAUUUAAACAGUUUUUGGACAGCUUCUUCAAUCUGAUUUUUGCUGCGUUUCUGCCUAUUUUCUGGACGAUUUCUAGUAAAUAUCACGAGCCAAAACCUUCACCUUGAAGCUCUGAUAUCAAUUGUUGCGGAAGCUCUCUCAAAAGGAUCUUCAAAUGGUGGUUUUCCAGGCUCAGUCCAACAUACCUUUCUCUACCAACAACCAAUCCGAACGGCUCCAAACCACAACCAAUUGAUUCACCUUGGUUGCUAUUCAAUCUUACCCACGUAGGACAAGAAAGGAUGAUGAUUUAUUGCCACAAAGUCUAAGAAAAGACAUCACAAAGGUAUACUAUGAAAGAACCACCAAUUGCACACGUUACACCAGCGUUCUGGACACUUCUGGAUACCUUUUUUCUCACCCAAAAUGGGGCAGCCGGGAUUCUCUUGUUUCUUCUCUCAAAAUCACACAAUCAUCAUAUCAAAGUGGCUAGGGUUAUAGCCAAAUAUAUAUUCUAGGGUUAGGCUUUAAGUUGGGCCAAUAAAGGGGUAAACACGCCAAGAUUCAAAUCAUCCAUAAGGAAUACAAUUGGGCCGGGUAUAGCUCAUGGACUUGAUUAUUAGACUUAUUUCAUUCAUCGGUCUAUGUCUAUAAAAUAAUAUUAACCCACGUUAACAUCAUAGCCAGGGAUUUAUUGGGUAUCAAAAACCCAACAGGGCUUUUCAGACUCAGGAUGCAAGCUGAUGGGAACCUAGUGCAAUACCCUGCAGAACCUAAUGUCAUGUCAUCUGAUGCUUACUAUUCAACACAAACCUUUGGACAGGGCAGUAGUGUAUCAUUGAAUCUUGAUAAUAAUGGCCAUCUUUAUUUGUUCGAUGGAAUCUCCGUUAUAUUCAAUUUAUCAAUGGGACAAUAUCGAACAGGAACUAUCUACCUCAUCCUCAUGAGAAUUGAUGUGGAUGGUAUUUUUUGUGUAUAUAAUCGCUCGUUGGAUCGUCAAGGCAACUGGGCUAUAGAAUGGUUCUCCAAUGAAGAUAAAUGUGUCCCAAAGGGUGUAUGCCCAAUAAAUAGUUUCUGUUCUAUGGCGAAUGGGAAUACAAGUUGUAAAUGUCUUCCAGGAUUUUUACAAGUUAUUCCAGGAAACUAGAGCUUAGGAUGUGAGAGGAAUUUUUCCAUGGAAAGUUGUAAAAACAAGGAUCAAAAUGUCAAUUAUAGAAUGAGAUCCCUGGAUAACACAGUGUGGGAAGACACUGAUUAUGAUAUUAUAGAAGAUAUGAAGACUAAAGAAGAUUGUGAAAAUGCUUGUUUGGGGGACUGCAAUUGUGAUGCCGCUUUCUUUAAAGAUGGAAUCUGCAGAAAGCAAAAGCUUCCAUUGAGAUACGGAAGAAGAUUGCAGGGUGGUUCAAAUGUUGCUCUUAUCAAGGUGGCCACACGUUCAUCUUUCACACAGGGAGUUCCAAAUAAUUCAGUUAAUGAAGUCGUGAAAGAACGUCAUCUAAACAACUUCUUAAUCAUCAGCAUUUCGCUUGUUGCUUUGGCUGCAUUGAUCUUGGCAAUUUCUUGGGUUUAUGUCCGCCGAAAUCAUGUUGGAACCUAUAUGAUUUCCAACAAUAGAAAUGUUGAAAUGAUUGAUGACGUUGGUUUACGAGCAUUUACUUAUGCAGAACUUGUGCAAGCCACAAAUGAAUUCGAAGAAGAGCUUGGUAGAGGAGCAUGUGGCACAGUUUACAAAGGGAUUCUAUCAAACAACAAAAUUAUUGUGGCUGUGAAGAAGCUCGAGAAAGACUUGGCAGGAAUGAGAGAGUUUCAAACUGAGAUGAAGGUGAUAGGGAAAACACAUCAUCAUAAUCUUGUCCGACCAGGGCUGGUCCUGUGGCGAGGCCCAUGAGGCCUACGCCUCAGGGCCAAACCGGAUGGGGGCCUCAUUUUCGCCCAGAUUUUUUUUUUAUGGACUUAAAGUCGAAUGGAAAUUUUUUUUAUCAUUCCCUUUCCCUUCUGUUGCCAUUGCUCCGCUCCCUCCGCCUACCUACGACAUCGACAACGGACCUCCAAGUUUCCAACUGGACAAGCGGCAGCGGGGCAGCGUCCAAGCGAUUAUUGAGCUUUCAUGUAGGGUUUUAUCUUUUCCCAAUUGAAUUAAAACCCCCAAAUCCCUGAAAUCAAAAAAAUCCCCAAAUCGAUUUCUGUUGAAGCUUCACUCUAAAACCCCCCAAAUCCUUCAAAUUUCUCGAUUGGUUUCAAGAAGCCGGCUGCUCUCUCAUAUUCAACUUUUUCAAACACUGCAGUUGGGGGUGGUUCUAGGAUUGGUUCUAGCUCUUAUCCUCGGAAUCGGAUUACAUGUUGGAGCAAGAUUAUUUACCAAAGAUAUUGACGUCCUCUACCUUAUUGGCAUUGGAAUCUAGGUACUCUGUCUGCCGGUCUGCCCUGACAACUUGAACUCACCAUUAGAAAUCCAUUUAGCUAUUUCCAAAAAAAAGAAGAUAAAAUGUGAACUAACUGAUUCUUGUGAUAUCAGUUUGUUGCAGCAACUUGGGUGAGCUAUGAGUAAUUAUAAAUUAAACAUAUUAAAAAACUUGGCUGCUGUAAUUAUAAAUAAUGAAGUACAAAUCUUUUUUAAUUGUUAUUUACAUGCCAACGAUGGAUAUAUAAGACAUUGGCAGCUCAACCAUAAAUAACAAAUUAAAAGGUAAAAUAAAAUCAUGGACACCUUUUCCUUUAAUGCCACAAUUUAUAUACGAUAUAUCUAUAAAAAUAAAUAAUUAAAUAGUAGAUAAUUUCAAUUGAAGACACAGACACUCCACGAACAGUAGAAGUAUAUAUUUUCUGCAGUAGAUGACUGAAUUUAUUUUAACUUUUUUUUGUAUGAUUUUAAGAAUAAGCAGAUUAAAAAACUGAGAGAAUUGACAUCUGAAGAGUUGUAUAUAAGUAUAUUGGUGCCUUUUUCAUAGCAUUAUUCUUAAUAACUUGCAUAUUUCCAGCUCUCAAUGAUCAUCCUAAAGUGGCGUUACCCUUUUGACAACUUGUGAUAAUUAUAAUCGUCGAUUUAUUUUGUGUGGGGUUUAAUAUCGCAAUUUGUUGCAAAAUGGGAACCAUGUAACUAUUAAAAGCAUGUUUCUGUAUGCUCAAACAUGCUCUAAAUGACUUGGUACAUGGACUUCUCUGUCUGUUUCAGAGUGUUUGAUUUAUGCCUGCAAAAAGAUUUUCUCAGUGAUAGGAUGAAGUUUCAGGUUUCCCUCUACUUAUAAGUACCAAAAAGGUCACUAUUCCAACUAGUAAUUCACUUCAACUCACUCAUAACAGGUUGAUCUAAGUGAAGAUUUCCCCUUUGUGAUCCUGGUGGUAUAAGAAGAAGAGUAAAAUAUCAGUACAAAAUUAUUAUUUUUCAAGACAAGUAUAAUUAAAAUUCAGAUCUAUUUUAUUUUAUCAAAUAACUUGAAAUAUAUUAGAAUGUGUUAACUAAAUUAUGUAAUAUUAAUUCAUAUAGACAUCCAUAGUGGAAAAUGCAGUGACUAUUGACUACAAACAAGACAAAUACUUUAAUGAUCAACGUUAGUGAAUUAUGAGCAUGUAAUCGCAAUGAAUACAUUGAAUGCAAAUUUCUAAAUCAAGUGAAUGAUCAAGUGUAUGAUUUGAGGAUGGCAACCUAUAAUUUUAUACUCGCAAUAAAAAUGAAUGCAAAUCAUUAAAUUAUAUGUUUUGCACAUGUGAAUGUGAUAAAUAAGAAUAACGUUAUCCAUAGUCAGCGACUACCAGUAAUCAUUCUAUUUAGUAAGUUAUUAUUUGAUGCCCUGUGUGCAUAAUGUUUCUUAUGUAUUAUGUCACCCUUUAUUGCUCUAAGGAUUAGGGCUCUACCCAUUUAAUAUUUACUGGAGCAACUUGGGUGACCUACCCGUCCACAAUUUAAGUGGACUUUUGUCCACUGUUGAGGAGAGAUACCAAGAUAUUUAAGUUGCUUUCCUCAUUGGCUCUCGGUUGCAUGAUUCUUUGUGGUUCAACUUUGUGCCUCUUGCUCUAGCAUUAUAAAAACCUUUUGCUAGUUUUCUGAAACAAAAACUACUCGAUUUUCUGAAGGAGUGGGGAGCUGGACAUUAAACCAUUAAAGGCUUGAUAUUUACUCCCCUUGCAUUCAAUUAAGUGAAUUGCUUAAGAGUCUGCUGUUUAUUUUUAUAUAUUUUUAAUUUUUUUUCCCUUUGACAGUGAGUUGUAGCAUCUGCUCUGUGCUAUUACUUGGUCAAAUAAGAUUCUAGUCCCUACCUUGGUUUCCUUGUAUAUGCUGCCAGCUGCUUCAACCUGUUUUCUCGACGUUGCUAUCACAAAUUUUCCUUGGAAGCCACAUUUAUUUGGGAGGUAACAUACUAAAAUUUCCUAUGCAUUUUUGCUUUUAGUGCUAAUAUAUUCAAUUUGAUGAUCAUGUUAAUAUACGUAAUAGCGUUUGAUGUGAAAUUUUUGUUUCAGGGUCAGGAGUUGUGAGUCUUGUGACAGUGAAAUUCUUGAAGGUGUAACUCCACAGUUUUCGUUGAAAUUCUACUUGUCAGGUAAGCAAUGGCUUGUCUUAAUUUGUUAUUGAAGAAAUUGAAAAUGUUUGAAGCCUUGUCGGCUUAUAUAAUUGUGGCCUGGUCGGCUUAUAUGAUUGAUUAUUAGAGGAUCAACAAUUGCACAUGCGCACAUAAUAACUAUAUUGAAAACUCUAACUGUGUGAUGAUUUGAGAUAUUUUGUAAUUAUUUUUUAGGUUACUCAUUGGGCAUCAGAUAUAGACUCAUACACCAUGCCUCCUAAAUAUGAGUCUAGUGCUCAAAAGAGAAAAAGGAAACGAAAUGAAAUUUCAUUAAUUCAAAGUCAAGUUGGGGAUAUUGACAAGUACUUUAAAAGCAACAAUGUGAAUACGUUGAAUGAGGAUGAAGUAGAGAUUCAACCUGCAUGUGUUAACGAAGUAGAUGAUAAGGAUGAAGAAGUGAGUGAACCUGCCUACGUUAAUGUAGCAGAUGAUAAGGAAGAAGAGGUAAAGAAACCUGCAUGUGUUAAUGAAGUAGAUGACAAGGAAGAAGAGGGUUGCUUUUCUCUAAAUUUGGAUGAUCCCGGGAAUUGGAAAAUCAUUGAUCAGAGAACAAGGGAUUACUUAGUUGAAAGGGGUCCAAAAAGAGUUGAUGACAUAUCGUUUCCGAAAGAUUGUACAAAUAGGCAUUUUGAUUCUUCACAAUAUAAGCGAUUGCUACGAAAUGGGCAAACAAUUGAUAGACGAUGGCUAGUAUAUUUAAUAUCUAUGGACAAGAUCUUUUGCUUUUGUUGCAAGUUGUUUAAAACACCCAAAAAUGUUACCAGAGUUGGCCAACUUGGUAACGAUGGAUUCAAAGAUUGGCAUAAUUUGCAUCGGUCUAUUAAAAGUCAUGAAGGAAAUGAAGAGCAUUUAUGUUGCAUGACUAGUUGGAUUGAAUUGGAAAAUAGGCUUCAAACAAAAACUGCAAUUGAUAAAGGCGUUGAAUUGUUGAUCGAUGCGAAAAGAGAACAUUGGAGGCAUGUAUUAACAAGGAUAAUCACUAUUGUAAAAAGAGUCGCCAAAAACACAUUGCCAUUUCGAGGAGAUUAUGAGAGGCUAAAUGUUGAGAACAAUGGUCUGUUUUUACAAAUGGUGAAAAUGGUUAGUGAAUUUGAUCCAAUAAUGAAAGAGCACCUUCGACGGGCUAAUGCAAAAGAGAUUCAAUACACGUAUCUUGGCAAAAAAAUCCAAAAUGAGUUGAUACAGUUGUUGGCUAAUGAGGUGAGAAGUGCAAUUGUCAAGAAAGUUAAACGUGCAAAAUAUUUUGCAAUUAUACUUGAUUGUACUCCAGAUGCAAGUCAGGAGGAGCAGAUGUCAUUAAUAGUACAAUUUGUAGAUGAUUCGGUAAAUUUACCUACAGUUGAAGAACAUUGGCUUGAAUUUUUGAAGGUAGAUGACACUACGGGACUUGGACUUACAACCGAGCUUCAAAAGGCUUUGAUCAAACUCGAUCUGGAUAUUGACGACAUUAGAGGGCAAGGGUAUGAUAACGGAUCUAACAUGAGAGGGAAGCACAAAGGUGUGCAAAGAAGAAUACAUGAAAUAAAUCCCCGUGCUUUCUAUACUCCAUGUGGCGCUCAUAGUCUAAAUCUAGCGUUAUGUGAUAUGGUGAAUUGUUGUUCCAAAGCUGUAUCCUUCUUUGGAGUGAUACAACGCAUCUACACUUUGUUUUCAUCUUCUACCAAGAGAUGGCAAAUUUUUAAAGAUAAUGUAAAAGGGUUGACAGUGAAGCCGUUGUCACAAACACAUUGGGAAAGUCAUGUUGAGAGUGUGAAGCCUAUAAUGGAGCAAACUGCACAGAUAAGAGAAGCAUUACUUGAUUUGGCAGAAACUAACGAGGAUCCUAAAGUAAAGAGUGAAGCCGAGUCGUUGGCAACACAUGAACUUCAGAAUUUUGAGUUCUUGCUUGGCAUGGUAAUCUGGUACAGGUUGUUGCAUGCAAUUAAUAUUGUGAGUAAAUUUCUUCAAACUGAAUCCAUGGAUAUUGAUCAUGCUAUCGACCUAUUGCAAGGACUUGUUUCAUUUCUUGAAAAUUAUAGAGAAAUUGGAUUUGCCAUUGCCAUGGAUGAAGCGAUAAAAAAGGCAAACGAAAUGGGAAUUGAAGCUGUAUUUACAGAAAAACGCAUAAUUCGAAGAAAAAAACAAUUUGAUGAAAACUGUAGUAAUGAGGUAAAGCAAUCAGCAGAAGAAUCUUUUAGAGUUGAGUACUUUAUUUUUAUAAUUGAUCAAGCUCUAUCUUCUCUGAGAACUCGAUUUGAACAAUUCAAACAAUAUGAUGUUAUAUUUGGAUUUUUGUUUAAUUUGAAGAGGUUAAGGAGUGAAACUCUAUCAAGUUUUUUGAACUCUUGUAUGAAUCUUGAGAAAUAUCUUGAACAUAAUGGGCUUUCGGACAUCAGUGGAGAUGAUUUAUGUUCGGAGUUACAAGUUUUUAAGAUUUAUUUACCAAAUGAAGCAACAAGAGCAAUUGAAGUGCUACACUAUUUGAAGACAUUGGAUGUUUGUUUCCCAAAUGCUUAUAUUGCUUACAAAAUUUUGUUACCGUACUGGUUACAGUUGCAUCUGCGGAAAGAAGUUUCUCGAAAUUGAAGUUGAUCAAGACCUAUCUCCAAUCAACUAUGUCACAAGAAAGAUUAAACGGGUUGGCUAUGUUAUCAAUAGAAAAAGAAAUGGUUGAGCAGCUAAGUUAUUCAAAUUUGAUUGAUGUUUUUGCCUCUAAAACAGCAAGACGAAUAGUAUUUAACUAAUUGUUUGAAAUUUUUGGUUCGAUGGUUUAUAAUAUAAACCGUUUCUAUGAUAUAUUUCAUGGUUGUUUUAAUGUUAGUUUUUUAAGUUAGCAAUAAGUCACAUAAUACACCUUUGAAUUUUGUCGUGGGGGGCCUAAUUUUCAUCGGCAGCCUCAGGGCCCAUCAAACACAAGACCGGCUCUGUGUCCGACUUCUUGGUUACUGCUUUGAAGGAUCCGUGUCGCUUUUGGUAUAUGAAUACAUGAGCAAUGGAUCACUUGCAGAUAUACUUUUCAAUCCCGAAAGUCGGCCAUGCUGGGAAGAGAGAAUUAGAAUUUCUCUUGAUAUUGCCAGAGGCAUCCUCUACUUGCACGAGGAGUGUGAGACACGGAUCAUUCAUUGUGAUAUUAAACCGCAAAACAUUCUCAUGGAUGAGCACAGGUGUGCAAAGAUUUCCAACUUUGGAUUGGCAAAACUCUUAAUGCUAGAUCAAACAUACACCAAUAUAGGGAUCAGAGGAACAAGGGGUUAUGUUACCCCAGAGUGGCACAUGAAUUUACCUAUAACAGUCAAAGCAGAUGUUUACAGCUUUGGAGUCGUGCUCCUAGAAAUCAUAUGUUGCCGAAGAAGUGUUGAUCGAAGACUCCCUGAGAAUGAAGCUAUUCUUCAAGAAUGGGUUUACAACGGAAAUAUGUGCCCAAGUUUAGAAAUUCUAAACUUAUAAAUACUAACAUUAAUUUUCAUUUAAAAAAUAAAUGGAGCAGUAUAAAUAAAAUUGAAUAAUGACGAGUGUGUUUUAUUCACAAGUUUUAUUCCAUUGUAAACUUGAUUGUGAGCUAGAUUUUAUGAGGUAGAAAUGUUGAGAUGGUGAAAGAUACAAAACAAUUCAUCAAAUAAAGCUAUUGGCGUGGACUGAGAAGAAAUGAUGGAAGAAAGGGCAAAAGAGUUCAAGCAUAAGGAGAACGGACGAGGGUCGCCACAACGCCACCGUGUGAACAAAGCUGUGGCAUCGCGGCACCACACAACAGGCACUGAGGCCCCACAGAAAGCCAAGACCCUACUUGUGACACAAAUGAGGAGGCAACUAUAAAUACAAGUUUCCAUAUUUUUGAAGGGACUUCACACUUUGAGAAGAGGAGAACACAACUAGAGAAUCAAAGAAGCAAUUCAAUGCAGGAAAACAUCAAGAAAUUCAUUGUUUGAAGCAUUGAUUGGAAAAGGAAGAAGAUUUGGUUCAAGAUUGACUUCUUUUUCUACAUCUUUACUAAAAAUCUGGCGAUGUAUUCAGUAAUGAUCUAUUAUUUUUCCUCUUUUAUUAUGAACAGCUAAAAUUCUUAUUAGGACGAAUAAUGUAACCUACUUGGGACCAUUUAUUUCUUUUAUUCAAGAUUCUUGUUCUUUUAUCUGUUAUGCGUUGAUUUUGCUAUGAAUUUAAUGCAUUGAAUUACUUGAUCAUUAAUUCGAUGAUUUUGUGAAUCUUUUAUGAAUCGGGAGGUGAGUUUAGGAUUUAGACCAUAUAGUAAAAUUCGGUAAAUUGGUAUGAUGUGUAGAGAUACGUAUGCUGAUUAUUGUGGUCAUAAAUGAAUUCUUAGAACCAAGAUUUCAUUUAAGGUUAAUUUGUAUAGAGAUAUGAAAUUGAAUUAAUUAAAUAGACUCAAUAGGAACUUGAAAGAAAUAAAUUGAAUAUAAUAGGAGAAUUUAAUCGAACACUACAUUAAAUUUUGAAUCUUGAUUUAAGACUUAAAUGUGAUUAAUAGGUGAAAUUGUUCUGUUCUAAUAUUUGUUCAUUAUUUAAUUUCAAAAAUCAAUCAUUGUAUGCAUCCACAUAUUUUUACUAUUUAGAUUAAAAAUCAAAGCAUGCAAAUCUUUGUUUGCCUUGUCGAAUUGUAGUUAGAAUGAAAUUAGAUUAAGUGCUAAAGUAUAGUUCUUGUGGGAACUAUAAUCCAGACUCCAAGGUCCAUUGUACUACUUGUUAUGACCCGUAUACUUGCAAGAUAUAAAAUCGCAACAAAUAACAUAAAUUAAACUUAACUGACAUCAUCAUUUGUGAAAUUUAUAAAAUCAUAGACAAUUGAUUAAAGAAAAUUACAUAGUCCAGAAUGAUUUAUUUAUAAUAAUUCAAUAAAUUUUCAAAAGGUCUCAAAUUAUCUUAUUAGAGUAGAAAUAUAACAUUUAACUCGGACAGUACUGAAUCCAUCUCGUCUCCUAUCAUUUAGCUCUCAUCAUUUGAAAAUAUAGUGAUGACCUGGAAUAAGCUGACGCUCAAUAAGAAAACCCUAUGCAUAUGAUAUGCAUAUACAUUACUUAAAAUAAAUAGUUUUUGUAUUAUGUGUUCCCUUUCAUUUCAUUUGUUUAAAAACAUUAAUAUUGACAUUAGGAUCUCACUUGGUGUAUCACCUAGCCAAUCAAAAUGUAGUGGGCAAAUAUUAGUUGAAAUUCGAUUCGUCCUAUUGGUGUAUUGCAAAACGGUUAACAUUAACGUCAUCAUUGAGCAUUGAACAUUGGUUGGAUACUCCAAUCCCCACACCCCAUUUCCCACUCACAUUUCAUGGCAUAUAUAUACAUCUCAUAAUAAAAAUAUCUGGGAUACAUAUCUUAAAAAAUAUUAUUUGACUCAUGACAUUUGGAACUUUUUAUUCCUUGAAACUUCAUUUAUGCUUACGGAUUUAUUGACGUGCAUGAAUAUAUCAUGAAAAGCAUUAAUGACAUAAAAGUUAAUAAUCAAAUAUCAAGUUCACAUAAUAACAAAUAUAGGCAAUACAUAUAUACAUUUAAUGAUAUAAUGUACGCAUGAAUCCAAUGGAAGGUUUACUUACCUAAAAUUCGUGAAAAAUAAACUUUUAGAAUAGUAUGUGGAGACAUUCCAAGUCGCUCACAAAGUCAAUGUGCCGAAAUCCUAAUUCACUACCAUUUAUUUAGAAGUUUUGACAAAACUUUCUCUUUAAUUAUGAACUUAUAACAUUGUCCUAUUAGUUUAUUUAAUAGUAUCAUUAUAGAACCUUACUUAAAAAGUGUUAAUUUAAAUAAAAAUUCAAAAGUAAAACCCACUAUAAAAGACAUCAUUAACCAAAAUAAGUACUUGUAAUUCAAUAAUCGCUAAACUAAUAAUCCAUUAUUCUACUAAUUCAAGAAUUAUAUACAUGUGGAUAAGAAACAGUUAUACAUAUGGACACGUACAUUAAUAUAUACAUACAAUGUCAUUUAUUUUAACAUAUACACAAAAAAUUGGGCAUAGGGCAUCUAAAUAAAGUGUGAGCCGGAUUAUAUAUGUAGAGAUCGGAUUCCAUUAGAAUUAUAUUUCAUGACGGGCAAAUAUGGAAUUAUGAUCCCCAAUUCAUAUCCAACUUCUCAUUCUUUGUGUCAUCAACACAAGAAUACAAUAGAAAGCAUAUUGAAGAGGAAGAUACAAAAUCCAAAAUCAAGAAUUAAGAUUGUGGAUCAAGAAUCAAACUCAAAGACAAGAAUUUAGAAUCAAAGGGGACAAAACUAAAGAUUAAAAAUGAAGAAGCCAAACAUGAAGAGAUUGCAGUAAAUCUUCAAGAUUCAAGAUCCAGUAAUAAAGAAUCAUUCUCAAUGAAUUAAGGUAUGUUCCACACUUUAUAAUUCUUUGUAAUUUGACAUGGAGGAUUUUGGCAAUAAAAUAAUUAGGUUUUCAUAAAAUUAAGAUUUAACGUUUCAUAAAAUUUCAAAAAAUGGUAUUAGAGCCUACUUCAUGUUAAACCAUUCGAAUUAAAGGAAGAAUUUUGUGGUUAAAAUUCAUAUAUUGAGUUCUGAAAUAUUUUAGUUUAGAAUAUAAAUUUUAAACCAUAAAUUUCAAAAUUCAGAAUUAUUCAAGAAGAAAAUUUUAGGGUUGAAAUUCAUAAUUAAUGUUUUAUAUAAAAAAAAAAAAAUUUCAGAUGUGAAUUUCAAACCCCAUACAUCUAAAUUCUAGGUUCAAGUUAAUUUUUUUCGGCAUUAAAGAAACACCACAGCCGUGGCGCCCAAAUGCGACGCUGCAACGUCGCGAUUCGAAAAAAGACAGUGCCUAGACAUGCUGUGAACAUAGCGCCCAUGGCCUAUGCGGGGCCCAAUAUUGGACACUACAACGCUUGUUUGCUACAGAUAAAAUUAUUACUAUUUUUUUUGGGGUUAGAAACAAAUAAUAAUAAUAAUAAUAAUAAUAAUAAUAAUAAUAAUAAUAAUAUCAUCAAGGGGCAAUCAAUUUCAAAUUUUGGUAUUUAAAGUUUUUUCACAUUACUAAUUUUCUAAAAUAGAUUGGUUGAAGCAACAUGUUACCAAAGUAAUCUCUCUUGCCUAAAUUAAUUUAUUUGGAAUAUUAGGAAGAUUGUGUAUACGUAAUUCAUGUGGAUAUUCGCUAGCCCAAAGGAAGGUCAAUAUUUGUUAGAAUUAUUUAUACACCUGUGGUAAUAAAUAUGUGACAAUUGUAAAGUUUUCUAUUAUGUGAACAUUGAGUCGGUCCAAAGACAAACUUGAUGUUUGACCAGAUUUAUUGUCAAUAUUUGAUUACUUCACCAAAAAUACCGCUUACAAGUUGAUAUUUCUGUCCAAAAACUAAAUAUCAAUAUUGUGCUCAAUUUCUUAUGAUGGGGCUCACCAUUAUUUGAAAUUAUUGAUUGUUCAAUACACAUUCCCAUGUGAACAUGUUAUUUAGGUUUAUCUUCUCUAUUUGGUUAAUCCAUCUACUUCUACAAUAUCUGCCAAUAUCAAUAUAAUUCAUGUGUUUGAUCCAAAGUUUAAGGGCUGGAAAAGAACGUUUGCAUCAUUCUUGAUGGCAUGGAUCUAGACCUUGUGUUAAGAACUAAACAAUCUACUACUCUUACGAAUAAGGAUUCCGCUAAUAAAAUGGGACUCGAAUAAGUGUGGUCGUUUAAGCUACAUAAGUAUUAUGAUCAUGAAGCAUAAAAUUCAAGAAAAUUUAGGGGCAAUGUGUUCAGUAAGGUAGCUACCAAGAAAUUUCUUAAAGAAUUAUUUCAAAAUGCUUUGCGAAAAAAAUGAUAAGGUCGAAACUAGUACGUUUUUGGCAAACUAGGUUUCAUAAGGCUAAAGAAAAUAUACGAGAGUACAUCAUGGAUGUGUCUCAUCUUGUUUUAAAACCAACUGCACUAAAGUUUAAGAUAUCUGAUGACUUUCUAAUGGAUAUGGUUUUGCUUUCUCUUUCUACACAAUUUGGCUAAUUUAAAGUCAAUUAUAGUUGUCAAAAGGAGAAGUCAUCUCUUAAUGAACUCAUUUCAUAUUGUGUGCAAGAAGAAGAAAGUUUAAAGCAAGAGAGAACUGGAAGUAUUCAUUUGGCAAGUACCUCUAAGGACAAGUGAAAGAAUAAGAAAACUGCAUCUAAUUCGGUUCAAAAGAACAUCAAACACCUUAAAAUGAUAAAUCAUCUAGCUGUUACUUUUUUGAAAAUCUGGGACAUUUUAUAUAGAUUAUACUAAAUAUCAUGCUUGGCGGGUAAAGAAAGUACACGUUCACUUUGGUUUGUUCUAUGGUUAAUUUAACUUGAAUACCAAGACACAUUUGGUGGAUAAAUUUUGGUGUCACUACUUAUAUAAGUGUCUAUGCGGGGUUGCCUAAACUGUCAAAAGCCACUUGAUGUUGAAAGAUUCAUCUAUGUGGGACGAUGGCAAAUCAGUUAAAGUUGAGGCUAUAAGGAUUUUUAGGUUAUUAUUAAAAAUUGGUUAUUAUUUGAAUUUGAAAGAGACAUUAUACGAAAUUUGGUUUCUGUUUCUACAUUAAAAAAAUUCGGUUACUUUUAUUCAAUUGAAAAUAGUAAGUUCAGUCUUUUUCUUAAGUCAAAUAUUAUGGAUACUAGACCCUUACCUAGUUAUGAUAACCUAUAUCUACUUAAUACGUUUACCUCUUAUAAAGAAGCCUUGCUUGUGAAUUCAUGUGGUAUUAAACAUAAAUUAACCAAUGAAAAUUCCGUUUUGUUCUAACAUAAGCGAUUUAAUCACAUCUUUCAAAAGAGAAUGAAAAGUCUUAUGUCAGAACGAAUUCUUGAUUUCCUUAAUUUUUUGAACUCAAGUAUUUAUGUAAUCACAUUAAGGAAAAACAAAAAAAUAUAUAAGGAGAUUAGGUACAAAUAGAAUUUCGAACGUUUUAGAACUAAUUUAUACGGAUAUCUGUGAGCCAUUUCCUUUUAUUUCUCAGAUUGAUCAAUAGUAAUUUAUUAUGUUAAUAGACAAAUUUUUCUCACUAUGGCUAACUAUAUCUGGUCUAUGAGAAAUCCCAAACAUUGGACAUGUUCAAGGCUUAUAACAUUGAGAUUGAAAAUCAAAUCAGCAAAAGAAUGAAACAAGUCAGAUCUUACCAUAGUGGUGAGUACUAUAACAGAUAUGAUGGAUUAGGAGAACAAUGUCCAGGGCUUUGCUAAAUUCCUAGAGGAAUGUGGAAUUGUCCCACACUACACCAAAAUCUUUCUAGGUUGAAGCGCUAAAGACUGCAACUUGAAUUUACAAUAAAGUUUCAAGUAAAGCAAUUAUUAAGGGUUACAAAUUUUAAAGAUCAAACUAUUAAGUCAAUUUUCGAAACGAAAAAUGCCAAUUUCUUUGAGAAUGUAGAGUUUGCCGAGGGGAGAUAAGGUUAGAGAUUUUGUUUUUGAGGAGGAAUAUAUAAAUAUUUCUUUUGUUGCAAUUGACUAUGAUCUAGACUAGGGAUAAAUUCUUGCUUGAGAACAUAUUUAAUAAGCAAUUUCAGAUCAAGACAAUAUUAUAAAAUCUCUCAUACACAAUCAAAAGAUUAUUUCAGAAGAACAAACUCAACAACCUCAAGAACAAAUGUCAUUAAGAAAAUCCACUAAAGAAAAGAAAAAGGCAAUUUGAAUAAUUUUAUAGUCUUUCUCCAGGAAAAUAAGAAUGGUAUUAUAUUGGUGGAAAAAGAUCUGAUCAAACAACUUUAAUCAUGCAAUACAAAAGAAUCAUUCUUAAGAAUGGAUUGAUUCCUUGAAUACUCUUUUAGGACUGUUAUGGCAUUUGAUCUUAAACUACAUAUAAUGGUUUAUAAAUUAAAGAAAUACAUAUGUGGGCUUAAGCAGGUUUCUCGUCAAUGGUAUCACAAAUUUUAUCAAAUAAUUAUCUUGUUUGAUUUUUUAGAUGAAUUCAGAUGAUGAUUGUGUAUAUCAUAAGUUCAAUGGGAGAUAACAUAUUUUUUGGUAUUGGAUGUCAAUGACAUACUAUUUGCCUGCAAUGGUAAAAGACUAUUGAAUAAAACAAGAAAUUUCUGUUAUGAAAUUUUGAAAUAAGAGAUUUUGGUGACCCUCUUUUGUGUCAAGAAUACAAAUACGUUGGAAUGAUUCUCGGGGUAUAUUUGGAUUGUUACAAAAGAGUUAUAUCGAUAAAGUUUUAAAGGAUUUCGAAUGUAGGUAUAUAAACCAUAUCCCUAUUACUAAGGGAGACAACUUUAGUCUAAUUAAUGCCGCCUUUGCUUGAGCAAUUGUAUGUUUAAUGUAUGCUAAUGUUUGCAUACGUCCGAAUAUGGUAUUCAUUGGUUGCAUGCUAGGUAGAUAUUUAAUAACUCUGGGACGGAUAUCUAGAAAGUAGCCAAUUAAUAUAUUCGGUAUUUUAAAGAGAACUAAAGAUCACAUGAUCACAUUUAGAAAAUCAGACCAAUUGGAGAUCAUUGGAUAUUCUAAUUUUGAUCAUGGAAUAUGACGGCAAAAUGUUGUCACUAGGUUGUAUAUUUUGGAUGAAUUUGUAAGACCACUUUAGUCAUUUGUGACAAUAGAAGUAUUGUAUUCUAACAGGAGCUCGAUGAUGUCGAAGUUUAUAGACAUUAAGUUUCCUAGUUGUCGAGAAAAUAAUUUUGAGUGUUCAGGUUUCAAUGGAAUAGUUAGGACAAACUCUAUAAUUGGUAUCCACUUACUAAGGGGCUAUCACCCAAGGUCUUUCAUGAUCGUAUUGCUCAUAUGAGUGUUGCAUCUUUUGAUGAUAUUCCAAUUUAGUAGGAGUUUGUAUUUGGAUGUUGUCUAUUUUGGACACAUAAUUCUAUCCAUGGAUAUUGGUUUAUUUUAGAAAUAAAGAAUCCAGUUCAGUUUUACUCUGAUUAAAGUUUUGGUUUGAUCUCAUAAGGUAGGACCAGUUGGAAAUAGGCAUGUUUAGAUUACAUUACAUAUAAUUUCCUUGCUACACCUCUACACUUGAUUUGUGUCGUUUGAUUGUAUUUAUAUAAGUGACUAUUGAGGGUUUAGUUAUGAUAAUUAUGACAUAUACCGCUUUAAUCCUAUAUUAGCAUAAUUAAUAGACAAGAUUGUUUGCAGAAACCCUUUGGUUAUGAUAACAAAAGUAUUGGGCUCGUAAAGUUAUACACAUUUAUAAGGUAACAUAUGUUUCCCAAGUCGAAAAUUGUUACGAAAUUAUUAAUUUGUCAUAUGGGCCAGCAUAUGCAAUUAAUAGUGUAAAAGGCCAUUUUAGAGUUAAGCUCAAAAUUAAAAUGGUCUAAUAAAGAAUUAAGUAAUUGGGUUUGGAGCAUCUAAAUAAAGUGUGAGACAAAUUAUAUGUGUAGAGACCGAAUCUUUUUAGAAUUAUAUUUCAUGACGAGCGAAAUACAUAUGAAAACUAUAUAUAGGGUAAUGGUCCCCAAUUAUUUGCAACUUCUCAUUCUUUGUGUCAUCCUAUUAAUACAAUAAUAUAAGAGAAAGCAUAUUGAAGAGGAAAAUUCAAAAUCCACAAUCAAGAAUUAAGAAGAAUAAAUUCAAGAUUAUAGAUCAAUAAGCAAAACCAAGAACAAGAAUUAAUGAACCAAAGGAGGCAAAACUCAAGAUUAAAAGUGAAGAAUCCAAACAUGGAGAGAUUGCAGUAGGUCUUCAAGAUUCAAGAUCCAAUAUCAAGAUCCAUUAAUAAAGAAUCAAUCUCAAUGAAUUAAGGUAUCUUCCACACUUUAUAAUUCUCUUGCUCGUUUGACAUGGAGGAUCUUGACAAUAAAGUAAUUAGAUUUUCAUGUUAUUAAGAUUUAAAGUUUCAUAAAAUUUCAAUAAUAUAUGCACACACCUAUACUUAUAAAUAUUUAUUUAACAUAUAUACAUACACACCAUAUAUAUGUAUACUAACAUCUUUAUGCACACAUACCUGUGCAACUUCAUGCAUACAAACUUACAAAUCAAUGUACAAUCAUAUAUAUAUUCUAUAUAUAUAUACACACCAACCCACAUUGAUAUAUGCAUGCACAUAUAUUUAUAUAAGCAAAAGCGUUUAAGAGUAUAUAAAUUUUUCAUCUAUUUAAGUAAUUUGCAAUUGUUUCACACCAUAUCACAUCAAUCUAAAUUUAAAUCUCAAAAUGAUGAAAACGUAGUAUUUAAAAAAAAUAUAGCAAAACUUAAUAGCUUAAAGAGUAGUGUGGGAACUAAUUCUUAGAAAGAGACAAAAAAUGAAACAAGUACUUUCGAGGUUGUAACGUAUUUGUGGCCUUUUUCAUUUGUAGAGUAUCACUAGUACAAUUGCAUUUCUAUAAGGAAUAUUUGUAUCAAUUAACUAAUUCCAAUUUUAGUCACAUUUCCCCAUUUGGCCCCCAUUAAAAUUCAUCAAUUUAUUUUAAAUUUUUCUCUCUCCUAUUUUCAACCACACAAUCUUCAAUAAAAUAAUAUUACACGCAAAUUGAAAACUUUUCAUUCUUUUACAACCAUCCAUUUUUCAAAAAUUAAAAAUUAAAAAAAAUACUAUUCCCUCCAUUAGAAAUCCAAAUAAUGGGGGCCAAACGGAGGCAUAAGGAUAAUGUAUACUAAUUAGAAAAAUUAAAAUUCUACCAUCCAAGUCAAAUCCUACUUUCCUUUUAUGAUUUAUUAACCAAUAAUAAUAAUAAUAAUAAUAAUAAUAAUAAUAAUAAUAAUAAUAAUAAUAAUAACUUCAAACUAAAUAAAUUUAUAAAUAUAUUGAAUUUAAAUUAAUAGGCACGUAGAUUGUCCAGGGCAUCCAUAGCACAUUCCACAAAAAAAAGUGAUUAGUCACGAUGAAGAUAAUUAAAUUGAUUAAACUAUCAAUGCAACAUUAAUACGUAAUCUAAAUAGAAGUAAUAAUCACGAAAAUACCCUACCAGAGUCUUUUCCCACACCUGCAUCCCCUCAGUGGCUACCCCUGACGGAGGGGCUACUCUCACUCUACCUUCCUCAACAAGAGGAGCACACGAAUGAUAUACUAUAUUAUUCUAAUAUAUAUAUUUCUAAAUGCAGUAGACUCAUAGUGGGCUAAUUAUGUUGGGUUCCAAAUAACUUUGUAUUUGAUAGCAAUUGUUUUAAAUUAGUUUAUCUUGACAAGACAAUACGAAAUUCCUUAUAAUUAAUAAUACCGUUCUUUAAUAAAUCCCUUUGAACCUGCAAAGACUAGACUCUAAUAUCUUGAUCACAAAGAUGUAAAUUUUGAUAAAUAUUGAUGAAACAUAUUCUUGAAAAUUUGGAAAAAAGUCAUAGUUCCAGAGGAGGCAAUCAAGUCGAGCAACUCGCCGGCUUGACUAGUGGGACUCAACUCACGGGCAGCUCAAACUCGUUUUGAGAUGAGUCCGAGCUCGAGCCAAGAGGGAAUGCUCACACUCGGCUCACCAUUUUAGAUGAACCGGCUCGUAGGAUUAUCUACUAACUGCUCAAACGAGCAAGUCAUGGACAAUGCCCAUGAGCGGGCUCGGCUAGCCACGAGCCUAUAGUGACUAAAGAGUCACUUCAAACACAAGUGAAUAUAUGAUCAAUUUUUUAUCACUGAUUUUUUUUUCAGCUAUAAAUACCUCACAAUACAAACCAUUUUUCACACAACAAUCAACAAACUCUUUGCAAUUCCAUAAUUUCUUCAUUAUUCAUUAUUACAUACAAAUAUACAAUCUAUUGCACUAUACAUACAUUCAUUAUUGCAUAUACGUUCUAUAAGUUUUAUUACAUUCAAAUUUCAAUUCUAUUACAUUAUUCCCUCAAUUUUAUUCUCUACACUACAUUAUCCAAUUUAUAAAUUUCAUUUUUAUUCUCUACACUACAUUAUAUUACAUACACAUGGAUCCUCGAAAUUUUGUUGAGGGUUUUUUCGAUGGCCACUCACUUAUAAUGCCACAAUUUAAAUUUUUCAAUCAACUUUUCAGUCUCAACGACGUCCCAAUCCCUAGUGAUUUGUCAAGAAUGGGAUUUGAUGAUGCUAACGGAUGUAGUAAUCCAAUUAAUUUGGAUGACAUUGAUGAAGAUGCUAGUGAAGUGAAACUACAAAUUUCCAGUACAAGAAGAAAGCAAAAGCAGAAAAAAGCUACAACGUGUUGGGGACAGUUUAAAUUGAUUUCAACGGGUUGUAACAUAGAUUCUAGUCCUAGAGUUUGAGGCCGUGUGUAAAUAAUGUCGAACACGAUUGGCAUGGUAAAAGAGUAUUGAUACUACUCACUUCAAAUGUCACUACACCAAACAUGAGCUUGUUUAGAUCUUAAACACAACUAGUCUUUGGUACUCGUUCUCGUGGUAGUGGUUCAUCAACAUUAAGCAUAUGGAUGUAUUUGGAGGAAAGAAUUCGUAAUGGAACGGAGAGGUUAAUUGUCAGUGCUGAGUUAUUGCCAAGCUUAGUGGACAACAACCAUUUCACAAUGUUCGUGAAAGAAUAUCUCCAACCAAAAACACUCUUCGUAAUGAUACGCUAGAGUAUUUUGUUAGAACCAAUAACCAAUUGAUUAUUGAUUUACAAAAAUAUGAUGUUAUAGUGUAUACAUUAGAUUUAUGGGAAAAUAUAAAUAAAAAUUAAUAUAUAGUAGCAACUACACAUGACAUAGACCCACUUUGAAUGAUGCAUAAAUUUAUUUUAUUUUAUUUUAUUUUUUUUGCUUUUAAGAUAACUGAAUUUCUUCAUAAUGCUAAUAAUAUUUGCAAUGCUAUCAUGCAAAUUAAUAUGGAAUAUUGUUGUGAAAGUAAAAUUCGUUUGUUUACAUUGAGUGUUAACAAACCUGCUAUAGAUAAAUUUCGUAGAACAAUUAAUCCCCAUUUUGGUGGUUUUUUUUGUUUCAUGUUCAUUGUGUGUGUCAAAUUUUUAAUUUAAAUGUGCAAGAUGGUAGACUAAGUAUCAAAUUGAUAGAAUUAAGGAUAUAAUAGUAUAUAUCACCAUAUCACCAAGUAGGAAAUAAGCAUUUGAGGACCUUGUGCACAAAUUAGCCAAGAUCCCAAAAAAAUCAUAAUUAACGUAGGGUAUAGAUGAAAUUUCACUUACUUAUUAUUAAAAUCAUGUAAAGGAUAUUAACAUUCAAUUAUUGAAUUUUAUAACUCUAGGCAUGUAAAAAGAUGCCAAUGAUUCUAUUUUGAUUGAUUCUGAUUGGAAACUAGCUUAACUGUCGAGUAGUGAUCUUGAAUUAGAAUUCUAAUAUGGAGCUUAGAUAAAUCUAAUUAUGCUUUUUAUGAGUAUGAUCACAUAAAGAAGAAGUGUUUCUAUUCAAUUAGGGUUUGAUAUCUGAAAGAAUUAUUGUAGCGUGGAAAUUUGGUAAGUCUAUAAUUCUGAUGUCCGAGUUACGUACUGAAACAAGAAUUUUGGUAACUUUAUCUAUUCUGACUAGGAGAUUAAAUAUUACGACUCCUCCUUCCGAAAUACUCCUAUAUAUAAUAUUUCAACCAAUGCAAAACCUAACUACAUCAUUCUCAUUCUUUCUAGAGUUUGUUUUCAAUUUUAUUUUGCUUUGAACUAUGGAGGAAAAGAAAAUAAGAAUGAGGGAAUUGACAGAGGAAGAUAUGGUGGGCAUUAAGUCGGAUAAAAACCGAUUUAUGAUUGAUUUUCUGAAGAAUGUUACGAAACGAGCUGCAGAAAUAUAUGACAAUGAAGCAUUGUCAGGUGAAAGUUACGCCAAGAAGGAAAAUAGAGAUGAAAAACCCAGUUCUUCGAAAAGAAUAAUGUUUCCACGGAAGGAGAACGGAGAAGAGGAGAACGAGAAGGAUGAAAAAUUCCGUGCUUGUAAGAAUAAAAUUCGGUUUUCAUUCGACGAAGAAAUAUCGUGGGAUGAAUUUCAGUUCAAGAAACCUACGAAUAGUAAAGAAGAGAGAUCGAGGAAGAAUAAGAAAUUGAAAAGCAUUGCACCAGAGGAAAUCGUUUAUAGUUUGGAAGAAGAUUUUGCUAGAAGGAAUAAUCUCGAUAACAGUACAGUUGACAUCCCAGAAACUUCUGGGGUGAAAAGUAGAAAAAAUAAUAAGUCCAAAAGACGUUGUAAUGGAGGAGAAGAAGAGGAAGUUCGGGUUGUGAAGAAAAGAAUUAACACCGGACCGGAUCCUCCCCCUCCACUACCUGAAGAAUUCAAGGAUGCAAUUCAAGAACUGGCCAAUGGAAGAAGUAUUUCACAGGAGAUAUUGGUGGUACAGAAGGGACUCUAUAAAUCUGAUACAGAACCUCAACAAAGCAGGCUUUCUAUUCCUCUAAAUUCAGUUGUAGGAGAGUUUCUCAAGGAUGAAGAGAAAGCCCAUCUUCUGAAACGCUUCAAUGGCAAGCUGGAGCACAUAUCUGUACCAAUUAUUGAUCCUUUGCUAAUAAGGGACAAAGUAGAUUUGAGGAGAUGGCCGAUGAAGAAAAGCAAUGGGAAGGAGAGCGUAUCCUACAUGCUGACUGGAAAUUGGAUAGAUAUGCUGAACAGGAACGACUUGAAAGUUGGGCACGUGGUGCAACUGUGGUCUGUCCGAAUCGAAGAAGAAUUGGUGUUCUGUCUGGUGAGGUUGCCUGGAAAUUAGAAGCAGCUAUUCUCUGGUUUAUUUUGUUUCAUACGUUUUAGAAAUUAUCACAGCAAUUAUUUGUUAAUAUGAUUAAUUGAUUCCUACAAUUUAUCAGAAUUAAGACUUUUGUGGUGUUACUUUCUGCUAAAUUUUAUGAGUUUAAUGUAUGUUUAGGGCUUGUUUGGCAGGAAUUUUGCUUUAGAUUAUGUUUUUUGUAUAAGAAUUUUUUGAGAAAGUUUCUUCAAGAGUCCAUUUGAUUGUAAAAGUGGAAAAGACAAACCAAUUUCAUAUAAGUUGGAAAAGAAAAAAUCAUCAAAAUCAUAGGAAUUCGAUUUCCACUUAAUUGGGCAAAAACAUGAUUUAAGUGUUUGUACCUUAGAAUUCGAAUUCCACUUCCACUUUCGUAUUAAACAGCCAAAGUAGAAAACGAAUUCUUCGAAUGUGACAUUUUCCAUUGAAUCUAAUGCUAUCAGAUGAACCCAAAAAGAUCUUUUAGUCAGAUAAAGCACAUUUAGAAAAUUAUUCAAAUAUAUUCAAAGCAACUACUUAAUUUCAGAAGUAUCUUUAGACAUUUCAAAAGUUAGCCAAACAGGGCCCAUAGUAUUCUAUUUUUUGUUAGCUUUUGAUCUUGUUAUUAAAUGCUACUCGAUACUUUUAAAAUGGGUCCAACAUUGAAUCAAAAAUGAUAUAAGAAAAAAAAGUUCAACUUAGAACGAGCAGAUUCCUUGUUAUUCAAAUAGAACAGAUCGGGUCAAUCUGAUUUUUAAAACACUGCUUAAUUUAAUACGCAUUUUAGAAAUUACACUUCGAAUUAUUUUCUAUUUUGUUCUUACCGUAAGUUUGACUAACUUUUCACAUAUAUUCUACCAUUAGAGUAAACUUCAACAUUAUUUGAACCAAAACAUUGGAGAUUAUUGUUUGAAGAAUUGGGCUAUUGUUGAUUUUGUCACAUAAAUAAUGAAAAAGUUGUGGGAUAUGGUCAAAAGGAAGAUUGUUAAUUAUUGCUUUGUGACAAGAAUCAAGAUUUUAUGGACCUUUAUGUCUUCCGAUAGUCAAAGUGUUAGAAAAUUGAAUCUUAAAAAGAUAAUUCAUUUUGGACCCAAGAAUAUAUAGUUUUAGCCCCUAUUUUUCAUCCUUUACUUUAUAAUCUUUUCCAUUAUUUUUUUUCUACAGUACUUAUUUUUAAUCACAUAUUCUCUAUCAAACAUUAUUCCGUAAUACAUUUCUUCAAAUUAAUGGAGCUCAAACAUGGCCUUAAUAAAGUCUAAGUUAAAAAAAAGUCAAAAAAAAUUCUAAGUUAAAAUCGAUAAUUAAUUUUAACUACACUUUUUAUGAAAUUCACAAGCAUCAAUUUUCAAUCAUGCAUUUUAUAAAAUUUUAUCAAAAUUUAUUAGCCCUUGUUUGAGCCUCACUAUUUGGUAAAGAAUGUAAUUUGAAAUAAUAGAUUAAUGGAAAAUGAACGGUUAAAAAAUAAGAAAAAUUUUGAAUUUGCCUGUAAUCUUAUUUUAUUGAAAAAUAUAUGAUUAAAAAAAAGAAUAAUUUAUUUUAGAAAUAUUAAGAAUCAAACAAGUUUUGAAUGUUUGAUUUUUAGCUACAUCAUAUAGGAGCUAAAUGGUCAAAUUCAACAAACUUUUCCAAGCUAGCAUUGUUUUUUAACUUUUGAUUUUUCGAGCUACGAGGGAGUAUAAUUGAUUAAUCUCCGGUCCCUAUGCAAUUUUUAUUGUUUGUGACUCAGCAGAAUAUCUAGCUAUGGAAUUUUGAGCCCUUAGUAAUAUUUUGAUUUCCAGUUUGGAUAUAAGUAUCUCAUUGAAGGAACACACUUCCUCUAAUUGCUCAAAUAUAUUUACUUUUGGUUUUGGAAUUAUAUAGUAAAAUCAAACGUGGUUAAAUGUUGUAGUCAUGUAAAGGUGGACGCACUUCGAUUUGGAUAAUUUUUAAACAAUUUUAAAACCAAAUCACUUUAUUUUCUAAGCCAAAAUAUUUUUUUGUGCUUGAUUUGGUUUAAACCGUUGGAAAAAUUGGUUUUAAUUAGUUGGUUUGACCAAUUCUUGACUAAUUAAUUUAGUGGGUCCCGUUAAUCGAAAAUAAGAUUUCUUUGGCCGAAUGUGUUCUACUUCAUGAGUAGAUUAAUAUGGUAUAUUUAUUUUCUCAAAACCAAUUUAGGGUGAAUGAGAAANNNNNNNNNNNNNNNNNNNNNNNNNNNNNNNNNNNNNNNNNNNNNNNNNNNNNNNNNNNNNNNNNNNNNNNNNNNNNNNNNNNNNNNNNNNNNNNNNNNNNNNNNNNNNNNNNNNNNNNNNNNNNNNNNNNNNNNNNNNNNNNNNNNNNNNNNNNNNNNNNNNNNNNNNNNNNNNNNNNNNNNNNNNNNNNNNNNNNNNNNNNNNNNNNNNNNNNNNNNNNNNNNNNNNNNNNNNNNNNNNNNNNNNNNNNNNNNNNNNNNNNNNNNNNNNNNNNNNNNNNNNNNNNNNNNNNNNNNNNNNNNNNNNNNNNNNNNNNNNNNNNNNNNNNNNNNNNNNNNNNNNNNNNNNNNNNNNNNNNNNNNNNNNNNNNNNNNNNNNNNNNNNNNNNNNNNNNNNNNNNNNNNNNNNNNNNNNNNNNNNNNNNNNNNNNNNNNNNNNNNNNNNNNNNNNNNNNNNNNNNNNNNNNNNNNNNNNNNNNNNNNNNNNNNNNNNNNNNNNNNNNNNNNNNNNNNNNNNNNNNNNNNNNNNNNNNNNNNNNNNNNNNNNNNNNNNNNNNNNNNNNNNNNNNNNNNNNNNNNNNNNNNNNNNNNNNNNNNNNNNNNNNNNNNNNNNNNNNNNNNNNNNNNNNNNNNNNNNNNNNNNNNNNNNNNNNNNNNNNNNNNNNNNNNNNNNNNNNNNNNNNNNNNNNNNNNNNNNNNNNNNNNNNNNNNNNNNNNNNNNNNNNNNNNNNNNNNNNNNNNNNNNNNNNNNNNNNNNNNNNNNNNNNNNNNNNNNNNNNNNNNNNNNNNNNNNNNNNNNNNNNNNNNNNNNNNNNNNNNNNNNNNNNNNNNNNNNNNNNNNNNNNNNNNNNNNNNNNNNNNNNNNNNNNNNNNNNNNNNNNNNNNNNNNNNNNNNNNNNNNNNNNNNNNNNNNNNNNNNNNNNNNNNNNNNNNNNNNNNNNNNNNNNNNNNNNNNNNNNNNNNNNNNNNNNNNNNNNNNNNNNNNNNNNNNNNNNNNNNNNNNNNNNNNNNNNNNNNNNNNNNNNNNNNNNNNNNNNNNNNNNNNNNNNNNNNNNNNNNNNNNNNNNNNNNNNNNNNNNNNNNNNNNNNNNNNNNNNNNNNNNNNNNNNNNNNNNNNNNNNNNNNNNNNNNNNNNNNNNNNNNNNNNNNNNNNNNNNNNNNNNNNNNNNNNNNNNNNNNNNNNNNNNNNNNNNNNNNNNNNNNNNNNNNNNNNNNNNNNNNNNNNNNNNNNNNNNNNNNNNNNNNNNNNNNNNNNNNNNNNNNNNNNNNNNNNNNNNNNNNNNNNNNNNNNNNNNNNNNNNNNNNNNNNNNNNNNNNNNNNNNNNNNNNNNNNNNNNNNNNNNNNNNNNNNNNNNNNNNNNNNNNNNNNNNNNNNNNNNNNNNNNNNNNNNNNNNNNNNNNNNNNNNNNNNNNNNNNNNNNNNNNNNNNNNNNNNNNNNNNNNNNNNNNNNNNNNNNNNNNNNNNNNNNNNNNNNNNNNNNNNNNNNNNNNNNNNNNNNNNNNNNNNNNNNNNNNNNNNNNNNNNNNNNNNNNNNNNNNNNNNNNNNNNNNNNNNNNNNNNNNNNNNNNNNNNNNNNNNNNNNNNNNNNNNNNNNNNNNNNNNNNNNNNNNNNNNNNNNNNNNNNNNNNNNNNNNNNNNNNNNNNNNNNNNNNNNNNNNNNNNNNNNNNNNNNNNNNNNNNNNNNNNNNNNNNNNNNNNNNNNNNNNNNNNNNNNNNNNNNNNNNNNNNNNNNNNNNNNNNNNNNNNNNNNNNNNNNNNNNNNNNNNNNNNNNNNNNNNNNNNNNUCACAAGAAGGAUAUGCGAAAGAAAUUCUAAAGAAAUUCAAUAUGGAGGACUGUAAGCCCGUAUGCACCCCCGUCGAAUGCGAAAUCAAGUUGUCGAAGAAUGAUGAAGGUGAAAAGGUAAAUCCAACACUUUUUAAGAGUCUUGUUGGGAGUCUAAGAUAUUUGACGUGCACAAGACCAGAUAUCCUUUUUGGAGUUGGGCUCAUUAGUCGCUAUAUGGAGACACCUACCAUGACCCAUAUGAAAACUGCAAAGAGAAUUCUUCGCUACAUCAAAUGUACGCUUGAUUAUGGCUUAGUCUAUUCAUCAUCUAAUGAGUUCAAACUUGUUGGAUAUAGUCACAGCGAUUGGGGCAGAGAUAGUGAUGAUAGAAAGAGUACGACUGGGUACGUGUUUUACUUGGGCGACACAGCUUUCACUUGGAGCUCAAAGAAGCAAUCGAUCGUAACACUAUCUACAUGUGAAGCUGAAUAUGUUGCACCUACAUCAAGUGUUUGCCAUGCGAUUUGGCUUAGAAACUUGUUGAAGACGCUUGGAGUAUCACAAAAAGAGCCAAUCGAACAAAUCGGCAUUAGCAAUGGCAAAGAACCCAGUAUUCCAUGAUAGAAGUAAGCACAUUGAUACAAGAUAUCACUUCAUAAGAGAAAGCAUUGUAAAGAAAGAAGUGCAGCUGAAAUAUGUAACCUCCCAGGAGCAGAUCGUCGACAUUCUCACUAAGCCACUCAAGCAUGAUGUGUUCCGCAAGUUAAGAACUCCACUUGGAGUAUCAAAAUCAAGUUUAAGGGGGGAUGUUGAGUAGUAAACUUGAUUUUUGGACUAAAUAAUAUGGGCUUAAGGAUUUUGCUUAUAGGCUCAAAUCAAUUAAAAGGUCCAACAUGCAUAGCAUUUCUAGAAGCAUUAUCUAGAAAAAUCUAUAUAAAUAUCUACUAGAAAAAUCUAUAUAAAUAUCUAAGUAAGAUAUGUAGUUUUAUAAAGAAUAUCUAGAGAAUUCUAGGAAAAUAUCUUGAUAUGUGGUCUAGGUUUCUCUAGAAAAUGUGUGGACUAGAAUCUUCUUGUAAACACUAUAUAAAGGGGUUGUAUCCUCCAUUUUGUAACAAGCCAAAAAGUGUGUAAAGUCUUGAAUUUGAGAAAUACAAGUUUCCUUUUUUCACUUCCUUCUUCCUAUUAGUGUUGUCCUCUUAAAAGUCUUAGCUAAUCCAAGUUAGUAAACCCAUCUUUCCUCCAACAGGGUUAUAGCAAAUCAACUGGUUUAGCUCGCACACAUUUAUGUAUGAAAUUAAAAUGGGACCUUGGAUCCUUCUCUGCCGAAUCAAAAAAACCUAACGCCAUUUGCAUUGAGAAUAUUCAUAUUUGCUUCAGGAUAGGGCUCCAGGUACGAGUAUCCAUUGUAGCAUCAUAGCGUUAAUUUAGUUUAUUUCAUCAAUAAUUAAACUAAAAAAUGAAGAGAUGAUUGAAUUAAUGUUGGGCCCGAGGUACGGGGACUCGUACUCUGGUAAAUUCUGAAACUGAUUAAUACACUUACAAUCUUUAAUUUUGCAUGCAAAUGUAGAACACCUUGUGGUACCUUGACAAUCUAGUAAGAAUCUGCACAUUCAAUAGGUUGGGUCUAACAUAUAGAUUGACUAUAUUCAAAGGGUGUUAAUAUUUUGAAAGGAUGAUAUUUAAAUUGUCUAGACAGUCGCAGAAAUUUCUGAUAACAUUAGAAAUACAAAUACCUAUUCAAUCUUAUCUAGGUUGAUUUAUACUAGAUCUAAAAUUUACGACUUCAUAAUCACAAAUUUAUGUAUACAUUUCCAAAUUCAUGGAGGACUUCAGCUUAUUUAAGAAGUGCAGCAUUGGCUUCACCAUCCUUGGCUGAUGCAUCAAUUGCACUCUCAAUUGUCAAAAUCUGUAUGUUUUGUUGCUCAAAAUAUUGAAAAGAAAAUCAAGACUCACGUUAUACAAUAGUUUAUUCUACUCGAAUUAAGCUAUAGACAUCUGAUUAAUCAUCUAAGUGAAACCUCUUCGUUAUUGAUUACUAAGAAACACGAAAUUUGACUUGAGCCCAUUGCCUUUCAUAUUCAGAGAACCUUCUCUUUUUGUAAUCUGAAAGUUUCAUUCAAGGUCAACAAUUUAACUUCAACUAUUUACGGCUGUAUCGUUUUUAUCAUCUGAAUUUGAUUUACAACACAAAAUUGGUGCUUCAAUGGGCGAUUACCGUGUUCUGCUUCGAGAACGGUGCGCUUGAAUGAAUUUUUUGCUUUCAAAAUAGCGUAUUUGUUUUCUAAUCAUGGCACAUUCAAAUUAUAGAUGUUGUGAUCAAAAAUUUGUUUUUGGUUUUGUAGAGUAUUUUUUGCCAUGAGGGCCCAAGUUCUCUCUGUCCAGAAACAUGGAGAUCUUGCAAUAGAUUUUAGGAAUAAUUGCUGCAAAAGUUUCAAAUCUUUGAAACAUUGGCAAACUUUCUCAUAACCUUUCAAUCGUUGUAGCUGUCAACCCUAAUCUUCCAACUAUUGCAUGUGAGGCCUUUUGGAUGGUUUUAAUCCACAAUUCCGUUAGUUAACUAAGGAUGGCAAUGGCUCAACUCGACCCUUUUACCCACGAGCUCGGCUCGUGCUCGUGACAAGCCGAGCUAGUGCUUGUUGCUUGAGGGGCUAGCUUGAUUCGAUACUCGAGCUAGUGAUACGUGGGCUGAGCCGAGCUUGGGUUGGCUAGCUCGCCAAUUUUUUAUUUUUUUAAAAAUGCUGAAAAUAGAUAAAACAAUUGAAAACUAUGUUUUUUUUAAACAAAAAAUAAAUAAACCAAGCAAAAAGAUUUAAUUAAAAUGAUUUUUUUCUUUUUCAUUUUAAAAUAGAUAAAACAUAAAUCCUCCUCCUUUAUCUGGAUUUGGGAUCAGGUACUUAAAUUUUAAGUAUGCAUUGUUAAAAAUUGUACACAAACAACUUGUAAUGUGUACAAUUUUUUAGAGACAAUUAAAAACAGUACUAUAAAAUAACUAAUGUAACUAAAUAUCACUUACUUGACGACAUACAAUUUUGGCAUAUUUAUCUUGUGUUCUGAAAUGAACGUCCUACCAAUUCUUAAUACACAUUAAUGCUUUCAAAAUAUCUUCUUUCAAUCGGCUCCUCACCUCAGACAAAACCCUUUUACCUAUACUAAAAGCAGACUCCGAAACUACAUUGCUAACCAGAGAUAUCAGUAAAUCUUUUACAAUUGCGAAAACUACUGGCCAUCGUCGUUCGUACUUCCACCAGAAUUCAAUAACAUCUUCGGAACUCUUUUUAAUUGUUUUAUUGGUAUGCAUAUUUUUAUUAAAAUAAUCAAUUAAUUUAGUAGGCAAUGUAUUCAUACUUCCCUCCGAUGUUUGGUUAGAUGUAGAUACAAUAGACAAAGUAUUACUAGAUGGAUAUGAACCUAUUGCAUUUAAAUCAUACCCAUACGUGUUAAUACCUUGAAAUAAAUUAAAUAUUCCAGCAUCAUCUUCUUCAAGUUCAGCAGAAGGAGUGGGCACAAAGGGUACUCGACUAAUAUAUGUACCCAUUCGUUCAGCAUGUAAUUCAUACAUUUCACAUAAAGUUUGUUCUAAAUUUCAAUAUGUGGUAAGUGCACUAAAAUUUAAAGCUUUAGAAAUUUGAUCAAUUAUAUAUUUAGUUCUUGAUAAAUUAUAUUCAGGGUCCAUGAUGUAUGCUAAAGGAAAUAAUACUGAUAAGUCUUCCCAAUAUUUUAUAAACUUCAAUUCCAUAGAGUAUAUAAUUGCAUUAAAAUCGAGAUUAUUUUUGUAUUUAUGAAAGGUUCUUGCAAUUAUAUAAAGACGUUUGAGCAACAUACAACAAUGAGACAGUAAACUCCAGAUAAAAUAUUUGUACAAUCAUAAAAACUUGUCAAAAUUUUUUUAACUUUUAAAGCUAAAAGCCAAUCGGAUUCAUUUAGAAUAGUGUCGUCAUCGUUUCUAAUAUGCCUAUUGUUGUAAAACUCAGUUAUUAAAUGUUUAAAACCUUCGUAUGACUUUAAUAUAAGUAAGUAGAGUUCCAUCUUUGACCUACGUCAAUAACAAAUGUUUUAGCAUUCGUCACCCCAAAUUCGACACAAAAUUUCUCAAAUGCUUGUUUUCUAUUAGGGGAGAUCGUGAUAUGUAUUAGUGCAUUCAUAAUUCUUUAUAUUUCAUAUUUAAUAUGUUUCAAAUCAUCUUGUACAAUUAAGUUUAAAAUAUGGCACAUAUAACGAAUAUGAAACAAAUAACCAUCAAAAUUAGGCUACAAUACUUUACACAAUUUAUCGAUAACUAUUUUAUUAACACUAGCUUUGUCGAAUGCAAAAGAAUGAAUUUUGCUUUCGCAACUAUAUUUUUUAAUAAUAGUGAUAAUCGCAUUAUAUAUAUUAUUAGCGUUAUGUGGAAAUUUGAUAAUUUUAAAAAGUAAUAAUUUUUUUAUGCAUACAUCUAAGUGGGUCAAUGUAUUGUGCAAUUACAGCUAUAUAAACUCUUUUAUUAAUCAUCUCCCAUAUAUUCGAAGUUAAAGAUAUAACACCACCAUAUUCUUGCAAAUCCAAAAUUAAAUUUUUUUUGUUUUAAAAAAUUGUGUUUGAACGAAGAGUGUUUCGACUUACCCUAAUGUACCUCGGUUGAAGAUAUUAUUUUACAUAUGAGACAAAAUGUUGGUUGUCCGCUAUUGCAAGAGGUAACUCAGCACCAGCAAUAAGUUUCAUGUUCGAGUAUUCUCCUCUAAAUACAUCCACGUGGUGAGGAGCGAAGUUGUAGUACCGGCGCCUGAACUACCAAAUUGCAGUUGUGUUUGAUUCGGCUUGAAGAAGAAGUCCAUGUUUGGCCGUACACACUUUGUAGUGGCGGUUGAGGUGGGUGGUACCAAUGUCUUUUUUCCAUACCAAUCGUUGUUGGCAAUAUUUACAUACUUCUUUAGAUUCUGGGACUCCAUCAACAAUACGGCCUAUCGAAAUCAAUUAGAAGUGAUCCCAAUAUUUUGGCUUUUUUUCCCCUUUCGCUUCAUUUUAGCAUCAGGAAUGUUUAAUUCGGAUUCCUUCUCCUCUUAUUCUUCUUGGGCUUCGAGAAAAUCGAUGUCAUCCAAAUCAAUUGGAUUAUUGGCUCGCACCCAAAUGUAGAAUAUCUUUAGGAAUUGAUAUUUCAUUUAUACCGAAAAAUUGAUUAUGAAAUUGACUUUGUGACAUCGCAAGUGAUUCGCCUUCGAAAUUGAACAAGCACUCGACAAAUAAGUGUAGUUCCAUUUUAAUUUGUGAAUUGUAAUGAUACAAUAUAGAUUAAUAGAUGAUAUAAGAAAAUGAUUGAAUUGUAAAAAUGAAUUGAAAUUGAAAUUGAAAUUGAAGAUGAUUAAAUUGUAAAGAUGAAUCUAUAUAUGACUAUAUUUUAUAAUUGUAGACUAAGUGAUGUAUUCAAUUGAGAUUUUUAAUGAUUUUUUGAGAUUUAAAAAGUUUAGGGGUAUUCAAUUGAGACUCUUUAAUAGUCAUGGUGUAUUCAAAUGAGACUUUUAUAGAUUUUUAAAAAGUCUCUAAAAAUUACGAUGUAUUCAAUUAAAACUUUUUUAAAAGUCUCUAUAAGUUUUGGGGUAUUCAAAUUUUAAUGACUUCUAGAGAUAUUUAUAAAAGUCUAUGGAAUACUAACUUUUAAACAGAAAGUACUCAUAUAAAAUCUUAAAAUUUGUCUCUCAUAAAUCACGAGAUUUUAAAAAAAUAAUAAAAAAAUUGUUUUUUUCAAUAUUUCUUUCCUUUAACCUUCCAUGGAUGUAUGAUUAUAAUUUAUUUUUUUCUAUUUAUUAUAUUCUAUUUAUCUUUCUUUCUCUCUUAUUUGUAGUUUCUAUGAAAAGAUUAAAUUGGAUUCUUGUAUUUUUUUUCUUUUUUAAUUCAUUCUUUUAUUAAAUUAAAAAAUUUUAUAUGAAAAAUUUAUAAUUAAUUUUAAAUAUAUCGAUUUUUAUUUAUUUUUAAAAGUAUACUAUGCUGAUAAUAUUGAAUCAUACAUAUAUAUCUACAAUAUAUUAAAAGUUGGGGUGGUGAAGAAACUUUUAAAUACCAAAUUUACCCUUACAUAUUCAAAUAUAUGCCAACUAUACCCUCAUUAUUGAAAUAUCAAUUUAAUUAGUAUCUAUCAUUUGGUUUAGAAUUAAUAUAAUAUAAAGAGUGAAAUAUUUAAUCGAUAUUUAUUAUUUUGGAUUGGAAUUAAUAUAAAGAGUGAAACUAACAUUCAGUUAUAUCCAAAAAAAAUAAAAAUAAAAAAACAAAAUCUGCGACUUACCAUUCAAUUGCAUUCUUACAUUUAUUUUCCACCAACAAAUCAAUUUUUUUUUUUCAUCAACAAUACUCUUAUUAAUCUUCAUGAUUUUAUAUCUUAAUUCAUACAAUGAGUUUUUAUUUUUCAUCAACAGAGCAAUUUCUAAUCUUCAUGCUUUAUAUUGUAAUUCAUCCAUUAAGUUAUUAUUUAAUUAAGGUUACAAAUAUUUUAAAGGUUGCAUUAAUAUAUUAAUGGGGAUAUUCAAUAAAUAAAAAAUAAAUUACACACGAAAAUCCAAUUGAAAAUUCAAUACCUAACAUUCAAUUGAAUUUUUUUCUUUACAAUUUUUAAUUUUCAUCAACAAAGCCCUUAUUACCAAUUUAAUUAAUAUUUAUCAUUUGAUUUAAAAUUAAUAUAAGUGGUGGAAUAUUUAAUUGAUAUUUAUCAUUUGGGUUGGAAUUAAUAUGAGUGAAACUGAUAUUCAAUUAUUUAAAAGAAAAAAAAAAUCAACGAAAAUUUAGUGACUCAUCAUUCAAUCGAGUAUUUUGUUAUAACAAUUUUUAUUUUUCAUCAACAAAACACUUAUUAAUCUUAAUGAUUUACAUUAUAAUUCAUCCAUUGAGUUUUUAUUUUCAAUUAAUAAAGCAAUUUUUAUUUUUCAUCUAGAAAGCCUUUUAUUAAUUUUCAUGAUUUACAUUAUAAUCCAUCCAUUAGGUUAUUAUUUAAUUGAGGUUACAAAAUUCAAAGAUUACAUCAAUGUAUUAAUGAGGUAACAAAUGUGCUAAGUGUUGCGCACACACACACACACACAACAUUUAUGUAUGUACAUAUAUGUAUACAUAUAUGUGUGUGUGUGUGUGUGUGUGUGUGUAUAUAUAUUGUAAUCAUACCAUUACAUUUUAGUUUAUUCAACAUUUUCACAUUAUAUACAUAAUUUUAUAAAAACUUUUGUGUAUAUAUAUACUCAAUUGUAAUUUUUCCUUUAACAAUAUCAAUUACCCCUAUUAUUUUAAAAAAUGGUAUUAGUAAUUCAAAAAUAGUAUGUAUAUCAUUCUUCGAUAUAUAAGACGUGCAACGCAUAUGCUUACAACUAUAUACAUAUAUAUGCGUGCGUGUGUGUGUGUGUAUUGUAAUCAUACCAUUACAUUUUAGUUUAUUCAACAUUUUCACAUUAUAUACAUAAUUUUAUAAAAACUUUUGUGUAUAUAUAUACACACAAUUGUAAUUUUCCCUUUAAAAAUAUCAAUUACCCCUAUUAUUUUAAAAAAUGGUAUUAGUAAUUCAAAAAUAGUANNNNNNNNNNNNNNNNNNNNUAAUAAUAUAAAUAUUAUAUAAAAUUAUAUAUAUAUAUAUAUAUAUAUAUAUAUAUAUAUAUAUAUAACUUUGAUUAUUAUUUAUUUAAUUAAGGUUUUAAAUUUUUAUUUUUUCAAUUUUUUUUAUUAUAUAGGAAGAAGAAGCCUAAGAAAAAUGGGAAUUGUGGGAACCAACACUUAUGUGAAAAUUUCACAUUAGAUCCACAUGAAUUCUAUUUCAAAGUCUUUCGAAUUUCACAAAAGUCUUUAAAAAUUUUAAAAUGAGAAUCCAUAGAAGUUUAUGAAAGACUUCCACUAACUCCAUAGAAAUCUAUAAAAUAUCCACGAAUCCACAAAAGUCAUCACUUAAAAAAGUCCAUCAAAAUCUUAAAAAAUUCCAAUUGAAUACAUCCUCCUAAUUGAGAGUUGAGACUUGAGACAAAUCAAUUAUGGUCACAAGAGAGAUUGAAAGGUAGAUGGUUAAGAUUUAAGAGAGUUGAAUCAGUUGAUGAAAACUCUUGGGACAAUUGGGGGCUAUUUAUAGAAGAGGGGGAUGAGGAAAAAAAAGUUAUUUAGUGACCGAAACGAUCACUUUCUAAAACAAAGUGACCGUUUUGAUCACUAUUCAUGACAAGAGACGUGGCUCGUCAAAAGGGGCCGAUCCACUUGGCUUGGGCUCUUUUUUUACUAGCCUGAGCCACCCCUAUAGUUAACCACCAAAAUCAAAAUUGACCAUCUUUUUACCAAAAUUGGGGAGGGUAAAACUGUAUAUUCACUUAAAAAAACCAAAACAAAAAUAAAAAGUAAGUAAAUGGAUUCUUCCCCAGUCAACAUUCUUUCCCAACCAAAUGCUCCCAGCAAUUGCCAUCAGCCGGUCACCACAAUCCACACAAAUGAAGGCCCACAGCAACUUCCACCACCACCUUAAACUGCUAAAUGCCGCCAACCAAUAACCGAAAAUCAAACACCAAUACAGCUAUAAUGCCUUUUUUCUGUUUUCCGUUUUUGUUUAAUUUGUUAUUAAUUGUAUACACUGCCUGAACCAAUAUAUCCAUCAUUUCAAUUCAAAAUCAAAGAUUUCCUUGAACACGGGGAGCCUCUGUGUAUUAAUUUGGUCAUUCCUAAUUGUUGAAAGGGCAAGAAAGUGGUUGUUUUUACGAGAUAUUUUGGAGGAUAAGAAGGUGUUGGAGAAUUUAUUUGGUAGGCAAAGGACAAAUGCAGUGAUUUUGUAGGAAAUAUCAAUUUUCAAGGUGACGAUUCUGGACACCUUCUUUAGAAGCGUAAACUUGUAACUACUGGAAUCCAAGUUCCAACAUGCUGUGAAUAAAGAGAUCGGUCAAUGUAUUUCUAAUCCUCUCUCUAUUCUUUUGC
rnacentral:lncRNA from 1 species